rnacentral:lncRNA from 1 species
UUUUUUUUUUCUUUUUUUUUGUUCUCUUACUGGAUAAUAAUAACAGAGUUUGGAUAGACUUGUUCGCAGGCUUUGGGCCUUUUGGUGUCUCAACUUGCAUGGGCCGGGCCUUGCAAAGAAUUUUUGGGCCAACUUCGUCGGCUUGGCUGACCGGUGAUGAAAUUAGUUUUCCUUGAUAGCAUGACUGAGAAAGCAACGAAUACUGCAAGUCAAUUGAUUAACAAAAAUUUUAGAUGCACAAAAUAUUUUCUGAAAUUUUAGAUGCUUCAGUUGAGAUUUGUGUGUUAAAAAUGUGAUCUGGUUAGAGAAAUUUCUUCAAAGCAAAUAAAUAAAAAUCAUUUUCGCCGCCGCCGUGAAGAAUAUAUAUUCUUCAAAGAAUAUAACUACUCGUAGGUUCAAAAAGAAAGAACAUGCAUAUACACAUCUAAACCUUACAUGGAUGCCUGCAGGUUCACUGAACCCUGCAGGGAUCAAAUUAAUAGAAUGGAAUAUGUAAUGAUAAUGCUGCUUCCUAGGUUCAUGCAGCUACCCUCUCAUCUCCUAGCAAAGCAGAUCGAGCUAGGGAACACCAUUUGCAAAAGAAAAAAAAAUGUCCAUUUUGUAAUCUUCAUCUAUAAGCCAAAGUCUAGCUUCCAAUGCAACCAGCAACUAAUAAGAAGCCAUUCCCUUUUCAACUCCCAACUAAUAAAACUGAGCAUUAAUUCCGGCCCUGCUAGUUUAGAGCAGCUUGUUGAAGUCAGUAAAUAAUUUUUAAGAAAUAUGAAAAAGUUUUAGUUGCACAUGUAUGAUUAGGCUCCUUGAACUUUGCUACUAAUAGCAUAUACGAAGAUUAUGUACACUGUUAAUUACCAGUGAUAAUUUUUAACUAGCCGGUUAAGUUACAGACAUGAAAGGAAAAUGAAGGUGGAAGUGAACUAAAGCAUAUGCAUGCACCCUUGAGCAGCCAUGUGCUCCCACAGUAAUUAACAGACGCUGAGGCAGCGAUUAAUUAGAUGCUGCCGGCGUCACCCAGCGAUUAGAUGGGUGGUGACCGGUGAGAUGCCAACUACAACAAAUUAGAGAGAGCUCUCCAGGCCGGCUAUAAAUAGACAGCUGCUGCUGCUGAUGGAAGCCGUAAGGCGCCGUAGCCAAAAAUAUAAGCAAGUCCCCUGCCUCUCGAUCCUUCUGCUAGCUAGCUAGCUCGCGGUUGUGUAUUGUGUCUUGUGUGUGUGAGGAAGGAUCGAUCGAUCGUCGGGCUCGGAGCUGAGGAAGAAGAAGAAGAUGUACGGCGGCGGAGGCGGCGGCGGUUGCAGUCCGGACGACGACAGGAUGGUGUGGAACGACAAUAAUAAAAAGCUGGCGACGAAGCACAUCAAUGGAGGCGGCGGCGAGGAGGCAACAGCAAAAGGCGAGAAGCGGAAGCUGCGGCGCUCGGUGUCGAUGACGACGGUGGGUGGGCGUCUGGCGAGCGCGGCGAAGGAGCAGCGGGCGCGCCUCUACAUCAUGCGCCGCUGCGUCUCCAUGCUCGUGCGCUGGAAGGACUGACUGUUUGGGCUGCUGUGGGUGUGGGUGUGUGUAUGGGCCAGGCCCAUCAUGUUUCCUAUGUUUGGGCUGCUGCUGGGUUGCUUUGCUUUUGCUUUUCGAGAGAGAGAGAGAGAUCUGAGAUGGGCCUCCGUUGUCGCAAUUCUGUCUGUUGUGUUAUGCUUGGGCCGUUCAUUGCGUACGUAGGUGCGUUGGCCGUCUGAAUUAAUCAUCUCAAUCGACUAUUCUCUCUGCGAUCCAAUCGGGGUUUUAAUUUCUUGGUUUACAGCAACGUAACCUACCCAUAUAUAGCUAGCUACCUAGGUGCAACGACGGAAGUGGAAUAAUGGAUCCACUGUACAAAUAGAUUUGUGAAUGGAAAGAGAUAACACUUGAAAGUUGUGGAAAAAUAAUGGAUCUUCCUUUAUAACAGGGUAGACUCCCCUUUUACAAUGACUCGUGAACCACUUUACAUUCCGAAAAUGUGCUUCCUCAAACGCUACAUUCCUACUAUAUGCUGUACAUAAAGGUCAUUGGGGGUAAUGUGUACAAAUUGAAAUCCUCCACGUAGUCACGUUUCUCACACCUCCAUCCCUCUAACCUUGGAACUUCGCCUUCAUGCCAGAUCAACUUGUUAGCUUCGUAUCAUCACCCUCAGCCCGAGAUAAAUGCCCAACCUCGUGACGCUCGUUAGCUCCCCUAUAAAAGGCGGGGGUGCGGGUCACUCAGGGCUACCCUCGCAUCUUACUGUGAGUUUGCGCUCUGUUUGCUGGUGCUUUGAGAUUCGCACUUUCCUCAGUUGUUUUUGUCCGUCUUCAUAACUUCGAAGGUAUUGUUCUUAUGCAUAUUUUUCAUUCUUGUUUAGCUCUAUUGUUUUGCUUUGAUUUACUGUUUAUAUGUUGUUCAGCUGGCUUGGAUUAUGCAAACCGUGAGAUUGAUGACUCCUGAAGAAUUAGCAUUGCAUGGUCACGCUCCCGAAGGACAAGAGGCUCGCGAGGGUUCUAAUCAUCUGGAGGAAAUCAUGCCAUGUGUCCACAUGCUGGCCAUUGAUGUCUAUGGAAAUUACGCGGUCCAGAAGGUUAAGUUCCUCCAACUCAAUCCAAUAUAUUUGCGGCAUGGUUUCUAUUUAACUAGAAUUUGCAUUGUGAAGCAUGUACAAGAAUAUAAUCAAUUGAGCAUCAAGUCCCGUAUUAAUUGAUCCAUUAUUUGUUUCUCCAUCAGGUUCUUGAGUAUGGACCGGAAUCUUACAACAGGAAGCUCAUCGGCUAUCUUAUUGAGCAUGUGUUACCUACCCCUAAGCUUUCAUAUGUAUGGUUGCCGGGUCACACAGAAGGUAAACCAAUAUUUCAUAUUCGAAAAUGCAUGUGUGUGUGUGUGUCUUGUUCUGUUCCUGUGUCAGAGAGUGUUUUCCUACUGCAACAACCUGGAGAUCUACGACACGUUGGCGGCAGAGAUCAUCGAGUCUGUUAACAAGCUGUCUCGAGAGAAAUUUGCAGACUACGUGGUGCAGUACCUGCUGGAGCACGGCGGCCAAGCUAAGCGGUCCAUGAUGGUGAGCAAUUUUGCCGGGUACGUCGUGAGCAUGAGCUACAACAAAUUUGCCUCCAAUGUGAUCGAGGCAUGCCUGACCUUCGGGAGCCAGGAGGACCGGCAGCUCAUCACCAACGAGAUCAUCACGAGGAAGAUGGUGUCCGUUGCGGAGGAGCAGCAGGUGGGCGUGCUGGUGGAUGUGGCCAGAAGCAACGUGGCCUAUCUAGUCUGAUGAGGUUUAAGUAUGGCGAGCACGUCAUUGCCGCCAUCGAGAGCUUCCUCAGCGCCAAGGGUAAGACGCAUUCCCUGCCAAGCUAGAUGUUCCUCAGCACCAGCAACGCUAACUCAUGACAUGGCUCCUCCUCCACUCCCGCCCCAGUGAGAUCUGGCUGCUGCUAACUGCCUAGUGAAGAAGACGAAGAGGAGGGAGACUGUGCCGCAUCAUCCAUCUUGAACCGUGUCGUUGGAUCGAUCACUACUUAUGAAUAAACGAUCAGGUUUCAGACUUGGAUCGAAUCGAUGGAAUGUUUCCUUCGUCGAUCAUCCCAACAGCAUACUGUGACUGCUGUCAGAUCAGAUGCUGCAUCAUCGAUGGAAUGUUAGCUGACUGACUGACAUGCAGUGACCGUUGUGGUAAACUAGGUGUUAUAUAUGUCAUUACAUGAUCGAUUAGGUUCAGAUGCUACACAUAUAUAGUCUAUAACUCUGAACAAAAAGCUUAAAGCACGAACAGAACAUACAUAGAGCACAAGGGAACAUGCAUGGAUGAGUGUACUAGCAGAUGAUGAACUGUUUAUUUCCUGGAUGUGGGCGGCGGGCAGAAGGUGAUGAGGUAUCGGCUGGCCUUGCAGCGGUUGAGGGAGGUGGCGUCGUCGUAGGCGUAGCUGUAGGCCUUGGGACAGACGGCCUUGAAGACGUGGGCGAAGAUGGUGGGGCGGCACCUCUCCGGCGACGCGUAGUCCCCCGUGCAGCAGUACCUGUCGCCUCCCAUGGCCCUGCACGCGCUCCGGCACCCGGCCACCUUCCCCUCCCUGUCCCUCACCUCCAGCGCCGACGGGCAGCAGACGUUCAUGUCCGCCUGGCACCCGGCCACGCCGCACCCAGCGCCGCCGCCCACCGGGGACAUGGACACCGGCGCGUUGAAACCGUCCACCAGCGACACGUCGUAGAAGUGCAGCGCCGACCUGGGGGUGCCCAGCGUCAUCUCCACCACGGUCGCCGGCGUGGCGCCGGGGCGGCCGUCGCACCGGAGCACGCCGCCGCAGUCGCCCGUGGCGCAGCUGCCCCGCCCGCGGUCGUCGAAGGAGCAGCCGCGGCGAGGCCACACGCGACCGGACCAGCCCAGCGGCACGUCGAAGGCGGUCUCGUCUCCCGGGGCCAGGUGGAAGCCGCCCGACUGCGGUGUCGGGUGCCCGGCGGUGCCCAGCAGGCCAGGCCAUAUCGACUCCGCGCAGUUGUUCACCAAGAUCAGCUGGAUGCCGCCGCCACCACCACCACCACUCGCGCUAGUCACUAGUAACGCCGCCAUGGACAGGAAAAUGCUGAGGAGCUGGAGCUUAGCCAUGGAGCUCUCCUGAUCUGUCAGCUAUAGCUGCUGCUAAUCAUAUCGAGUCUGCGGUGCUUAUAUGCAUCUGCAAGGUGCAAGAUGCUACUCUACGAAGAGGAUUGUUAUUCAUCGCUACACACAGAAAAGAUACAAAAGAUGCAAAGCAUUGCGCCGGCCAGGAGCGAGCUAUUACUUAAGUAGUGAUCUUAUCAUCAGCUUUGGCAACUAAAAAGUUUUGAUUCUGGCAAUGCAACAAGCAGUGUAGUGGCUCCCAUGAUUCUGUCGAGCCCCGACUCGAUCGUAUCGAUCGUGCAGUUUAUGAUAGAUACCAGAAUAUUACACAAGACAGAAUUGUGGUUUCCUGCUUGCAUUAGUAGUACUUGCCUCGCUCUAAAGCUUUUCAGGUAAAUCUGAUGAAUUAGAUUAUACAGGAUUUUUUUUCCCACCAUGACGCCAAUGUAGACUAUAUAGCAGUCCAUGUAGGGCAGAAGUCAGUAACAGCAACCAUACUACCUACAAUGAAGAACUACUCAGCUUCUUCAGUCAGUCAGUGAUGAACUUCCUAUACAUGCAACCGACAUAUACAUUAUACCUGCUGACAUAAAGGUCAGAGAAAGCAAAUUAAAGGAGAGGAACUGCUGGCAUAAAGUGGUGUGUUGCCCUCCAACUUAGGACGUCCGGAAGGGAUUGCAAUGCAAUCUCAGGAUCUAUUCCUUGCUUUGGACUGGGGUUAGCUUCUACCUCGCGUAUGUCUAUAUAGUAUUUGGAUAACCAAAAGAAUAAGCCCAGCAGCAAGUUGAUGCAUGGAUCGGACACUUUCCUUCCUACAAGGAAUAUCUGUCUGCUCCUCCAUCCCUUUUGCUUUUCCAUCGCCAUGCUUUUGUCGAGGCAAUCUUGUGAAAAGGGCAAGCGUGUUGCUUACACAUCUGAUGAAAGCAUCAUGCAUGUUUGCUCCGGUUAUGAACCUUGCUUGAAGGGCCAAAUUCCAGCUUGACCGGCCCGCUGACAAAUUGGGCCUCUCAAUUCUAGAGUACUUUUGGCCCAAAGCAUAACCUAUAGUACUUUUGGUCACUACUAAAUAGUGACUAGUAUUCUCAUGAAAGGAAAUCAAUAAAGUAAGGUGGCCAACGUAAAUUACACAAGAGAUUUAUAUAUAAUGAAAUGAUCCACACAUAGUUCCUUGUACAAAAGAUUAAGAAAAAAAGAAGGCUGAAACUAAACACCACGCACAACACAAAUACAUGUGCGUGUGCUUGCAGUUGCAUUGUAGUGAUAAGCAACCAAUGCAAGGAGAUUGCAAUGAACGAAUGCAAUAGCUAAUACUAUAUAGUACAGUAGUAGCAGUACACACAGGUAGCUAGUUAAUGUGCAGGUAAUCAAUAAGUUUGUGGGAUUAGCUAGUUAAUUACUGGUACUAAAUUAAGUAAAGGAGCAGUAAAAUUAAGAGUAAUGUGUGUGAGAUGUACGCAUGUCUUGAUGAUGCAUCUCGUGUGUGUACUUGAUUUUAAUUUGGUGCGUCAAUUAUUACCGCCAUCGUCGUCCUGUGUAGUAGCAGUGCUGCCUUCUUGGGGUGGUGGUGUUGACGAUCCUCCGCCGAACAAGCGACGACGGCUAACCGCCGACCUGUUGAUGACCGUAUUGUGUGUCACUGAAACUGGGCUGCACUGCUGCUCGAAAUCCAAGGAGCAGGAUGCGUAGAUUGCCUGCAUCAUCCUCAAGCACUCAUCGGCGUCUUUCUCGUCCUGCAUUGCAUGCAUGCUAGUAUUAUAUUGAAGAAACAAAAAUGCAGUACUGAUCUACUAUACAUAGUUGAAUGGAGGUAGGUGCUGAAGAAUGAUCGAUGGUUUACCGUUGGGCAAUGUGGACGAACAAGGCGGCUGAUGAUGUCGCCGUGCAGCAGUUGGUGACGAUCCUGCUCCAGCUGGUUUACGCACCGAAGCGCGGAGGCGGCGAUGACGGAGGGAUCGAAGCGGAGAAGCAACGAGGGCUCUGCGAGCGAGCGGAUGAGGAGGCGAGUUGCGCAGGGAGCGGUGGUGGUCGUAGUAAUAAUGAGCUGGAGGAAGGAGUAGGGCGUGACGCAGGCGAGGCGCCAUUGGAGCGCCUUGAGCAGCGCGAGCUCCAUGUCCCGCACCGUCGCCGCCCGGAACCAGUGCCCAAGCACCUCCUCCAUCUGCAAAUAAUCAUUUAUUCAGAAAAAAGUGUCAUGCAUACAAGCAAGCAAGCAUGGGCAUGUGAAUGCAUGCAAUGCGGUCAUGUACGUAAUAGUACCUGGAGAUCGUGGAGCGAUGGGAUAUUGACUUCGUCCAGCUUGCACGCGAUGGACAAGCAGGCCACGCUCACCAGUUCAACCAUCCACGCCUCCUCCCACUUCUGCUUCAUCAAUUCAUUCAUUCGUUCGUUGCAUUGCAUCAAGAUCGAAGAAGAGGAGGAGGAAUGAAUGACAUGAACUCGUCAUCCGGCAAGCUAAGCUAGCUGCAGAUGAUUACUUACCAGAUGGCAGUUGAUGGAGAGGAAUCUGUCCAGAUAGUUGACUGCGUUGAACGCCGUGGCCGCCGCCAGCCCCAACCGACCAAAUGCCUUAGCAAAUUGAAUUGCAUUCGUCAGAAAUUUGAAGCAAUAAUAGAUGGAGAUAGAUAACGUGUAAUUGAAAAAGAUCAAUUUAAAGAUAAUUACACAUUAUUACAUAGAUGAUGUAGUGCACUCCUCUUGAGCGAGCGGCGGCCACACCUGCUGCACCCUGCUGCCGCCGCAGAUGCUCCAGGUAGCCUCUGCUCGGCGCGUAGCAUCCCUGCCUGCCCAUCAUGUGCUCCAACAACGCAAGAACCUCCUCCUGUUCUGCUGCACCUAAUUCCUCCUCGUCUCCUACUCCGACGACUGACGCCGCCGCCGCCGCCGCCACCGGCCCACCACCAUUACCAUCAGCUGGAGGAGGCGUGGAGACAAGGAGAGGGUCCUCGUCGCAGUAGAGAAGAUCACUAGCGUCGUCGUGGAGCAGCAUGCUCCCCUCCUCGUCGUCUUCCAUCCCUACCGGCCCUACAUAUGGUAUGGCUCUCCCCGGCCGAAUCGAAUCAUCCAUCAAUCGAUCGACGAUCCGGCCCCCUGUAUAUACAUGGCAAGAACGGAACGGAACGGAUCGGAGGAGUUACCCGGCUCGUGCGUACGUCGUGGAUGGUGGAUUGGUGGUUGGUGCCUUAAAGCCCGGGAGAGCAGCCUCAUGACCAUCCAUGACCGCCGUGUAGGCUAUAGCUGCAUGCAUGGCCAUGGCCGGCCGCCCGCGCGCACUCAAUGCAUCAUGCAAUCCGUCCUGUACGUACUGCAUACUACUCCUAGCUGGUGUAUAUAGCAGGAUCGACGCGCAUCCACGUACGUACAUCCACUUGCUCUGCCAUCACGUACGUGCAUGCAUACCAAGAGACUAGCUAGAAUCAUGCACUAUUGUGCAAUCAGCCAGGAAAUACUUAAUGCGCCCGGCCAUUCAAUGCCAUCCAUCCAUCUACCUGGAAGAACCAAGCUGCUGCUGUCGUUUAAUGCUUGCAUGCAUUCUGUUCCUUCUGACCGCCGCCGGAAAAGGAAAUAUAAUGCGAGCAGCCAUGACAUCCUAUGAAUAUCACCGACGUACUGCCAUGGCAGGCAGUCAUUCAGUGUCAGUACGCCAGUCUAACUCAUAUCAGCUUGCUGACCAGACCAACAACGCCCAUCCAUCCAUUUACACCGUACUUAGCUUUUACCAUUAUAUUACAAUCCCUCUAACGUGCAUGUACUCAUGUAGUACAUACUAGAACAAGCCAUAUAUCAUCGAUAUAAAAUAAUCACUGGGACUCAAAAAUAACGACGUCUGCCUAAAAACAACAACAACAAUGUCGUCUACUUCAUAUAUUAUAUGUAUGCAACCCAAAAUUUACUUUUGGCAGUGUUGUCACAGCUUAUUAUUGUUCAACCCUCCGUACUUUUUUUCCCCAUCUUUUCCCUCCCCCAACCCCUAGGACGCAGGACGGGCGCUUUGUGUAUGUGUUGGCUGCAACGAGUGGUGAUGUACGGCACGCGAUGUGCGAGGGAUCACAGGGAGAGGUCUCUUUCCAUAUGCAAAGCUGAUUAACUAAGGUCAAAGGGGUCAGUAUGGAACGAGAGCUUCGAAAUCUUGGUUUUACUCCUCGCUAACGCACUUCCACAGCUUGCUGGAGGUGCACCCCUAUUUAAUCCGUCGCUGUGAUGUUGCUCAAGGAUACCACUGCGUGCGAGUGCACUACAACACCGUCUAGGAAUGUGUGAAGUUGGGAAAUUGCAUGCAGGGUUAAGGAUUUGAGAAAGAGAAUGAAUUUUGGGAGAAUCAAAGAGGGAGAUGUGAGAGCCUGAACCUGAGUGGGAUGUGAUGCGAGCCAUGAUGAAAGAAUUUGCUGUGUCCACAGUUUAGCACUUUUGGUGGAGCGAAGUAGGCCUUAGCAUGGAUAAUGCUGGUUGGUCCAAGAUGCAUGUAGCUCGUUUUACAUCAGGGAAACAAGAAUUGCUGAAUAUCUUCCAAUAAAUUAGUAUACACAUGUAUAUAGCACAUACAUAAUUGAUUCUUACUGGAAAAAUCUUGGGUAUUCCCGAGAACACAGAGGCAUCAACGUGCCUCUGCCCCUGCCGUAUCCUCUCUCUUUCGAGGAGAGUGAGAUGGAUAAAAAUACUACUAGGAAAAAUGCCAUUAGUACCGGUUGGGAACCCCUUUACCCGUUUCGCAACCGGUAAUGGUGGUUCGGUACUAAGGGUCCUUUAGUACCGGUUGAAAUAACCGGUACUAAAGGGGUAUUAAAAAAAUGAAAAAAAUUGAAAUCCCCGUCGGGGCCCCACCCUUCCCGGCACCCGUCCCGUCACUGGCCCCGCCCCGCUGCUGGCCCUCGCUGCCCCCAGCCAGCCGCCCGCAGCCGCUCCCGCCGUCGCUGCCACGCCCCGAUGGCCACCGCCGAUCCUCGCCUCAGGCACGAGGUGAGGGGCGAGCGGAGAGGGGAGGAGAUGGGAGGCUGUGGAGGGAGGAAGGGAGGGAGGGGGCCGGUGGAGGGAGAAGGAGGGGCUCCUGGAGGGAGGGAGCCGAGGAAGGAUGAGGGAGGCGGAGGGAGAGGAUAAGGUGCUAAGGUGUGCGGGAGAGGAUAAGGUAAGAGAGCUGGCGUGCCGUAGAGGAUAAGGUGAGGGAGGCGGAGGGAGGGAGAGGAGGUGUGGAUUACUUUAGUACCGGGUGGUACAAGGGGGUCAAGGGAGGCUCCUUGGGGACUCUCCGUUAUGCUCGGUACUAAUACUCAUAUUAGUACUGGGUUAAAAUGCAACCGGUACUGAGUCUCAGGAUGAAUGCUCAUUUUUCUAGUAGCGAAAGGACUGAGAAAAGAUAAUUGGGAAAGAUGAUUAGUUGGAGCUGUAAUGUUUGACCUUAGAAGAUUAAGGAAAAAAAGAUAUCGGCAAAGGAGGACAGGUGGAAAAUCGUAGGCAAGAGAAAGAAAUGGACAGAGGUACAUGGGCUGCAGAUUAGCAAAGUGUGCGCUGUCCUUUGUUGCACAGGUUCUCCUCAGAGGCCCAACGCUAGAUAGGCCAAUAUCUAGGCCUGCGGAUCAAAUUCCCCAACGGGCCUCAGCGAAUAAAGCUGGGCUCGGUAAUUGGGCCUCCUCUUGGUCCAGCAACGCUUCCGUAUCUCACUCAACAGAUCGAAUCGUAGCCGCAAUCUCCCGAUCCAACGGUCAGAAAUACCCCAGGCUGGGACGGUAAGUGAAAUACCGUUCACCCCGAGCCUCUCUGGCGCGCGCCACGGUGCUCGCCGCGCCGUCGCGCUCGGCAUCGCCGGCGCCCGCGACGCAGCAGCACCCUCCCCUAGUGUCAUCUCAGCAGCCUUCGGCCCCGCCUGCUCCCCUUCCCGCGCUCCUCCACUCGCCUCCACUUGCGGCGGCCGAUGUCUUCCCGUGCCGCCCGGGGCGACACCGCGCAGCCCCGUCGCGCUGCGCGGCUGCCUGCUGGUGUGUGGCAGGUGGCGAGCAGUUGGGCAACCGAUCAUCGCAUUGCCGGCCGACUGGCGUGCUUGGUCUGGAUCUGCGUCUUCUUCCUCUGUUUCCUUCCUUCCUUCUUCCAACGCACCCUGCCUGUACUAUGCGCAGGUCGAAAUCAGUGCUCGCGUUGCGCUGCAUGCUGGGUGUUUGUCAGAAUGCCUGCCUGGCGUCCUCCCUUUUCAGCAGCGGCACUAGCUAGCUGGGGCUGAGAGAAGCAAGGGCACCCGAUGGCCUGCCGUCCCAGACCAUGCAUUUUCAUCUCCUCCAAUCGGUACAUUCUCGUCCUCACACCAAAAUUGAUGGAUGGAUUUGAUGAUCUCGAAUAAUUUCAUUUGGCUGUCACAUCCAUCUCGUUCUAGUGCCUUCCAGUGUGCAGCAGCAUCAACCUUAGCUAGAUCAGUAAUUUACGGAUGCUUUUGCAUUCAGGACAAAACUACAGUUGCAUUGUGCCCACAAAGCCUGCCAUAACUUGUUUGUUCAGUUAACAACCACAAACACAUAUCAAAUUUUGUGAAUCACAUAGUGUGAAUGUUCCAAGGAAACAAACACUGCCACCAAUAAUGUUCUUGCCUGCUUCUUGAAAACAUAUAUAGUUAAUAGCCAGUGCUGCCCCCAAAAUUGUGUGGCUGCGAGUUGUAAUUCUGAAAAUGAGCUCAUGGAGCUCUUCUUCCGAUAUAUCUUUCCAUGUUGGACUGUUGGUAAUGGGCUUGGUCAUUAGACGACCUUGAUAACCAACUGGUUUCAAUUGUAGCAUAAAAUUUACUGCCCUCCCUUCCCUUUUCUGAAACUGGAGGUGAUGUUUAGUUAUAUGCCGCAUGAUUCAUCUGUGGAGCCUAUUCCUUUAUAUCUGAACCUGAAACACCAAUAUCCACCUGGUUGGCUGGUUUCAUUUAUCUUUGACCUCUAGAUUUUGUUGGUUCUCACUGGGUUUGAAGCACGCUGUUGUUUCGUUAUAUAGUUUGGUUUCAGAAAUCUUCUGAAUUCAGUAACAAGCAGAGUUCACAUAGGCGUUGAUAUGAUAGACGACAUUAUGUUAUACUCUUUUGUACAUCAUACCAAAUCAUUAAUGUAGCUUAUAUAUGUUGAGUUAUGUAAGUUAGCAAAUAAGUAAGAGUAUAGAGACUUGAAUGUAAAAUUGUUUAUAAAAGGAGGAAGAGGGGCACCAGCUCUGGAAGCUCUGAGAAAUUCCCCCAUUUGCUUCUCUUCUAUCUCAUCUCCAAAUCCCCAUUGAAUCUCUCUAAAUCCAACAAUAUAUAUCUUUACAUUGACAAAAACUUUUCAUGCCCAGCUAUCACUUGGCCAGAUCUGGUAUCUUAGUACAAAGGGUAGAACAUGGAUCGGAUAUAAUAAAAAUGGCAAGCUUGAAAGUUGUAAAGCAGCUGCCACCGUCGAUCCUCGCCGUCGGGUCCAAGUUGCACUGGUGGCACCCGGGACGGUGCAACCUUGGGUACGGUAGACUUGCAAUUCGCUGCUUUACCUGGAAGAUAUGUAGCAGGCUAUUAGUGUCGUAUAUUGCAGUACCAUACUGUAUAAUAUAAAAAGUUGAAGAAAUUAAAAGAGAAGACCAAGUUGCAUUAUGUUCACCUCCUCCUAUGCCGGCCGCCUAGCUAUAGCAAGAGGGUGUGUGUGUCCUGGUUUUCUACUUGAAGAAGGCGCCGGUCUUCAUGGCGUCCUCGUUGGCCUCACCAAGAGCCGCCUCGCUGAGGUACUUGUCAGCAAGCUGCACACGCUUGACGUUCUCCUGCUCCUCCACCAGCAUGUGGCCGUACUCCAAGAGCUUCUCGAUCGUCAUCUUGGGCUGGUCGAACGUCGGCGGGCCGUCCUUGGAGUUGACGAGCUUCUUGCCGAUGUUCUCGAUGCCGGUCUCGGCGACCCACUUGCGGACCUCGUCAUCGUACACCCGGGCACGCAGGGCGCCGAAGAAGUCGAUGGACUGGCCGGGGAAGGUGUCGACGAGCUUGACGACGUCGGCUUCCGGGACGCCGUCGGUGCGGAAGAUGCCCUUGCAGACACCGAUCCGGUCCUCACGGGUGGGAGCCCAGUAGAACUUCUCCAUACGGCCGUCACGGAUGAGCGGCGCGUACAGGGUGGAGAAGUCGUUGCCGGUGACGAUGAUGGGGACACGGGGGUUCUCCUCCUUGUUGUACAUGCCGGGGAGCUGCACGUUGGUGGGGUUGUCGGCGAUGUUCAUCAGGGUGGCGUUCACCAUCUGGUUGUUGACGGUAUACUGGGUGGUCCCGCCCAUGCGACCGGCACCGGCGUCGAGAUCGUUGAUGAAGAGGCAGCACAUCUUGCCCUUCUUGAUGAUGUCGGCGGCCUCACGGUACCGCUGCCUGAUGAGCUUGGCGGGCUCUCCGGCGUUGCCGCUCUCCAGCUCUCCGGCGCUCAUCAUGAUGGGGCUGCGUGUGUGUGGGGAAGAUGGUCAUUUAUCUUAUCUGCUGUAUAUAUGAAAUCAAACCAAAAUUAAAGAUUGUUGCUUACGUGAUGCCCAUCUUGGCGAAGACAAGCUCACACUGGAAGGAUUUCCCUUGACCCUUGCCUCCCCAGAUACCCAGGAUGAGGGGCACCUUGAUGUUUGGCAGGGUCAUGAAGUUCUUGGAGAGGUGGACGACGAGCUUGUCCAUGAAGGCCGGGGCGAUGUAGAAGCCAUCCUUCAUGUUGUCCCACCCGGUGUAGUCCCUCAAGCCCUGGCUGAGGUACUCGUAGGAGCUGAGCACGGCCUCGUGGGUGCCGUCUCCCAUGGGUGCCUGGAAGAGGGAGUCGACGAAACCCUUGCCCCUGGUGAUGUCCUGCUGGUCGUCGGAGAUGUCGUUGACGAGGCCCCUCCACCUGUCUUUGUCGGUCUGCUUGGUCUCGUCGACAUCCUUGGCGGCCAUGACCUUGAACCUGUUGGCGCUGGAGCUCUUGACAUGGUAGUUCACGGCCGCGGUCGCUUGCGUCGACCUGAGCUUCUUCCCGAGGAAGCUGGCCGGGGUGGAGGCCUGUAUGUACGUUGUCAAGGAUGCACUUUAGUCGUCAGGCGACUCUCGCAUAUAUGAUCGAUGCAUGAGAUGAUGGAAGAGAACUCACCGGAGCUCCGACGGUGGAGGAGAAGGCGGCCGCCAUCUCUGCGCUGCUUCUUCUUCCUCCUUGGGCGACCUUGCUAGGAAGGGCACGAGUGAUCUAUCACUGAUGGCCGCCGCUGCUGCUCUUCUCAAAGUACUGAGGCCGAGCCUUGCAAGGCAUUAAAUAAAGGAGCACGUGUGGUGGCCGUGUGUCUGCCGCUGCGGCUGCCAUGGCCUGUGGUCGGGAUCGGAGGUCAGGGAAGAGCCGCAAGCCGCGUGGUUGUGGAUCAGCUCCCACAUCUCUCGGAGGCCACACGCUGAGGAUGGGGUUUGGCAGACGUGGCGACAUCCCGGCGGGCCAAUGGGAUGGCUUGCUUGCACUGGCAACACUAAGAGAGUAAGAGACCAUCUCUUGGCUUGUGUUGCAUGACACUGAUAGGCCCCCGGGCCACAGGAAGGCUGCUCCGCCUGCAGGAUGGAUGAGGCAUCCAAAUUUUGUAUCCGCAUGCAGGUUUUCGGGAGUUUCUAAUUUAUUUGUAAUUCACUGGUACUCCCUUAGUUCCAAAUUUUAAGUCAUCCUAAAUUUCUUGGAGAGUCAAACUAUUUUAUAUUUGAUCAAAAUUAUAUAGAUGAUUACAAAUAUUUGUGGCAUCGAAUAGAUAUACUAUGAAAAUAUAUUUAAUGAAAAAUCUAAUAGUACAUGCUUUAUUUAUAAAUUUGAUCGUUUAUACUUUCCAAGAAAGUUGGAAUAUACAAUAUCUACGGAUUCAAGAAUUUAGCAUUUUGCCCUAAUUUUUCUUGUUCACGCAAGCAUACGCUAGUUAGUCACGGCUAUAGUAAUUAUUAUGCAACUACAAUAAAUAAAAGCGAAUAGUUUAUGAAAGUGGUCAAUGUAUCUUUAUCAUUUAAAUUUCACUGUGCGAUCCUUCACUAUAUUGAAAUCAUCAAUAAAAAAAUCAAAUUUGUCGUGACCUUCAUUGCAAUCUCUUUCUCAAUAUGAGACAAGAAAUUAGAAAUCGGAAAUAGUUUAGGAGACAUGGAUUUGCCUACAUUUGGUUUGAGUCGGAGGAGGAACAUCAAGAGCAGAAUGCGCGGUUGAUGUUGCUCUCCAUCGCGGCCGCGACCACUUGCCAUCGUUGGCGUGAUGCCGCAGUCGCAGAGCUAGAGUCCGUGGCGCUGAGCGCGAAUGUCAAGUCCACUGCAACUGCGAGAUUGAAAACGAAACAUAGCGAGGACGAGAUCUUGUCAUCUUAGCGAGCGGCUGCAGGUGGCUGUAUGCGUUGGGCAGUUGGAUUUAGCUCCUAUGAUCUACUGACCAUUGGCUAACAAAGGGUAGCAAACAUUUUUUUUUUGGUUGGGUGUGACCAUGGUCCCUGCCCAGUUCCGGGCCACAGGAAGGCUCCUCCGCCUGCAGGAUGGAUGAGACAUCCAAAUUUUGUAUCCUAGCUAAAGUGCACCACAAAUAUUAAUAUUAAUAUUCUCGUAUAUAUGCCUAUUACAAACUUGUUUCUUGUUAACGCCAAACAUGAAUUGAAGGCAGUUUACAAUUAAUUUGCAAAAAGAUAAAAGAGGACUGUGGGCAGAGCAUCAUCAGUUGUAGACGCAGCUGCCGUCGUCGCUUCUGGCUGUUGGGUCGAAGUUGCCGGCCUUUGGGUCGGUGCACCCCUCGGGCACGGGCACGCCCACCUGCUGCGCCGCCUUGCCGUAGUACAAGUUGCCGGCGGUGAUGGCUUCGUCGUGGUUGGCGUCGCCGAGCGCCGCCUCGCUGAGGUACUUGUCGGCCAGCUGCACGCGCUUGACGUUCUCCUGCUCCGCCACCAGCAUGUGGCCGUACUCGAGCAGCUUCUCCAGCGUCAUCUUGGGCUGCUGGAACGUCGGCGGGCCCUCCCUGGAGUUGACGAGCUUCCGGCCGAUGUUCUCGAUGCCGGUCUCGGCGACCCACCGGCGCACCUCGUCGUCGUACACCCGGGCUCGCAGCGCGCCGAAGAAGUCGAUGGACUGCCCCGGGAAGGUGUCGACGAGCUUCACGACGGCCUCGUCGGGGACGCCGUCGGUGCGGAAGAUGCCCUUGCAGACUCCUAUCCUAUCCUCGCGGGUGGGCGCCCAGUAGAACUUGUCCAUGCGGCCGUCGCGGAUGAGCGGCGCGUACAGCGUGGAGAAGUCGUUGCCGGUGACGACGAUGGGGACACGGGGGUUCUCCUCCUUGUUGUACAUGCCGGGGAGCUGCACGUUGGUGGGGUUGUCGGCGAUGUUCAUCAGGGUGGCGUUCACCAUCUGGUUGUUCACCGUGUACUGCGUGGUGCCGCCCAUGCGCCCGGCGCCGGCGUCGAGGUCGUUGAUGAAGAGCACGCACAUCCUGCCCUUGCUGAUGAUGUCGGCGGCCUCGCGGUAGCGCUGGCGGAUGAGCUUGGCGGGCUCGCCGGCGUUGCCGCUCUCCAGCUCGCCGGCGCUCAUCAUGACGGGGUUGAUGCCCAUCUUGGCGAAGACGAGCUCGCACUGGAAGGACUUGCCCUGGCCCUUGCCGCCCCAGAUGCCCAGGAUGAGGGGCACCUUGAUGUUGGGCAGGGACAUGAAGUUCUUGGCGAUGUGGACCACCAGCUUGUCCAUGAACGCCGGAGCGAUGUAGUAGCCGUCCAUCAUGUUGUCCAGGUUGUACUGACGGAGACCCUGGCUGAGGUACUCGUAGGAGCUGAGCACGGCCUCGUGGGUGCCGUCGCCCAUGGGCGCCUGGAACAGGGAGUCCACCAGGCCCUUGCCGCGAGUGAUGUCCUGCUGGUCGUCGGAGAUGUCGUGGGCGAGGCCCCUCCACCUGUCGCUCUCGGUCUGCUUGGUCUCGUCCACGGCCUCCUUCUUACUAUUGCUGGCCGACGCCGCCAUCGCCAUGACGACGACUCUGCUUCGACGGUGCUGCUUCCUGGUGGUGAUGAGCUUCUUCUUCUUCUUCCCAACGCCGAGGAAGCUGCUCGGCGUCGAGGCCAAAUUUAAAGCAGCAGCAGCAGCCAUCUCGAUCGAUCGAUCUCAAGAUUAUUGGACGUACAAAUUGAAUGGGAUUGAAGAUGAUGACGAUGAGUUGUAGUAUAUAUAGCAGGGUAAAGAUAUGCAGCUGCUAAAUUGAUGAGCAGGCAGUAGCUAGUGUGGUCUGGAUCCUUCCCGAUUGCUCACUGGAUCUCCAGAACGUUAACGAACAAGUGUGCAGUGGUGGCCUGGUGGGUACGUGAGGCUGAUGAGUGGCCAACAUGUUAGUACGUCCAUCCAAACACUGCUAUCCCAGCCUGACAUGCGUACGCUGUCGAUCGGAUGGGCCGCGUGGGCCCCCACCCUGGAUUUAGCAUUUGAGUACCGCUCUAUCCAUCCAUCCUGUUUUAGCACAGCUUUUUUUAAGUGUUUAUAAUAAUUCUUACUAUAUAUCUUGUAUGUCUAAGAAAAAAAAUCAAAACAAACUACAGUUUAAAAUGGAGGGAAUAUUUAGCAAAAAAAAAUAGGCCAUGUUUGGACCGCAUAUACCGGCUCCAGGGAUCGCCAAAAUGAUUGAGCAAGAACCGAGGGUUUACUGAACCCUUGCAUUAACCCUCAAUCUAUGAGCUUAGUGCGCUAAGGUCGUUGGGUUGGGGAAAAAACUCAUCUUUAGUCGUACUUGCAUUGGAUGGUUCUUAGCGAUUUCAAGAUUAGCCGCUAGACGAUCGCAUAACCUUUGAUCUAACGGAUGACCACCGGGAGCCUUGUUUCUACUCUUUUGUCACGUUUUAGAUACUUGAGUCUCGAGGCUUUUGUCAAGAGAGAACGAAUUGAAGGAUCCAUACAGCUUUUACAAAGCAUGAGAAUCGAAAUUGGUGAUCAUCUCCACGGAAGGGGAGAAGACGACAGGGUAUGCAUGGCGAGCUCAGCAGCUGGCUGCAACGAGCUCUCUGCCGCAGCACGCAGCAGCUGGCGUGCUCCUCGAUCUAGAUAGAUUGUAACGUUUUCGUCAGCGCCCCUCGAUGCCGCCCUGGCUCUCCAUCGGAGUUCCUUUCUCCACUUCCGGUCACAUCAAUCUCCAUCGGCGGCUGUGGCUCACGGCUUCGCCGGAGGUGCCGGAGAGUCCAUUUGUCCAGGCCUCGCCGGCGUGGAGCGAGCGAGCGACCGACGACCUGGGGACGUCGGCGUUCACCCGGAACGCCGCGUGGGAGAGGAGAGGCGACAAAGAAAAAAAAAAAAGGGAAGCGUCAAGAGUACUGGUCGUUUUCUCCCUCUAUCUGAGGAGUGUUGAAAAGAAUUAUUGGAAUGGAACAAACCAAAAAAUAUUGAAAAAAAGAAGAUGCAUUUCCAAUACUAGUCGUUUUUUUGGGAAAGAGAGACCUUUUUUUUGAGGGGGGAAAAGAGAGACUGAUGCUCUGAGGAAUUGAGGAAACACAGGUACCAAAAAAAGAAGAGGGAGAAAACACAAGCCGGGCCUUAACGGGCGGCCAGGCUAUGGCCCGCUAAGGCACGGCCCGUUAAGGCCCGCUCGGGGUCCCCAUCCCACCACGCGCCCCUCCCAAGCCCAUGGGUCGUGGCUGGACUUAUGGGGGGAUCAUUCAUGGGGCAGCAGCUUCUCAUUUCUAGGACUCUGUUUCUGAUAUUGUUCCCGCUGCAUCUGCUCAUCCCCAUGGUGAAUGUUGCUGUUGAUCUGUAGAUUGGAUUUGUUGGUCGGUAGUUUGAUUAGAUUUGUGCUGAAUCAUAAUCUCUGCCUGUGAUAUUUUUCUUCAUUGCGGAUGUGUGCCGAGUAUUAUCCCCUUUGUUCAUUCUGUUGGCUUGCUUUCAUUGAUCUUAAGAUAACUGGUGUCAUAAAUUCACACUAGCUGAUGCACUUGCAGAUAGCUAUGUAAAUAUGAAAAAGAAGUAUUUUUUUUUAUCCUUUUGUUUUUUUUGCAUCAUAUCUGUUUAAAGGUACAGCAUUAGGAUUUUUUUUUGUUUCUGGGGAAUCAUAUCUGCUUAAAUGGUAUAGAAAAUGCUGAGCGUACUGUCAAAUAGAUUUUCCAGCAGUCUGCUUUCAGUUGUUUGCCGCGCAUUCACUGGGGAAGCACGCGCCAGGCAUCACCAGGCUCCUCGUGCCCCUGCUCUGCUCCAAGGACUCGGUGCUUCGACGCGCUGCUUUCCCUGUCAUUGUUAUGUUGAUAUUGGUUUACACGUGUCAUUCACCCCAAAUGGUGUUGCAAGGUUGAACCUAUUGUGGGAGGCUUUUGGUUUCCCUUGACCAAGUAUCACUAGUGAUAUCACUGCGUUCUGGUUAUGUAUGAAACACUUGUCUUUUUAAAACCUUUCUGAAUUUAGAAACGAAUUUGAAACCUUGGUUAUUCAUCAUGGGUUCACAGAUUUGUUUUUCUUUAAAAGAAUUGGGAAGUAGCUUUCUUUCUGGGUAUAUGUGGGGAAAUGCAUAUGCAAUCUUUUAUUUAUUGAGGUGACUGUAAAAUUCUUGUCUGACUGAAUAUGCGAUUUCAACCUACAUGCUAUACUUAGGGAAAUUUGUGAAUCUCCUAAUGUGGCUUAUAUGUGUGGAGUCACUUAACCUAUGCACUUGGACCUCCACGUUUUAUGAACCUAAUUUGACAGCCUGCUCGUCUUUUAUUUUCUACCAAUCAGCUAGGAACGAACAUGGUGAUGUUUGCAUCUCUGCCAUCAAUGGCUUACAUGUCAUUAUGUAUCACAUUAGCAAGUCUUGUUUUGUUAUUGGGCGGGAUGACGGGGACACUGGCUGGAAUUAAAUCAAAGUGGUAGAUCACAGGGUAUUCAUUGCCAUGUAUUUCUGCAGUUGCAUGGACUUGCAUCAAACGGACCUCCCUACUUAUGUGAUUGUCCUAUAUGAUCUCCUUUGAUUUCAUUUGCAUAGAGCUAUGUACACUGUAAUCACAUUAGCUAGAACACUCGCUUUUUGCUUCAAAUUUGAAAUUCAUACCAUGAUGGACUUGAACGCUGAAUUUCUUGAUUGCUGAGUUAGUAAUCACAUUGUGGCGCUGCCACAGAAGCUGGACUCUUCAUUGUUGUUGCCUUGUGGGCUGCCGUGUGCAAAGAACAAGAGCGCACGGUAUUAUAAUAGCAGAGCAGAACACAGACAAGCGACAAGGAGCGGAGCAGAGCAGAGCACAGCCAAGCACAAGCAGUAGAGUAGAGCAGAGCAACCGGGAGAGGAGAGGGCACAUAUGCAGAGUAGAGCAGAGCCAAGCGCAAGCAUUCAUGCACUCAAGCAUGCAGCAGAGGUGUAGCAAGGCAAGCACAAGCAGCAGAGCAGAGGGAAGGGAAGGCUGGGAGAUGAAUAGGCGAAUAGUUAGUUACCUGGACAGAGCAGAGGGAAUGGAGAUGAUGCAGAUGCUUCCGGAGACUGGAGAUUUGGAGAGGAACAAGGCCACGUUGUGAACAAGGUCUCCUUUCUCUUCUCUAUUUCCCGUGCAAUACUCGUGCAUAGUGGCUGCCUCAUCCUCCAGGACGCCCACUUCAACCUGAGGCGGGUGCCACAGAUAUCCUGGCUAGGCGACGGCUAUCCCCAGCACGCCCCAGCGCCUUACGAACUAUGAUCCUAAUACUAUAAAUUGUCACGUACUCACCUUGUAAUCUUGUUUCAAGCAUGCUCUAUAUGUCAACCUGUAAGGUUAACUUCGUUUUUCCUUUUCUGGGUAGGGAAGUGGAUAUUGCUGUUAUUUAUGUUAUGUUGAUAUUGGUUUCCACAUGUCAUUCAUCCCAAAUGUGUUGCAAGGUUGAACCUAUCAUCGGAGGAAUUUUUUUCCCUUGACCUUUAUAUCACUACGCUCUGGUUAUGUAUGAAACGCUUGUCUUCUUAAAAACCUUAAUUUAGAAACGAAUUUGAAAUAUUAUCUUCGUUUACAUCCUGUAUAUGUGUUCUCUACCUUUUGUCCUAUAUUACCUUUUGUCCUAUAUGAUCUGCUUUGAUUUCAUUUGUGCAUAGUUUUUUCAAUUCAGACCUGGUGAUUUCUGAGGUUGAUGUGUCACACCCGAUUUUAAGAGUGCAUUAAAUACAUGUGCGCCAGGAUCAAGUUACACACAUGUACGACAUAAGCAAAUAUCAAAGACAGUGCCAUAACGAAAUAAAGAGAGUAUUAAUCAUUAUUACAUGAUCGAAAGUCUCAAAUAAACCACAAAGUCUAUUUAUUAUGCAGCGGAACUCCUAAGAUAGCAACGUCUCCAUAGGCAGCUGACUGAAGAACUGUACGCCUAGAACUUCUCAAAAUUGUGCAGGUACUCCUCCAAAUUAGCUUGGUCUGAAUAGCGGUUUUGCAAGGGUGAGUACAUUUAUGGUUGAUACUCAACAAGUCGUGGGAAACAGUGUAGUGUAAAGCAAAUCAAGGUAUGGCUAAGGCUUAAACAGCAUCAGCUUUUAAUUUAGUUGGUCAAAUUUUAUUAGCAAUUAACUAGAUGUAAGUUUAUACCACCCAAAAUUAAACAAGAACAUGAAUAAAAUAAUAACAUAACCAUAAAUGAAAUGACAAUAAUUUAAAUCCAUCUUUCGAUAGCAUUAUCAUGUGAGCAAUUUUUUCCCCUUGACCUUUAUAUCACUACACUCUGGUUAUGUAUGAAACACUUGUCUUCUUAAAAAUCUUAAUUUAGAAACGAAUUUGAAGCAUUAUCUUCAUUUACAUCCUGUAUAUGUGUUUUCUACCUUUUGUCCUAUAUGAUCUGCUUUGAUUUAAUUUGUGCAUAGUUUUUUCAAUUCAGACCAAUUUCUGAGGUUCAUGUUGUGCUGAUAAGCAGCCUACUAUUCAAUAACACUUUCAUGUGGCAUGUUCAUGUUAGCUAGCUAGAAACACUGUGCUUUUAGCUUCAAAAUUCAAAUUCAUGAUAUUAUGGACAUUGACAAUGAAUUUCUUGAUUGCUAAGCUAUGUACACUGUAAUCAAAUUGUGGGGCUGAUAAAAUAAGUAGCGUUGAGACACAUAACAAUUGAAUCUUAAGCUUCACACAGAAUCUGGACUAGUCAUCCUCAUUCUUGUCAUGCUGGAAAUGUCUUUGAUACAUUUCAAUCACAGGCAAUUGAAUUCGUACUGGGGAGGAUGGCAAUGGUGCGUGAAGAGAGAUCAAUGUGGCAAAUCUCACACUGUUCAUUACCAGGUAUCUCUGAUUUCUGGUUAUUUUAAAUUUACCUUGACAUGUGACUUAUUGAGGUAGUGUAUUUCAUCUAAUGGUAGUUCUGAAUUUAUGGUAACCUUGGAUGGGGUUUGUCACUUUAUCCACGCACGGACUUACAAAGGACAGCAAAUGACUAUUUUUACAGGGCUCCUGUCUAACCAUGGACUAUACUUUAUGUACCCUUUUUUGACAUGGUAAUUUGAGGUUAAUGGAAAAGUAGCAUAUUUUCCCUGUAGUUACCUUGGGUUUACUUUCGCAUUGUUUUUUUACAGAGUUUGCAACCAGUGUUUCAUUAUCAGAUGAACGCAAGCAGAGGGUAUCACUCGUGGAGAGCCUUGGCGUUGCAGAGCAGUCCCACUCCAACUUGUAGAUAGUAUAUAUUCCCUCUGUUCUAAAAUGUAAGGUAUUUUGAUUUUUUUAGAUAUAUAGAUUCUACUAUGCUAACCUGAUAACCCCAUAAUCCAUCCUGAGGAAAAACCAGGCUAAGAAUAAGUGCUUUCAUGACAUUUAAAUGUCCUGGAAAGUCUUGUUUUGUUUAUAUGCUUAAGCAAAGUAGCUCUGGAGGGCAUGAAAGAAAAGCAUCGUGUUGAUGAGUAUUGCUGGAUGUUUAACUAUUAGUAUGGUAUAUUUAACUGAACAAGGCCUAGGACAGCACAAGGAUGGCCUUUAGGACAGCAUUGCUUUCUCGGCCUAAUUGGCGCCUUACAUUUGGCGACCAUACACGGCCCGUUAAGGAAAUUUAUGCCCAAGUUUGCCGAAGCAUUUAAGGCACAAAUGUUUUUGACUUCUGAUGGCCUGUUUUUGACCUCCCAUGGCCCAGUAGCGACCCUAGUUUUUAUCAGCAAUGACCAAAUGUUAGCCCAGUUUUGCCCCAUCUUAGGGUCUAAUCAUGGACCAAUAAAACAUGUGCUAGACUUCAUGGCCACCGGAUGCGUGUUCGGCCACGUAAUCGUGUGCUAUAGCUCACGGGAGGCUGAAAAUGGCCUGAAGGGGCACAGUGGAUGAAAACGUUAGGGACGCUCGGAACACAAGAAAAUGACCACCAGAUACGUGUUUGGCCAUUGUAACUGUGCGCUAUAGUUGAUAGGUCGAAAGCGGCUUGAAGAGGCAUCAGUGAUGGAAACAUGGGGGAUGGUCGGAACACUUGAAAAUGGCACUGGAUAAGUGUGCUUAUUCCUUGCGGGAUGCUGAAAAUGGCUUGGAAGGGUCAUCUAGGAUGGAAACUAGGUGGACAAUAAGUGAAAAUGGGCAGCGGACACGUGUUCGGUCAUGUAACCGUGUGCUAUAGUCCACUAGAGGUCGGAAAACUGCCCUAGGGACUCUAGAGAUGAAAAUGUGAGGAACAGCUGAAAGGUUACGUGUUUGGCCAUGACAGCCCUAUUAGGAAGCGAUAGAAGUGGAAAGAUAGCUGGUUUCAUAUUGGCAUCCCAUCUCUGAACUUUUGCUUCCCCCUUCCCUCCGUAAUCCCGGGGCAUCGAAUUAAAAAGUAUACAAAUCACUUUCAGAUGUAAUUGAGGGUAAAGAGGGGAGGUUUCACGAGACUCUACAAUGUUCAAAUCAUUCGUUCGUUAGGAUGCCUCAGCUUCAUACAUUGUUGCACUUCCACUUGACACCUAUUUAAAUGGUUCGUCUCGCUGCUACAAGGUAUCAUCAGAUAUAGAAGAAUCAGAGACCGGGGGUAAUAGCAAAAAAGGAAUAUAACUCGUCUGAGGAAGUGGGCGCAGGGGCAGUGGGGUAAGGUAAUUGAAGUAACUAGCCAGUUUCUUCCCGAAACUUUCCAAGAAAAAUUCCGAAUUGGAUCCAAAAUUGACGGAUUAAUCAACCAAAAUAACCGUGAGCAGCCACAAUGUUAUAAAUGUUAUAAGUCCCUUCUUCUUGACCAAAUUUGUAACUCUUAUUAGCAGACUCAUUUUUAGUGGUUUCCCUGAUCAAACUAGAGGUUACCAAGGAACCGUGUGCUAUAGCCCACAGAUGCCUGGAAACAGCUAGGAAGGGCUUCGGGGAUGGAAACAACGUGGACGGUCGGAACACGUGAGAAUGACCACGGGAUACAUGUUUGGCCCUGUAACAGUGUGCUAUAGGAAGCCGGAAAUGGCUAGGAGGGUCACCAGGGAUGAAGAUGCAGGGAUGGAUGGAACAUGUGAAAAUGACCACUAGUGGUUAGUGGCAGGUCUAGAGAGAUAUCUCAUCAAAUUGGUGAGUUAUAUCCGGUUUAAACGAGGAUAAAAAUGGGUGUAUUUUCCACUCAUCAUAUUGUCUUUUCGUAGCUGUACCGCCUUUCGUGUGUUGUAUUGUUCCCCAAACACUAAGUCUCCGAGGCUUGAGAAAAUAAGGAAAGUGAUAGCAGCCCAAAAAUUGACCAAGUUUCUUUCCCCCUCUGGCUUUCUACUAGGAUUCAGAAUCCUCUUUUCCAUGACAAUCUUAAUUAUCUCCCAUACUCCAAAACUCACAAAAACAUCAAGAGUCCGCUGAGAAUAAAUUUAAGUAAAAAACAUGCACACAUAGAUCCACAUCCAAUGGCAAGGAAAGGGGCGUCAGACAAAGCCCAAUGGCAACUGCUGACAUGCGAUUAAAUUCAGAUCCACAUCCGGCCAUUCAAUAAUACGGUUGGAGUUGUGGCACAGAUAUAUUAUUGCAUGAUCAUCAAGAUAAGAUCGUACAGUGACUGAGUGAGACAAUAAAUAGCCAAGUAAACUAUUUUAUCCUGCUGCAAGCUGCAUUCAUAAGUUUAUUUCACCUUUGAUCACAAUACUCUUCACACACGUACGUCUCAGGGAGAUCUCACUUCCGCUGGACUGCUCACUUCCGCUGUCGUCGGUACUGCCAAAGACAUAAGCUCACAUCUGCUAUUGCGGAGCAGGCCAAUUUGCUGCGGAACUUCGGCGACGACCUGAAGGACAUGAACUCGGUGCUGGAGUCCAUCUCAGCAGCGCUCUAGGACGCUGACACCGGUAGAAAAACGACCUUCCAUCGUCAACAAAAAUCCCGGUAGCUUUUUUACUCGGUACUAAAGAGGUUUUAAUCUCGUGCAAACACCUUUAGUCCAGAUUGCUAUUACCACGCAACCCGGACUAAAGCGUCCCCCGCGAGUUAGUAUAUAAGGAUUGCAUCCUUUACUCAGUCAGAUAUAAUAUGUAGGUGAGAUGGUAAGGAAGCUAUGCGUGAGGCUUCAGGUUGUGGGUUCGAAUCCAAGUGGGUGCAGCUGUGGCUUAAGCGGCUGAGGCACGCCGCCAUAGACAUCUCAGAUUUGCUCGAAGACUACCAAGACACUAGUGAACCCUUAACAGUAAAGGUGAGUACUUAUGAAUGUCAGCAUCCAUGUUGUCCAUGCUUCCAAUGUAAUAACAAGAUGGACUACUCUUCCUAGCGGACUCUUCACAACCACUCGUAAAGCUAUGCGUUUCUCAAUGCAAUUUCGUAGAAGCCAAUCGAUCCAACCAAGUGACUAAAUCAUUCGUCCUUUCCAAUGAUGUGCAUCAGGUUUUCUAUAUGAAGGGCAUGUCUAGCAAACCUAAGAUUUCAGAAGAAAAAGAAAAAUCAUUGGAGCCAAAGAGCCACAUAGUUCUUCUAGGAAAAAAAUCAUGGGAGUCGAGAACAUAUCAAACCAAUCAGGGGAUUAUGGUCAGCUUAAUGGCAUGCCUCCAUUCGAUGUCGAAGUUCACCCAAGCAUCAUGUUAGCCAAACAUCAAAUGUUCGUGCGUUGUUACGGUAAAGAUCAAUUGUGUUUUUUAAACUCUUGGAAUUUUUUUAUCUAAGUUUUUAUUUACACUUAUUGGAUGUCUACACAUUUGCUAGAAAACUAAAAUAAUUUGGACUUAAUUAUUUCUUUCAACUGAAGUACUCACUAAAUUUCUACCUUUUUAUUUAAGCAAGAGAGUUGCUAAAAAAAAUGGAUACGUAACCAUGUUGUAUCAUACAAAGUAACCACGUUUCACAUAUAGUCCGGCUUAGCAAACACCAUUGUUUUCUGAACAUAGCGUACAUGAGUUAACAGACAUGGAUUUAUUUCUAUUGCAAGUAGCAUAGCGUACAACCUGCCUGCACCGAUGCAGCUCAAUAUGCGAUAAUUUUUAUCUUCCCAUGUAAUUUUUCUACUCUAGUACAUAUUGAACUCCACAUUAAUGUCAUGUUCUUUCGCGCCCCAGAAGGUUCCUAAAGUUUGGAAACUUAAUAGAUAGCCAGAAUUUUUUUUAAAGAUAUUUAUAUGGAUACUUGUAUGUUCUUUCCAAACUAACAAUAUUGUUUACCAAUAUCAGAAGGAAUAUGGUUAGGAGCCAUUGCCGCAUAUGGCAGGUGAUGGUAGAUGGCGUAUGGGGUUUCGUUAAUUUAAUGGUAUAAUAAGCUGAAAUACAUUUUCUAUUUGCAAAUGAAUCAUAGCUGAAAUUGGUGGGAUUGUUUUUUUCGCCGGUUUAGCAUCCUGUGCACCAGUUCAACCGGAGGGAAGCUGUUUUUUUUCUUUGGUUUUCCACCGGUUCACCGAGACCGAUGACAAUUUUAUGGCAGAAUCAUUACUUGUUUUACUAUUAGGUGAAGAUUUUAGCGUUUAGGUAUCUCACAUUAAACGCAACUUCAACAAUCUAUUUCUAGUGUAUAAUGUAGGAGACCCCGUAAAGAGUCUACACACACAUAUAUGUUGACUAUGAAUGUAAGUUUGUUGGUUUUAUGUAUGUUCGUUUGGAGUUUAUGUAAAUUUUACAUUUUAUAGUUUUGUGUAUAUGACGAAGAUCCAUGACUUGCAUUAAUUUAGCCUUUCUUCCAACAACUCUUAUGCAUGCUGUUUCUAGGCGAGCGUACUGGUUGCAAUUUUGGUCCCCGAUAUAGUGUGAGGACUUAAGGGACACGUGCAGGUCGUAACCUUAGAUAUUUUUGCUGAGAAUGGAUGAAGAAGCAAUAAUAUACUUUGCUUCUGAUUUUCUCCAUGUCAUUUGCUUACUCUUAUCCCUUUUAUUUAUCAUUAUAAGAUGAAAAUAUUGUAAAAACUUGGCUACGUGCGGUCGCAGAAGCUAGAGACUAAAGCGUCCCCCACGAGUUACUAUAUAAAAGGAUUGCAUCCUCUACUCAGUCAUAUGUACUGUGUAGGUGAGAUGGUAAGGAAGCUAUGUGUGAGGCUUGAGGUUGUAGGUUCGAAUCCCACGCACCGCGUGCGCAUGCGCAUAUUUUGCGUGAAAAAUCGCAUGACUUGUGGUCGGCCAAGGAGAAGUGCGUGCGGCUGAGGCACGCCGCCAUAGACAUCUCGGAUUUGCUCCAAGACUACCAAGACACUAGCGAACCCUUAACGGCAAAGUUGAGUACUUACGCGUGUUAGCAUCUAUGUUGUCCAUGCUUCCAAUGCAAUAACAAGAAGGGCUACUCAUCCUAGCGGAUUCUUCACAACCACUCGUAAAGCUAUGCGUUUCUCAAUGCAAUUUCGUAGAUGUCAAUCGAUCCAACCAAGCGACUGAAUCAUUCGUCCUUGCUAAUGAUGUGCAUCAGGUUUUCUAUAUGAAGAACAUGUCUAGCAAAUCCAAGAUUUCAGAAGAAAAAUAAAAAUCAUGAGAACCAAAGCACCACGUAGUUCUUCCAGGUAAAAAAAACAAUCAUCCACUGGGAUGACACACAGUAGCGAUCCAAAACGUCCAUAUUAAGACUUUUUGAUAGCAGAAAAAACAUGAAAAUGUCUAAUAUUUGUAGUAUUAAAAGGAAAAAUAAUAUAUUCACUUGACCUUUUUUUCGUAGCAACGCACCGGUGCGUAGUCAGACUUAGGCCACGUUUGGAUACUCCCUACUAAAGUUUAGCACCUGUCACAUAGGAUGUUUGGAUACUAAUUAGGAGUAUUAAACAUAGGCUAAUUAUAAAACUAAUUGAACAGAUGGAGUCUAAUUUGCGAGACGAAUCUAUUAAGCCUAACUAGUCCAUGAUUUGACAAUGUGGUGCUACAGUAACCAUUUGCUAAUGGUGGAUUAAUUAGGCUUAAUAGAUUCGUCUCGCGAAUUAACAUAGGGUUCUGCAAUUAAUUUUAUAAUUAGCUCAUGUCUAGUCCUUCUAAUUAGCAUCCGAACAUCUGAUAUGAUACUGCUAAAGUUUAUCACCUAGUAUCCAAAUACCCCCUUAAUGCACGAUGCCUGUGCAUCCACUGGGCCUACCCUCGUGGAUCACGCGCUCGUGGAUCACGCGCACCAUGACAUGGCUCAUUAGCUAGUCGUGCUAAUCCUUACCACCAAAUUAAAAACUAGCAUGUGUUGUGUGUUUGUGACCCUAAACGACUACCACCUUCCCGAGUCCACCGGAGUUGCCAGUUCACCACUAAGCUGACUCUCCGAGCUUCAUGUCACUGUCACCGCUCCAAAGACCUAGAUCGGUUCGCUGUGCACCCCGCUUCGUCCUGAGCUAAAUCCCAUCACGAAAGGUGACCGGAUGCUCGUUUUCGAGCGAAUUCUAGCGAGAUUGCCACCACCUUUCCCCUUCCAGCCGAUCGCAGCUGUCUGAUCACAAACCGACAGCCCAGAUCGGAUUUGACCAGGUCAAUACCGGUCAAGCCGAGAUGCAUGCUGCUUUUGCAAGAAGGCCCCUAUUUUUCUCUCUUUUUGCACUUGAGGUCCUACGCAGUUCAAAAGUAAUUAGAUCUAGAUCCUUUUUCUUCUGUUUUAGCCCUGUUCUUUUAUAAAAUCCCACCCGCCAUCCUGUUUGGUAUUUUGACAUGUUAGACCUUCUAUUUAUAUGUUUAAUUAGGUUUUAGCCCUUGGUUUCUUUAAGUUUAGCUCUUGGAAGUUUAGUUUUCUCGCAGUUAAGCCCCUGAACCUUGUUUAGUUCAUAUCUUUAGCGUUUUAAAUCCGUUUUAAGAGAUUCUUACGCCCAUAAGUUCGUGUUGAUGCAUAGAUUAGUUGACUUAUACGGACCUUGCUGAUUCAGCUCCUUCAUUGUGCUUCAGAUCUCGCUAGUGAAGAAUAAUGGAUGGGCUUUGGUUGAGCUUGUAGAUCGACCUGCAGUUGCAGUGAAUGUGCUGAGGACUGGCGGUACCAAUAAUGGGAGGCCGCUGCUCUGCUUGCUACCAAGGCCUGCGACGCUUGGACGCCAUUCAGAGUGCAUAAUUUCCAAGGAUCUCAAGGGCUCCACACCACGUUCCAAGUGUUUUUUCUUUGCCGAGUGUUUUUAGCUCGGCACUUGGCAAAGAGCUUGUUUGCCGAGUGUCCGAAAAAAACACUUGGCAAAGAGAAAACACUCGGCAAAUUUGAUGUUUCCCGUAGUGAUGUACUAUUCAAACUUGAACUGGGAUGCAGGCUUCAGUACCAAAGAGAGCUCUGGGCGCGGGUGAGCAGUGAGCUGGCCGGGCAGGGAGCUCCAAAGCGACAGCAACAAAGAGAGAAAUGCUAAGAGUAAGAACGACACACGAGGUCACUUCACAUAGAUAAUAGCAGUACGAACCAUACAAUAUCCUCUCUCAGUUUCACUCCGCCUCACACACGGCUAGCACACCAUGCAUGCCGAUUUCAUAUUAUUAAUAUUAUUUUUUGGAUGGUUGUUGAAACUAUAUAUAUAGUUAGUCCAAUCUCACGUUUCCGAUUAUAAAAAUCAACGUAAAGAGAUCGGUAGGGAGAGCCGGCAUAAUGAAGCCGACGCGUGUAAUAAGCACCAGAGCCGGCAUUUAUACAAACUGGUACGAAUAGUAAAAAACUAGAAUUUAUAAAUAAAAAAAUGAUUUGCACAUCUAUGCAAUAAUUAGGGGUUAGUGGCAGGUCUAGAGAGAUAUCUCAUCAUUAUAUCCGGUUUAACGAGGAUAAAAAAGAGUGUAUUUUCCACUCAUCAUGUUGUCUUUUCGCAGCGGUACCACUUUUCGUGUGUUGUAUCGGUCCCCUAAUACGGAGUCUCCGAGGCCCGAGAAAAUAAGGAAAGUGAUAGUAGCCCAGAAAUCGGCCAAGUUUCUUUCCCCUUUGGCUUUCCUACUAGGAUUCAGAAUCCUCUUUCGCAUGACAAUCUUAAUUAUCUCCCAUACUCCAAAACUCACAAAAACAUCAAGAGUCCGCUGAGAAUAAAUUUAAGUAAAAAACAUGCACACACAGAUAAUAAUAAUAAUCAUGUUUCCAUAAAAUUGCUAAGUCCAGAGAUAAUACAUAAACAUAGUAGACUGUUCAUGACACAUAUCACGGUGGACAGUGUUUGUGUCCUUAUUACAAGCAACGAGAGAUGCUCGUCACCAACACGCGCGCGCACAGAUGCACGACAUACAUAUAGUAGAGACCAACAGAUGGUCGUCCCAUAUGGUGAACAAUUUAUUGGAGAUAAAUAUUAACGUAACUUGGCCAUAGCUUGAAGCAUAGCAACAUAUGCCUAUGAGUGGCAUUCAUGCUAUCGUUUUAGGCUUGUCCAGCUCCUUCCAUCUUAGCAAGCACUUCCAUUUCUACCAUCUUAGCAGCAACUGUCAAAUUGAGAUACGGAAAUCCCAUUAGCGCAUGAGUUAAUUUUGCAGUGGAAAUAGAGUACAAGAUGUCUUCAUGAUGUAAGUAAUAUGCCUGAAGUUGUGAGAUGGGAAGUGAAGUCAACAAAUUACAUUAACGGAAAUGCAUGGAAGGCCACACAUACGUAUUAGUCCAUGAUAUGCUACAAAGCUUGUAUGUACAUAUAGCAAAUUAAAUGCAUUAAUUGAAUAGAGUGUGUUUAGUGAAUUUACCAGAAUCGUCCAGAAAACAUGGGAAACAGCAAGUGUUCUUGCAGACUGCGUCGGAGGCACCCGCACGAAUACAAAGCUGACAACAUAGUUUUGCCUGGGCGGAUGCGCAGCAGCCGCACUCCGCCGCGGUGGGGUUAACAUUGAGGCUCAAGAUGACCAGGCACAUGAUCACCAUCAAAGUGGUAGUCCUCUUUCCCUCCAUUGCCUCCUCUUAGCUUGCUGCUACCUUCCUUGGUUACCUAGCUAAGUUUAUUGGUUUUGUGUUGAGAGGUGUGAUUCUUGAAUGGACGUUGCCGGCGGCAAUUUAUAGGCAGCUGAGCUAUGUGAUGAUAUGGACUAGGUGCAAAUGGGUGGUUAAUGGCAAGGAAAGGGGCGUCAGACAAAGCCCAAUGGCAACUGCUGACAUGCGAUUAAAUUCAGAUCCACAUCCGGCCAUUCAAUAAUACGGUUGGAGUUGUGGCACAGAUAUAUUAUUGCAUGAUCAUCAAGAUAAGAUCGUACAGUGACUGAGUGAGACAAUAAAUAGCCAAGUAAACUAUUUUAUCCUGCUGCAAGCUGCAUUCAUAAGUUUAUUUCACCUUUGAUCACAAUACUCUUCACACACGUACGUCUCAGGGAGAUCUCACUUCCGCUGGACUGCUCACUUCCGCUGUCGUCGGUACUGCCAAAGACAUAAGCUCACAUCUGCUAUUGCGGAGCAGGCCAAUUUGCUGCGGAACUUCGGCGACGACCUGAAGGACAUGAACUCGGUGCUGGAGUCCAUCUCAGCAGCGCUCUAGGACGCUGACACCGGUAGAAAAACGACCUUCCAUCGUCAACAAAAAUCCCGGUAGCUUUUUUACUCGGUACUAAAGAGGUUUUAAUCUCGUGCAAACACCUUUAGUCCAGAUUGCUAUUACCACGCAACCCGGACUAAAGCGUCCCCCGCGAGUUAGUAUAUAAGGAUUGCAUCCUUUACUCAGUCAGAUAUAAUAUGUAGGUGAGAUGGUAAGGAAGCUAUGCGUGAGGCUUCAGGUUGUGGGUUCGAAUCCAAGUGGGUGCAGCUGUGGCUUAAGCGGCUGAGGCACGCCGCCAUAGACAUCUCAGAUUUGCUCGAAGACUACCAAGACACUAGUGAACCCUUAACAGUAAAGGUGAGUACUUAUGAAUGUCAGCAUCCAUGUUGUCCAUGCUUCCAAUGUAAUAACAAGAUGGACUACUCUUCCUAGCGGACUCUUCACAACCACUCGUAAAGCUAUGCGUUUCUCAAUGCAAUUUCGUAGAAGCCAAUCGAUCCAACCAAGUGACUAAAUCAUUCGUCCUUUCCAAUGAUGUGCAUCAGGUUUUCUAUAUGAAGGGCAUGUCUAGCAAACCUAAGAUUUCAGAAGAAAAAGAAAAAUCAUUGGAGCCAAAGAGCCACAUAGUUCUUCUAGGAAAAAAAUCAUGGGAGUCGAGAACAUAUCAAACCAAUCAGGGGAUUAUGGUCAGCUUAAUGGCAUGCCUCCAUUCGAUGUCGAAGUUCACCCAAGCAUCAUGUUAGCCAAACAUCAAAUGUUCGUGCGUUGUUACGGUAAAGAUCAAUUGUGUUUUUUAAACUCUUGGAAUUUUUUUAUCUAAGUUUUUAUUUACACUUAUUGGAUGUCUACACAUUUGCUAGAAAACUAAAAUAAUUUGGACUUAAUUAUUUCUUUCAACUGAAGUACUCACUAAAUUUCUACCUUUUUAUUUAAGCAAGAGAGUUGCUAAAAAAAAUGGAUACGUAACCAUGUUGUAUCAUACAAAGUAACCACGUUUCACAUAUAGUCCGGCUUAGCAAACACCAUUGUUUUCUGAACAUAGCGUACAUGAGUUAACAGACAUGGAUUUAUUUCUAUUGCAAGUAGCAUAGCGUACAACCUGCCUGCACCGAUGCAGCUCAAUAUGCGAUAAUUUUUAUCUUCCCAUGUAAUUUUUCUACUCUAGUACAUAUUGAACUCCACAUUAAUGUCAUGUUCUUUCGCGCCCCAGAAGGUUCCUAAAGUUUGGAAACUUAAUAGAUAGCCAGAAUUUUUUUUAAAGAUAUUUAUAUGGAUACUUGUAUGUUCUUUCCAAACUAACAAUAUUGUUUACCAAUAUCAGAAGGAAUAUGGUUAGGAGCCAUUGCCGCAUAUGGCAGGUGAUGGUAGAUGGCGUAUGGGGUUUCGUUAAUUUAAUGGUAUAAUAAGCUGAAAUACAUUUUCUAUUUGCAAAUGAAUCAUAGCUGAAAUUGGUGGGAUUGUUUUUUUCGCCGGUUUAGCAUCCUGUGCACCAGUUCAACCGGAGGGAAGCUGUUUUUUUUCUUUGGUUUUCCACCGGUUCACCGAGACCGAUGACAAUUUUAUGGCAGAAUCAUUACUUGUUUUACUAUUAGGUGAAGAUUUUAGCGUUUAGGUAUCUCACAUUAAACGCAACUUCAACAAUCUAUUUCUAGUGUAUAAUGUAGGAGACCCCGUAAAGAGUCUACACACACAUAUAUGUUGACUAUGAAUGUAAGUUUGUUGGUUUUAUGUAUGUUCGUUUGGAGUUUAUAUAAAUUUUACAUUUUAUAGUUUUGUGUAUAUGACGAAGAUCCAUGACUUGCAUUAAUUUAGCCUUUCUUCCAACAACUCUUAUGCAUGCUGUUUCUAGGCGAGCGUACUGGUUGCAAUUUUGGUCCCCGAUAUAGUGUGAGGACUUAAGGGACACGUGCAGGUCGUAACCUUAGAUAUUUUUGCUGAGAAUGGAUGAAGAAGCAAUAAUAUACUUUGCUUCUGAUUUUCUCCAUGUCAUUUGCUUACUCUUAUCCCUUUUAUUUAUCAUUAUAAGAUGAAAAUAUUGUAAAAACUUGGCUACGUGCGGUCGCAGAAGCUAGAGACUAAAGCGUCCCCCACGAGUUACUAUAUAAAAGGAUUGCAUCCUCUACUCAGUCAUAUGUACUGUGUAGGUGAGAUGGUAAGGAAGCUAUGUGUGAGGCUUGAGGUUGUAGGUUCGAAUCCCACGCACCGCGUGCGCAUGCGCAUAUUUUGCGUGAAAAAUCGCAUGACUUGUGGUCGGCCAAGGAGAAGUGCGUGCGGCUGAGGCACGCCGCCAUAGACAUCUCGGAUUUGCUCCAAGACUACCAAGACACUAGCGAACCCUUAACGGCAAAGUUGAGUACUUACGCGUGUUAGCAUCUAUGUUGUCCAUGCUUCCAAUGCAAUAACAAGAAGGGCUACUCAUCCUAGCGGAUUCUUCACAACCACUCGUAAAGCUAUGCGUUUCUCAAUGCAAUUUCGUAGAUGUCAAUCGAUCCAACCAAGCGACUGAAUCAUUCGUCCUUGCUAAUGAUGUGCAUCAGGUUUUCUAUAUGAAGAACAUGUCUAGCAAAUCCAAGAUUUCAGAAGAAAAAUAAAAAUCAUGAGAACCAAAGCACCACGUAGUUCUUCCAGGUAAAAAAAACAAUCAUCCACUGGGAUGACACACAGUAGCGAUCCAAAACGUCCAUAUUAAGACUUUUUGAUAGCAGAAAAAACAUGAAAAUGUCUAAUAUUUGUAGUAUUAAAAGGAAAAAUAAUAUAUUCACUUGACCUUUUUUUCGUAGCAACGCACCGGUGCGUAGUCAGACUUAGGCCACGUUUGGAUACUCCCUACUAAAGUUUAGCACCUGUCACAUAGGAUGUUUGGAUACUAAUUAGGAGUAUUAAACAUAGGCUAAUUAUAAAACUAAUUGAACAGAUGGAGUCUAAUUUGCGAGACGAAUCUAUUAAGCCUAACUAGUCCAUGAUUUGACAAUGUGGUGCUACAGUAACCAUUUGCUAAUGGUGGAUUAAUUAGGCUUAAUAGAUUCGUCUCGCGAAUUAACAUAGGGUUCUGCAAUUAAUUUUAUAAUUAGCUCAUGUCUAGUCCUUCUAAUUAGCAUCCGAACAUCUGAUAUGAUACUGCUAAAGUUUAUCACCUAGUAUCCAAAUACCCCCUUAAUGCACGAUGCCUGUGCAUCCACUGGGCCUACCCUCGUGGAUCACGCGCUCGUGGAUCACGCGCACCAUGACAUGGCUCAUUAGCUAGUCGUGCUAAUCCUUACCACCAAAUUAAAAACUAGCAUGUGUUGUGUGUUUGUGACCCUAAACGACUACCACCUUCCCGAGUCCACCGGAGUUGCCAGUUCACCACUAAGCUGACUCUCCGAGCUUCAUGUCACUGUCACCGCUCCAAAGACCUAGAUCGGUUCGCUGUGCACCCCGCUUCGUCCUGAGCUAAAUCCCAUCACGAAAGGUGACCGGAUGCUCGUUUUCGAGCGAAUUCUAGCGAGAUUGCCACCACCUUUCCCCUUCCAGCCGAUCGCAGCUGUCUGAUCACAAACCGACAGCCCAGAUCGGAUUUGACCAGGUCAAUACCGGUCAAGCCGAGAUGCAUGCUGCUUUUGCAAGAAGGCCCCUAUUUUUCUCUCUUUUUGCACUUGAGGUCCUACGCAGUUCAAAAGUAAUUAGAUCUAGAUCCUUUUUCUUCUGUUUUAGCCCUGUUCUUUUAUAAAAUCCCACCCGCCAUCCUGUUUGGUAUUUUGACAUGUUAGACCUUCUAUUUAUAUGUUUAAUUAGGUUUUAGCCCUUGGUUUCUUUAAGUUUAGCUCUUGGAAGUUUAGUUUUCUCGCAGUUAAGCCCCUGAACCUUGUUUAGUUCAUAUCUUUAGCGUUUUAAAUCCGUUUUAAGAGAUUCUUACGCCCAUAAGUUCGUGUUGAUGCAUAGAUUAGUUGACUUAUACGGACCUUGCUGAUUCAGCUCCUUCAUUGUGCUUCAGAUCUCGCUAGUGAAGAAUAAUGGAUGGGCUUUGGUUGAGCUUGUAGAUCGACCUGCAGUUGCAGUGAAUGUGCUGAGGACUGGCGGUACCAAUAAUGGGAGGCCGCUGCUCUGCUUGCUACCAAGGCCUGCGACGCUUGGACGCCAUUCAGAGUGCAUAAUUUCCAAGGAUCUCAAGGGCUCCACACCACGUUCCAAGUGUUUUUUCUUUGCCGAGUGUUUUUAGCUCGGCACUUGGCAAAGAGCUUGUUUGCCGAGUGUCCGAAAAAAACACUUGGCAAAGAGAAAACACUCGGCAAAUUUGAUGUUUCCCGUAGUGAUGUACUAUUCAAACUUGAACUGGGAUGCAGGCUUCAGUACCAAAGAGAGCUCUGGGCGCGGGUGAGCAGUGAGCUGGCCGGGCAGGGAGCUCCAAAGCGACAGCAACAAAGAGAGAAAUGCUAAGAGUAAGAACGACACACGAGGUCACUUCACAUAGAUAAUAGCAGUACGAACCAUACAAUAUCCUCUCUCAGUUUCACUCCGCCUCACACACGGCUAGCACACCAUGCAUGCCGAUUUCAUAUUAUUAAUAUUAUUUUUUGGAUGGUUGUUGAAACUAUAUAUAUAGUUAGUCCAAUCUCACGUUUCCGAUUAUAAAAAUCAACGUAAAGAGAUCGGAAGGGAGAGCCGGCAUAAUGAAGCCGACGCGUGUAAUAAGCACCAGAGCCGGCAUUUAUACAAACUGGUACGAAUAGUAAAAAACUAGAAUUUAUAAAUAAAAAAAUGAUUUGCACAUCUAUGCAAUAAUUAGGGGUUAGUGGCAGGUCUAGAGAGAUAUCUCAUCAUUAUAUCCGGUUUAACGAGGAUAAAAAAGAGUGUAUUUUCCACUCAUCAUGUUGUCUUUUCGCAGCGGUACCACUUUUCGUGUGUUGUAUCGGUCCCCUAAUACGGAGUCUCCGAGGCCCGAGAAAAUAAGGAAAGUGAUAGUAGCCCAGAAAUCGGCCAAGUUUCUUUCCCCUUUGGCUUUCCUACUAGGAUUCAGAAUCCUCUUUCGCAUGACAAUCUUAAUUAUCUCCCAUACUCCAAAACUCACAAAAACAUCAAGAUUCCGCUGAGAAUAAAUUUAAGUAAAAAACAUGCACACACAGAUAAUAAUAAUAAUCAUGUUUCCAUAAAAUUGCUAAGUCCAGAGAUAAUACAUAAACAUAGUAGACUGUUCAUGACACAUAUCACGGUGGACAGUGUUUGUGUCCUUAUUACAAGCAACGAGAGAUGCUCGUCACCAACACGCGCGCGCACAGAUGCACGACAUACAUAUAGUAGAGACCAACAGAUGGUCGUCCCAUAUGGUGAACAAUUUAUUGGGGAUAAAUAUUAACGUAACUUGGCCAUAGCUUGAAGCAUAGCAACAUAUGCCUAUGAGUGGCAUUCAUGCUAUCGUUUUAGGCUUGUCCAGCUCCUUCCAUCUUAGCAAGCACUUCCAUUUCUACCAUCUUAGCAGCAACUGUCAAAUUGAGAUACGGAAAUCCCAUUAGCGCAUGAGUUAAUUUUGCAGUGGAAAUAGAGUACAAGAUGUCUUCAUGAUGUAAGUAAUAUGCCUGAAGUUGUGAGAUGGGAAGUGAAGUCAACAAAUUACAUUAACGGAAAUGCAUGGAAGGCCACACAUACGUAUUAGUCCAUGAUAUGCUACAAAGCUUGUAUGUACAUAUAGCAAAUUAAAUGCAUUAAUUGAAUAGAGUGUGUUUAGUGAAUUUACCAGAAUCGUCCAGAAAACAUGGGAAACAGCAAGUGUUCUUGCAGACUGCGUCGGAGGCACCCGCACGAAUACAAAGCUGACAACAUAGUUUUGCCUGGGCGGAUGCGCAGCAGCCGCACUCCGCCGCGGUGGGGUUAACAUUGAGGCUCAAGAUGACCAGGCACAUGAUCACCAUCAAAGUGGUAGUCCUCUUUCCCUCCAUUGCCUCCUCUUAGCUUGCUGCUACCUUCCUUGGUUACCUAGCUAAGUUUAUUGGUUUUGUGUUGAGAGGUGUGAUUUUUGAAUGGACGUUGCCGGCGGCAAUUUAUAGGCAGCUGAGCUAUGUGAUGAUAUGGACUAGGUGCAAAUGGGUGGUUAAUGGCAAGGAAAGGGGCGUCAGACAAAGCCCAAUGGCAACUGCUGACAUGCGAUUAAAUUCAGAUCCACAUCCGGCCAUUCAAUAAUACGGUUGGAGUUGUGGCACAGAUAUAUUAUUGCAUGAUCAUCAAGAUAAGAUCGUACAGUGACUGAGUGAGACAAUAAAUAGCCAAGUAAACUAUUUUAUCCUGCUGCAAGCUGCAUUCAUAAGUUUAUUUCACCUUUGAUCACAAUACUCUUCACACACGUACGUCUCAGGGAGAUCUCACUUCCGCUGGACUGCUCACUUCCGCUGUCGUCGGUACUGCCAAAGACAUAAGCUCACAUCUGCUAUUGCGGAGCAGGCCAAUUUGCUGCGGAACUUCGGCGACGACCUGAAGGACAUGAACUCGGUGCUGGAGUCCAUCUCAGCAGCGCUCUAGGACGCUGACACCGGUAGAAAAACGACCUUCCAUCGUCAACAAAAAUCCCGGUAGCUUUUUUACUCGGUACUAAAGAGGUUUUAAUCUCGUGCAAACACCUUUAGUCCAGAUUGCUAUUACCACGCAACCCGGACUAAAGCGUCCCCCGCGAGUUAGUAUAUAAGGAUUGCAUCCUUUACUCAGUCAGAUAUAAUAUGUAGGUGAGAUGGUAAGGAAGCUAUGCGUGAGGCUUCAGGUUGUGGGUUCGAAUCCAAGUGGGUGCAGCUGUGGCUUAAGCGGCUGAGGCACGCCGCCAUAGACAUCUCAGAUUUGCUCGAAGACUACCAAGACACUAGUGAACCCUUAACAGUAAAGGUGAGUACUUAUGAAUGUCAGCAUCCAUGUUGUCCAUGCUUCCAAUGUAAUAACAAGAUGGACUACUCUUCCUAGCGGACUCUUCACAACCACUCGUAAAGCUAUGCGUUUCUCAAUGCAAUUUCGUAGAAGCCAAUCGAUCCAACCAAGUGACUAAAUCAUUCGUCCUUUCCAAUGAUGUGCAUCAGGUUUUCUAUAUGAAGGGCAUGUCUAGCAAACCUAAGAUUUCAGAAGAAAAAGAAAAAUCAUUGGAGCCAAAGAGCCACAUAGUUCUUCUAGGAAAAAAAUCAUGGGAGUCGAGAACAUAUCAAACCAAUCAGGGGAUUAUGGUCAGCUUAAUGGCAUGCCUCCAUUCGAUGUCGAAGUUCACCCAAGCAUCAUGUUAGCCAAACAUCAAAUGUUCGUGCGUUGUUACGGUAAAGAUCAAUUGUGUUUUUUAAACUCUUGGAAUUUUUUUAUCUAAGUUUUUAUUUACACUUAUUGGAUGUCUACACAUUUGCUAGAAAACUAAAAUAAUUUGGACUUAAUUAUUUCUUUCAACUGAAGUACUCACUAAAUUUCUACCUUUUUAUUUAAGCAAGAGAGUUGCUAAAAAAAAUGGAUACGUAACCAUGUUGUAUCAUACAAAGUAACCACGUUUCACAUAUAGUCCGGCUUAGCAAACACCAUUGUUUUCUGAACAUAGCGUACAUGAGUUAACAGACAUGGAUUUAUUUCUAUUGCAAGUAGCAUAGCGUACAACCUGCCUGCACCGAUGCAGCUCAAUAUGCGAUAAUUUUUAUCUUCCCAUGUAAUUUUUCUACUCUAGUACAUAUUGAACUCCACAUUAAUGUCAUGUUCUUUCGCGCCCCAGAAGGUUCCUAAAGUUUGGAAACUUAAUAGAUAGCCAGAAUUUUUUUUAAAGAUAUUUAUAUGGAUACUUGUAUGUUCUUUCCAAACUAACAAUAUUGUUUACCAAUAUCAGAAGGAAUAUGGUUAGGAGCCAUUGCCGCAUAUGGCAGGUGAUGGUAGAUGGCGUAUGGGGUUUCGUUAAUUUAAUGGUAUAAUAAGCUGAAAUACAUUUUCUAUUUGCAAAUGAAUCAUAGCUGAAAUUGGUGGGAUUGUUUUUUCGCCGGUUUAGCAUCCUGUGCACCAGUUCAACCGGAGGGAAGCUGUUUUUUUUCUUUGGUUUUCCACCGGUUCACCGAGACCGAUGACAAUUUUAUGGCAGAAUCAUUACUUGUUUUACUAUUAGGUGAAGAUUUUAGCGUUUAGGUAUCUCACAUUAAACGCAACUUCAACAAUCUAUUUCUAGUGUAUAAUGUAGGAGACCCCGUAAAGAGUCUACACACACAUAUAUGUUGACUAUGAAUGUAAGUUUGUUGGUUUUAUGUAUGUUCGUUUGGAGUUUAUAUAAAUUUUACAUUUUAUAGUUUUGUGUAUAUGACGAAGAUCCAUGACUUGCAUUAAUUUAGCCUUUCUUCCAACAACUCUUAUGCAUGCUGUUUCUAGGCGAGCGUACUGGUUGCAAUUUUGGUCCCCGAUAUAGUGUGAGGACUUAAGGGACACGUGCAGGUCGUAACCUUAGAUAUUUUUGCUGAGAAUGGAUGAAGAAGCAAUAAUAUACUUUGCUUCUGAUUUUCUCCAUGUCAUUUGCUUACUCUUAUCCCUUUUAUUUAUCAUUAUAAGAUGAAAAUAUUGUAAAAACUUGGCUACGUGCGGUCGCAGAAGCUAGAGACUAAAGCGUCCCCCACGAGUUACUAUAUAAAAGGAUUGCAUCCUCUACUCAGUCAUAUGUACUGUGUAGGUGAGAUGGUAAGGAAGCUAUGUGUGAGGCUUGAGGUUGUAGGUUCGAAUCCCACGCACCGCGUGCGCAUGCGCAUAUUUUGCGUGAAAAAUCGCAUGACUUGUGGUCGGCCAAGGAGAAGUGCGUGCGGCUGAGGCACGCCGCCAUAGACAUCUCGGAUUUGCUCCAAGACUACCAAGACACUAGCGAACCCUUAACGGCAAAGUUGAGUACUUACGCGUGUUAGCAUCUAUGUUGUCCAUGCUUCCAAUGCAAUAACAAGAAGGGCUACUCAUCCUAGCGGAUUCUUCACAACCACUCGUAAAGCUAUGCGUUUCUCAAUGCAAUUUCGUAGAUGUCAAUCGAUCCAACCAAGCGACUGAAUCAUUCGUCCUUGCUAAUGAUGUGCAUCAGGUUUUCUAUAUGAAGAACAUGUCUAGCAAAUCCAAGAUUUCAGAAGAAAAAUAAAAAUCAUGAGAACCAAAGCACCACGUAGUUCUUCCAGGUAAAAAAAACAAUCAUCCACUGGGAUGACACACAGUAGCGAUCCAAAACGUCCAUAUUAAGACUUUUUGAUAGCAGAAAAAACAUGAAAAUGUCUAAUAUUUGUAGUAUUAAAAGGAAAAAUAAUAUAUUCACUUGACCUUUUUUUCGUAGCAACGCACCGGUGCGUAGUCAGACUUAGGCCACGUUUGGAUACUCCCUACUAAAGUUUAGCACCUGUCACAUAGGAUGUUUGGAUACUAAUUAGGAGUAUUAAACAUAGGCUAAUUAUAAAACUAAUUGAAUAGAUGGAGUCUAAUUUGCGAGACGAAUCUAUUAAGCCUAACUAGUCCAUGAUUUGACAAUGUGGUGCUACAGUAACCAUUUGCUAAUGGUGGAUUAAUUAGGCUUAAUAGAUUCGUCUCGCGAAUUAACAUAGGGUUCUGCAAUUAAUUUUAUAAUUAGCUCAUGUCUAGUCCUUCUAAUUAGCAUCCGAACAUCUGAUAUGAUACUGCUAAAGUUUAUCACCUAGUAUCCAAAUACCCCCUUAAUGCACGAUGCCUGUGCAUCCACUGGGCCUACCCUCGUGGAUCACGCGCUCGUGGAUCACGCGCACCAUGACAUGGCUCAUUAGCUAGUCGUGCUAAUCCUUACCACCAAAUUAAAAACUAGCAUGUGUUGUGUGUUUGUGACCCUAAACGACUACCACCUUCCCGAGUCCACCGGAGUUGCCAGUUCACCACUAAGCUGACUCUCCGAGCUUCAUGUCACUGUCACCGCUCCAAAGACCUAGAUCGGUUCGCUGUGCACCCCGCUUCGUCCUGAGCUAAAUCCCAUCACGAAAGGUGACCGGAUGCUCGUUUUCGAGCGAAUUCUAGCGAGAUUGCCACCACCUUUCCCCUUCCAGCCGAUCGCAGCUGUCUGAUCACAAACCGACAGCCCAGAUCGGAUUUGACCAGGUCAAUACCGGUCAAGCCGAGAUGCAUGCUGCUUUUGCAAGAAGGCCCCUAUUUUUCUCUCGUUUUGCACUUGAGGUCCUACGCAGUUCAAAAGUAAUUAGAUCUAGAUCCUUUUUCUUCUGUUUUAGCCCUGUUCUUUUAUAAAAUCCCACCCGCCAUCCUGUUUGGUAUUUUGACAUGUUAGACCUUCUAUUUAUAUGUUUAAUUAGGUUUUAGCCCUUGGUUUCUUUAAGUUUAGCUCUUGGAAGUUUAGUUUUCUCGCAGUUAAGCCCCUGAACCUUGUUUAGUUCAUAUCUUUAGCGUUUUAAAUCCGUUUUAAGAGAUUCUUACGCCCAUAAGUUCGUGUUGAUGCAUAGAUUAGUUGACUUAUACGGACCUUGCUGAUUCAGCUCCUUCAUUGUGCUUCAGAUCUCGCUAGUGAAGAAUAAUGGAUGGGCUUUGGUUGAGCUUGUAGAUCGACCUGCAGUUGCAGUGAAUGUGCUGAGGACUGGCGGUACCAAUAAUGGGAGGCCGCUGCUCUGCUUGCUACCAAGGCCUGCGACGCUUGGACGCCAUUCAGAGUGCAUAAUUUCCAAGGAUCUCAAGGGCUCCACACCACGUUCCAAGUGUUUUUUCUUUGCCGAGUGUUUUUAGCUCGGCACUUGGCAAAGAGCUUGUUUGCCGAGUGUCCGAAAAAAACACUUGGCAAAGAGAAAACACUCGGCAAAUUUGAUGUUUCCCGUAGUGAUGUACUAUUCAAACUUGAACUGGGAUGCAGGCUUCAGUACCAAAGAGAGCUCUGGGCGCGGGUGAGCAGUGAGCUGGCCGGGCAGGGAGCUCCAAAGCGACAGCAACAAAGAGAGAAAUGCUAAGAGUAAGAACGACACACGAGGUCACUUCACAUAGAUAAUAGCAGUACGAACCAUACAAUAUCCUCUCUCAGUUUCACUCCGCCUCACACACGGCUAGCACACCAUGCAUGCCGAUUUCAUAUUAUUAAUAUUAUUUUUUGGAUGGUUGUUGAAACUAUAUAUAUAGUUAGUCCAAUCUCACGUUUCCGAUUAUAAAAAUCAACGUAAAGAGAUCGGUAGGGAGAGCCGGCAUAAUGAAGCCGACGCGUGUAAUAAGCACCAGAGCCGGCAUUUAUACAAACUGGUACGAAUAGUAAAAAACUAGAAUUUAUAAAUAAAAAAAUGAUUUGCACAUCUAUGCAAUAAUUAGGGGUUAGUGGCAGGUCUAGAGAGAUAUCUCAUCAUUAUAUCCGGUUUAACGAGGAUAAAAAAGAGUGUAUUUUCCACUCAUCAUGUUGUCUUUUCGCAGCGGUACCACUUUUCGUGUGUUGUAUCGGUCCCCUAAUACGGAGUCUCCGAGGCCCGAGAAAAUAAGGAAAGUGAUAGUAGCCCAGAAAUCGGCCAAGUUUCUUUCCCCUUUGGCUUUCCUACUAGGAUUCAGAAUCCUCUUUCGCAUGACAAUCUUAAUUAUCUCCCAUACUCCAAAACUCACAAAAACAUCAAGAGUCCGCUGAGAAUAAAUUUAAGUAAAAAACAUGCACACACAGAUAAUAAUAAUAAUCAUGUUUCCAUAAAAUUGCUAAGUCCAGAGAUAAUACAUAAACAUAGUAGACUGUUCAUGACACAUAUCACGGUGGACAGUGUUUGUGUCCUUAUUACAAGCAACGAGAGAUGCUCGUCACCAACACGCGCGCGCACAGAUGCACGACAUACAUAUAGUAGAGACCAACAGAUGGUCGUCCCAUAUGGUGAACAAUUUAUUGGAGAUAAAUAUUAACGUAACUUGGCCAUAGCUUGAAGCAUAGCAACAUAUGCCUAUGAGUGGCAUUCAUGCUAUCGUUUUAGGCUUGUCCAGCUCCUUCCAUCUUAGCAAGCACUUCCAUUUCUACCAUCUUAGCAGCAACUGUCAAAUUGAGAUACGGAAAUCCCAUUAGCGCAUGAGUUAAUUUUGCAGUGGAAAUAGAGUACAAGAUGUCUUCAUGAUGUAAGUAAUAUGCCUGAAGUUGUGAGAUGGGAAGUGAAGUCAACAAAUUACAUUAACGGAAAUGCAUGGAAGGCCACACAUACGUAUUAGUCCAUGAUAUGCUACAAAGCUUGUAUGUACAUAUAGCAAAUUAAAUGCAUUAAUUGAAUAGAGUGUGUUUAGUGAAUUUACCAGAAUCGUCCAGAAAACAUGGGAAACAGCAAGUGUUCUUGCAGACUGCGUCGGAGGCACCCGCACGAAUACAAAGCUGACAACAUAGUUUUGCCUGGGCGGAUGCGCAGCAGCCGCACUCCGCCGCGGUGGGGUUAACAUUGAGGCUCAAGAUGACCAGGCACAUGAUCACCAUCAAAGUGGUAGUCCUCUUUCCCUCCAUUGCCUCCUCUUAGCUUGCUGCUACCUUCCUUGGUUACCUAGCUAAGUUUAUUGGUUUUGUGUUGAGAGGUGUGAUUCUUGAAUGGACGUUGCCGGCGGCAAUUUAUAGGCAGCUGAGCUAUGUGAUGAUAUGGACUAGGUGCAAAUGGGUGGUUAAUGGCAAGGAAAGGGGCGUCAGACAAAGCCCAAUGGCAACUGCUGACAUGCGAUUAAAUUCAGAUCCACAUCCGGCCAUUCAAUAAUACGGUUGGAGUUGUGGCACAGAUAUAUUAUUGCAUGAUCAUCAAGAUAAGAUCGUACAGUGACUGAGUGAGACAAUAAAUAGCCAAGUAAACUAUUUUAUCCUGCUGCAAGCUGCAUUCAUAAGUUUAUUUCACCUUUGAUCACAAUACUCUUCACACACGUACGUCUCAGGGAGAUCUCACUUCCGCUGGACUGCUCACUUCCGCUGUCGUCGGUACUGCCAAAGACAUAAGCUCACAUCUGCUAUUGCGGAGCAGGCCAAUUUGCUGCGGAACUUCGGCGACGACCUGAAGGACAUGAACUCGGUGCUGGAGUCCAUCUCAGCAGCGCUCUAGGACGCUGACACCGGUAGAAAAACGACCUUCCAUCGUCAACAAAAAUCCCGGUAGCUUUUUUACUCGGUACUAAAGAGGUUUUAAUCUCGUGCAAACACCUUUAGUCCAGAUUGCUAUUACCACGCAACCCGGACUAAAGCGUCCCCCGCGAGUUAGUAUAUAAGGAUUGCAUCCUUUACUCAGUCAGAUAUAAUAUGUAGGUGAGAUGGUAAGGAAGCUAUGCGUGAGGCUUCAGGUUGUGGGUUCGAAUCCAAGUGGGUGCAGCUGUGGCUUAAGCGGCUGAGGCACGCCGCCAUAGACAUCUCAGAUUUGCUCGAAGACUACCAAGACACUAGUGAACCCUUAACAGUAAAGGUGAGUACUUAUGAAUGUCAGCAUCCAUGUUGUCCAUGCUUCCAAUGUAAUAACAAGAUGGACUACUCUUCCUAGCGGACUCUUCACAACCACUCGUAAAGCUAUGCGUUUCUCAAUGCAAUUUCGUAGAAGCCAAUCGAUCCAACCAAGUGACUAAAUCAUUCGUCCUUUCCAAUGAUGUGCAUCAGGUUUUCUAUAUGAAGGGCAUGUCUAGCAAACCUAAGAUUUCAGAAGAAAAAGAAAAAUCAUUGGAGCCAAAGAGCCACAUAGUUCUUCUAGGAAAAAAAUCAUGGGAGUCGAGAACAUAUCAAACCAAUCAGGGGAUUAUGGUCAGCUUAAUGGCAUGCCUCCAUUCGAUGUCGAAGUUCACCCAAGCAUCAUGUUAGCCAAACAUCAAAUGUUCGUGCGUUGUUACGGUAAAGAUCAAUUGUGUUUUUUAAACUCUUGGAAUUUUUUUAUCUAAGUUUUUAUUUACACUUAUUGGAUGUCUACACAUUUGCUAGAAAACUAAAAUAAUUUGGACUUAAUUAUUUCUUUCAACUGAAGUACUCACUAAAUUUCUACCUUUUUAUUUAAGCAAGAGAGUUGCUAAAAAAAAUGGAUACGUAACCAUGUUGUAUCAUACAAAGUAACCACGUUUCACAUAUAGUCCGGCUUAGCAAACACCAUUGUUUUCUGAACAUAGCGUACAUGAGUUAACAGACAUGGAUUUAUUUCUAUUGCAAGUAGCAUAGCGUACAACCUGCCUGCACCGAUGCAGCUCAAUAUGCGAUAAUUUUUAUCUUCCCAUGUAAUUUUUCUACUCUAGUACAUAUUGAACUCCACAUUAAUGUCAUGUUCUUUCGCGCCCCAGAAGGUUCCUAAAGUUUGGAAACUUAAUAGAUAGCCAGAAUUUUUUUUAAAGAUAUUUAUAUGGAUACUUGUAUGUUCUUUCCAAACUAACAAUAUUGUUUACCAAUAUCAGAAGGAAUAUGGUUAGGAGCCAUUGCCGCAUAUGGCAGGUGAUGGUAGAUGGCGUAUGGGGUUUCGUUAAUUUAAUGGUAUAAUAAGCUGAAAUACAUUUUCUAUUUGCAAAUGAAUCAUAGCUGAAAUUGGUGGGAUUGUUUUUUCGCCGGUUUAGCAUCCUGUGCACCAGUUCAACCGGAGGGAAGCUGUUUUUUUUCUUUGGUUUUCCACCGGUUCACCGAGACCGAUGACAAUUUUAUGGCAGAAUCAUUACUUGUUUUACUAUUAGGUGAAGAUUUUAGCGUUUAGGUAUCUCACAUUAAACGCAACUUCAACAAUCUAUUUCUAGUGUAUAAUGUAGGAGACCCCGUAAAGAGUCUACACACACAUAUAUGUUGACUAUGAAUGUAAGUUUGUUGGUUUUAUGUAUGUUCGUUUGGAGUUUAUAUAAAUUUUACAUUUUAUAGUUUUGUGUAUAUGACGAAGAUCCAUGACUUGCAUUAAUUUAGCCUUUCUUCCAACAACUCUUAUGCAUGAUGUUUCUAGGCGAGCGUACUGGUUGCAAUUUUGGUCCCCGAUAUAGUGUGAGGACUUAAGGGACACGUGCAGGUCGUAACCUUAGAUAUUUUUGCUGAGAAUGGAUGAAGAAGCAAUAAUAUACUUUGCUUCUGAUUUUCUCCAUGUCAUUUGCUUACUCUUAUCCCUUUUAUUUAUCAUUAUAAGAUGAAAAUAUUGUAAAAACUUGGCUACGUGCGGUCGCAGAAGCUAGAGACUAAAGCGUCCCCCACGAGUUACUAUAUAAAAGGAUUGCAUCCUCUACUCAGUCAUAUGUACUGUGUAGGUGAGAUGGUAAGGAAGCUAUGUGUGAGGCUUGAGGUUGUAGGUUCGAAUCCCACGCACCGCGUGCGCAUGCGCAUAUUUUGCGUGAAAAAUCGCAUGACUUGUGGUCGGCCAAGGAGAAGUGCGUGCGGCUGAGGCACGCCGCCAUAGACAUCUCGGAUUUGCUCCAAGACUACCAAGACACUAGCGAACCCUUAACGGCAAAGUUGAGUACUUACGCGUGUUAGCAUCUAUGUUGUCCAUGCUUCCAAUGCAAUAACAAGAAGGGCUACUCAUCCUAGCGGAUUCUUCACAACCACUCGUAAAGCUAUGCGUUUCUCAAUGCAAUUUCGUAGAUGUCAAUCGAUCCAACCAAGCGACUGAAUCAUUCGUCCUUGCUAAUGAUGUGCAUCAGGUUUUCUAUAUGAAGAACAUGUCUAGCAAAUCCAAGAUUUCAGAAGAAAAAUAAAAAUCAUGAGAACCAAAGCACCACGUAGUUCUUCCAGGUAAAAAAAACAAUCAUCCACUGGGAUGACACACAGUAGCGAUCCAAAACGUCCAUAUUAAGACUUUUUGAUAGCAGAAAAAACAUGAAAAUGUCUAAUAUUUGUAGUAUUAAAAGGAAAAAUAAUAUAUUCACUUGACCUUUUUUUCGUAGCAACGCACCGGUGCGUAGUCAGACUUAGGCCACGUUUGGAUACUCCCUACUAAAGUUUAGCACCUGUCACAUAGGAUGUUUGGAUACUAAUUAGGAGUAUUAAACAUAGGCUAAUUAUAAAACUAAUUGAACAGAUGGAGUCUAAUUUGCGAGACGAAUCUAUUAAGCCUAACUAGUCCAUGAUUUGACAAUGUGGUGCUACAGUAACCAUUUGCUAAUGGUGGAUUAAUUAGGCUUAAUAGAUUCGUCUCGCGAAUUAACAUAGGGUUCUGCAAUUAAUUUUAUAAUUAGCUCAUGUCUAGUCCUUCUAAUUAGCAUCCGAACAUCUGAUAUGAUACUGCUAAAGUUUAUCACCUAGUAUCCAAAUACCCCCUUAAUGCACGAUGCCUGUGCAUCCACUGGGCCUACCCUCGUGGAUCACGCGCUCGUGGAUCACGCGCACCAUGACAUGGCUCAUUAGCUAGUCGUGCUAAUCCUUACCACCAAAUUAAAAACUAGCAUGUGUUGUGUGUUUGUGACCCUAAACGACUACCACCUUCCCGAGUCCACCGGAGUUGCCAGUUCACCACUAAGCUGACUCUCCGAGCUUCAUGUCACUGUCACCGCUCCAAAGACCUAGAUCGGUUCGCUGUGCACCCCGCUUCGUCCUGAGCUAAAUCCCAUCACGAAAGGUGACCGGAUGCUCGUUUUCGAGCGAAUUCUAGCGAGAUUGCCACCACCUUUCCCCUUCCAGCCGAUCGCAGCUGUCUGAUCACAAACCGACAGCCCAGAUCGGAUUUGACCAGGUCAAUACCGGUCAAGCCGAGAUGCAUGCUGCUUUUGCAAGAAGGCCCCUAUUUUUCUCUCUUUUUGCACUUGAGGUCCUACGCAGUUCAAAAGUAAUUAGAUCUAGAUCCUUUUUCUUCUGUUUUAGCCCUGUUCUUUUAUAAAAUCCCACCCGCCAUCCUGUUUGGUAUUUUGACAUGUUAGACCUUCUAUUUAUAUGUUUAAUUAGGUUUUAGCCCUUGGUUUCUUUAAGUUUAGCUCUUGGAAGUUUAGUUUUCUCGCAGUUAAGCCCCUGAACCUUGUUUAGUUCAUAUCUUUAGCGUUUUAAAUCCGUUUUAAGAGAUUCUUACGCCCAUAAGUUCGUGUUGAUGCAUAGAUUAGUUGACUUAUACGGACCUUGCUGAUUCAGCUCCUUCAUUGUGCUUCAGAUCUCGCUAGUGAAGAAUAAUGGAUGGGCUUUGGUUGAGCUUGUAGAUCGACCUGCAGUUGCAGUGAAUGUGCUGAGGACUGGCGGUACCAAUAAUGGGAGGCCGCUGCUCUGCUUGCUACCAAGGCCUGCGACGCUUGGACGCCAUUCAGAGUGCAUAAUUUCCAAGGAUCUCAAGGGCUCCACACCACGUUCCAAGUGUUUUUUCUUUGCCGAGUGUUUUUAGCUCGGCACUUGGCAAAGAGCUUGUUUGCCGAGUGUCCGAAAAAAACACUUGGCAAAGAGAAAACACUCGGCAAAUUUGAUGUUUCCCGUAGUGAUGUACUAUUCAAACUUGAACUGGGAUGCAGGCUUCAGUACCAAAGAGAGCUCUGGGCGCGGGUGAGCAGUGAGCUGGCCGGGCAGGGAGCUCCAAAGCGACAGCAACAAAGAGAGAAAUGCUAAGAGUAAGAACGACACACGAGGUCACUUCACAUAGAUAAUAGCAGUACGAACCAUACAAUAUCCUCUCUCAGUUUCACUCCGCCUCACACACGGCUAGCACACCAUGCAUGCCGAUUUCAUAUUAUUAAUAUUAUUUUUUGGAUGGUUGUUGAAACUAUAUAUAUAGUUAGUCCAAUCUCACGUUUCCGAUUAUAAAAAUCAACGUAAAGAGAUCGGUAGGGAGAGCCGGCAUAAUGAAGCCGACGCGUGUAAUAAGCACCAGAGCCGGCAUUUAUACAAACUGGUACGAAUAGUAAAAAACUAGAAUUUAUAAAUAAAAAAAUGAUUUGCACAUCUAUGCAAUAAUUAGGGGUUAGUGGCAGGUCUAGAGAGAUAUCUCAUCAUUAUAUCCGGUUUAACGAGGAUAAAAAAGAGUGUAUUUUCCACUCAUCAUGUUGUCUUUUCGCAGCGGUACCACUUUUCGUGUGUUGUAUCGGUCCCCUAAUACGGAGUCUCCGAGGCCCGAGAAAAUAAGGAAAGUGAUAGUAGCCCAGAAAUCGGCCAAGUUUCUUUCCCCUUUGGCUUUCCUACUAGGAUUCAGAAUCCUCUUUCGCAUGACAAUCUUAAUUAUCUCCCAUACUCCAAAACUCACAAAAACAUCAAGAGUCCGCUGAGAAUAAAUUUAAGUAAAAAACAUGCACACACAGAUAAUAAUAAUAAUCAUGUUUCCAUAAAAUUGCUAAGUCCAGAGAUAAUACAUAAACAUAGUAGACUGUUCAUGACACAUAUCACGGUGGACAGUGUUUGUGUCCUUAUUACAAGCAACGAGAGAUGCUCGUCACCAACACGCGCGCGCACAGAUGCACGACAUACAUAUAGUAGAGACCAACAGAUGGUCGUCCCAUAUGGUGAACAAUUUAUUGGAGAUAAAUAUUAACGUAACUUGGCCAUAGCUUGAAGCAUAGCAACAUAUGCCUAUGAGUGGCAUUCAUGCUAUCGUUUUAGGCUUGUCCAGCUCCUUCCAUCUUAGCAAGCACUUCCAUUUCUACCAUCUUAGCAGCAACUGUCAAAUUGAGAUACGGAAAUCCCAUUAGCGCAUGAGUUAAUUUUGCAGUGGAAAUAGAGUACAAGAUGUCUUCAUGAUGUAAGUAAUAUGCCUGAAGUUGUGAGAUGGGAAGUGAAGUCAACAAAUUACAUUAACGGAAAUGCAUGGAAGGCCACACAUACGUAUUAGUCCAUGAUAUGCUACAAAGCUUGUAUGUACAUAUAGCAAAUUAAAUGCAUUAAUUGAAUAGAGUGUGUUUAGUGAAUUUACCAGAAUCGUCCAGAAAACAUGGGAAACAGCAAGUGUUCUUGCAGACUGCGUCGGAGGCACCCGCACGAAUACAAAGCUGACAACAUAGUUUUGCCUGGGCGGAUGCGCAGCAGCCGCACUCCGCCGCGGUGGGGUUAACAUUGAGGCUCAAGAUGACCAGGCACAUGAUCACCAUCAAAGUGGUAGUCCUCUUUCCCUCCAUUGCCUCCUCUUAGCUUGCUGCUACCUUCCUUGGUUACCUAGCUAAGUUUAUUGGUUUUGUGUUGAGAGGUGUGAUUCUUGAAUGGACGUUGCCGGCGGCAAUUUAUAGGCAGCUGAGCUAUGUGAUGAUAUGGACUAGGUGCAAAUGGGUGGUUAAUGGCAAGGAAAGGGGCGUCAGACAAAGCCCAAUGGCAACUGCUGACAUGCGAUUAAAUUCAGAUCCACAUCCGGCCAUUCAAUAAUACGGUUGGAGUUGUGGCACAGAUAUAUUAUUGCAUGAUCAUCAAGAUAAGAUCGUACAGUGACUGAGUGAGACAAUAAAUAGCCAAGUAAACUAUUUUAUCCUGCUGCAAGCUGCAUUCAUAAGUUUAUUUCACCUUUGAUCACAAUACUCUUCACACACGUACGUCUCAGGGAGAUCUCACUUCCGCUGGACUGCUCACUUCCGCUGUCGUCGGUACUGCCAAAGACAUAAGCUCACAUCUGCUAUUGCGGAGCAGGCCAAUUUGCUGCGGAACUUCGGCGACGACCUGAAGGACAUGAACUCGGUGCUGGAGUCCAUCUCAGCAGCGCUCUAGGACGCUGACACCGGUAGAAAAACGACCUUCCAUCGUCAACAAAAAUCCCGGUAGCUUUUUUACUCGGUACUAAAGAGGUUUUAAUCUCGUGCAAACACCUUUAGUCCGGAUUGCUGUUACCACGCAACCCGAACUAAAGCGUCCCCCACGAGUUACUAUAUAAGGAUUGCAUCCUUUACUCAGUCAGAUAUAAUGUGUAGGUGAGAUGGUAAGGAAGCUAUACGUGAGGCUUCAGGUUGUGGGUUCGAAUCCAAGGAGAAGUGGGUGCAGCUGUGGCUUAAGCGGCUGAGGCACGCCGCCAUAGACAUCUCAGAUUUGCUCGAAGACUACCAAGACACUAGUGAACCCUUAACAGUAAAGGUGAGUACUUAUGAAUGUCAGCAUCCAUGUUGUCCAUGCUUCCAAUGUAAUAACAAGAUGGACUACUCUUCCUAGCGGACUCUUCACAACCACUCGUAAAGCUAUACGUUUCUCAAUGCAAUUUCGUAGAAGCCAAUCGAUCCAACCAAGUGACUAAAUCAUUCAUCCUUUCCAAUGAUGUGCAUCAGGUUUUCUACAUGAAGGGCAUCUCUAGCAAACCCAAGAUUUCAGAAGAAAAAGAAAAAUCAUUGGAGCCAAAGAGCCACAUAGUUCUUCCAGGAAAAAAAAAUCAUGGGAGUCGAGAACAAAUCAAACCAAUCAGAGGAUUAUGGUCAGCUUAAUGGCAUGCCUCCAUUCGAUGUCGAAGUUCACCCAAGCAUCAUGUUAGCCAAACAUCAAAUGUUCGUGCGUUGUUACGGUAAAGAUCAAUUGUGUUUUUUAAACUCAUGGAAUUUUUUUUCUAAGUUUUUAUUACACUUAUUGGAUGUCUACACAUUUGCUAGAAAACCAAAAUAAUUUGGACUUAAUUAUUUCUUUCAACUGAAGUACUCACUAAAUUUCUACCUUUUUAUUUAAGCAAGAGAGUUGCUAAAAAAAAUGGAUACAUAACCAUGUUGUAUCGUACAAAGCAACCACAUUUCACAUAUAGUCCGGCUUACCAAACACCAUUUUUUACUGAACAUAGCGUACAUGAGUUAAGAGACAUGGAUUUAUUUCUAUUGCAAGUAGCAUAGCGUACAACCUGCCUGCACCGAUGCAGCUCAAUAUGCGAUAAUUUUUAUCUUCCCAUGUAAUUUUUCUACUCUAGUACAUAUUGAACUCCACAUUAAUGUCAUGUUCUUUGGCGCCCCAGACGGUUCCUAAAGUUUGGAAACAAAAUAGAUAGCCAGAAAUUUUUUUAAAAAAUAUUUAUAUGGAUAUUUGUAUGUUCUUUGCAAACUAACAAUAUUGUUUACCAAUAUCAAAAGGAAUAUGGCUAGGAGCCAUUGCCGCAUAUGGCAGGUGAUGGUAGAUGGCGUAUGGGAUUUCGUUAAUUUAAUGGUAUAAUAAGCUGAAAUACAUUUUCUAUUUGCAAAUGAAUCAUAGCUGAAAGUGGUGAGAUUGUUUUUUCGCCGGUUUAGCAUCCUGUGCACCGGUUCAACUGGAGGGAAGCGGUUCACCGAGACGGAUGACAAUUUUACGGCAGAAUCAUUACUUGUUUUAUUAUUAGGUGAAGAUUUUAGCUUUUAGGUAUCUCACAUUAACAAUCUGUUUCUAGUGUAUAAUGUAGGAGACCCGUAAAGAGUCUACACACACAUAUAUAUGUUGACUAUGAAUGUAAGUUUGUUGGUUUUAUGUAUGUUCAUUUGGAGUUUAUAUAAAUUUUACAUUUUAUAGUUUUGUGUAUAUGACGAAGAUCCAUGACUUGCAUUAAUUUAACCUUUCUUCCAACAACUCUUAUGCAUGCUGUUUCUAGGGGAGCGCACUGGUUGCAAUUUUGGUCCCCGAUAUAGCAUGAGGACUUAAGGGAGACGGGCACGUCGUAACCUUAGAUAUUUUUGCAAGAAGCAAAUUAUACUUUGCUUUUGAUUUUCUCCAUGCCAUUUGCUGACUCUUAUCCCUUUUAUUUAUCAUUAUAAGAUGAAAAUAUUGUAAAAACUUGGUUACGUGCGGUCGCAGAAGCUAGAGACUAUUUCUUUUUUUAAAAAUACGCAAGAGGGAGAAACUUGGUAACAGCUAGACAGUGAAGAUCGCAUUUCAUAAGAAAGAUGGUGCACGUUCUUGUUUGGCUGUUAACGAAAUGACUUCGUUUCACCACACCACCAGAGAGCCCCAUUGCACUUGCAGCAAAAGCGUGGAGCCGCUUUCAACCAGCGUGCAAUAAUGCAGUCCCGCGUGUCUUGGUCUUACAGGAUAUUUGGUUCUUUAGUCCGGACUAAAAUUCAUGUCGCAUAGAAUAUUCAGAUGUUAAAUAGGAGGACUAAACAUGAGCUAAUUAUAAAAAUAAUUACACAAAUGGAGGCUAAUUCCCAAGACAAAUCUAUUAAGUCUAAUUAAUCCAUCAUUAGCACAUGUUUACCGUAGCACCGUAUUGUCAAAUCAUGGACUAAUUAGGCUUAAUAAAUUCGUCUCGCAAGUUAGUCUCCAUCUAUACAAUUUGUUUUAUAAUUAGUCAAUGUUUAAUACUCUAUCUAAACAUUCAAUGUGACUGAAAUUUUAGGAGGUCCUAAAGAACCAAACACCCCUUAGUCUCCGCCUGAACUAUAGCAGGUGCUGGCAGCGGUAGCAGGGUCGUCCAUUAUAUCUAUGGAUGGAAAUGAUCUGAUUCGGAUGGAAUCGAAUUCGAAUAGCACUUUUUACCACAUACUAAUCUGAAUUGGAUGUUCUCGAAUGUGAAUGCAAAACGGAUAGUUCAAAUUUGAAUACUUUGCGGAUUUUUGCAUAAUAUUAAUCGAAGAGAAUUUGUUAAAUUUAGCCGAGACAUAAAUUUUUCUAAAUUCAAAUACUUUGCAGAUUUUCGAAUGCAAAUUUUUUCAUACGAUCUCGGUUGAAUACAAACUUUAUAUCAAAGUUGUAUAUUUAGAUUAUAUAUAAAACUUUGUAGUUGACCUCCUUUUCAUUUAAAAUUUUUUAAUAGCUCAAAACAUUAUUCUAAGCUUUCUAAUUUCAAAAUCUUGAAUUUUAAAUUUUUCAAACGACCUCGGAUGCAAACAAGCUCUAUAUCAAAGUGCUUAAUGAGAUAUAAAAUUUUGUAGUUGACAAGUUUUUUAGUUGAAAACAUUUAGUUAUCACAAACAUACAAGUUCUUCAUUUGAUGUCGAGGAUUGGAAGUGUUGAGUUUGAAGAAUAUAUUCUUUGAUUACAAACUUUUCCAUAUGAUCUUGGAUGAAUACGAACUUUAUUUCAAAGUUGCAAAUUUAGAUUAGACCAAAAACAGUAUAGUUUACAAUUUUUUCAUUCAAAAUUAUUUAGUAGCUCAAAAUGUUAUUCUAAACUCUCUAAUUUUGAAAUCUUGAAUUUUAAAAUUUUCAAAUGACCUCGGAUGCAAACAAGCUCUAUAUCGAAGUGGUAGUUCUUAAUGAGAUAUAAAAUUUUGUAGUUCCAUCUGAGAUCAUUUAACAGUCACAAAUAUACAAGUUUUUCAUAUGAUGCUAAGGAUCAGAAAGAUUAAGUUUGAAGGCUGUAUUUUUUUAAUACAAAUUUUUGCAUACGAUCUCGGAUGAAUACAAACUUUAUAUCAAAAUUGUAGAGCUCGAUGAGAAUUUAAACUUUGUAGUUGAUAUAUUUUUCAUUCGAGAAUGUUUAGUGGUCCAAACAUGUAUUAUAAGUUCAGAGAAGAAACACACAAUCGGCCACGUCAUCAAUUGACAACUUCCAAACUGAGCAUUCCUAUUGGUUCACACCUUUCCCUUUCAACUCGUCAAGCUUAUCUCCUCCCACUCCUCCAUCGUUCACUCCCCCUUCCCCUUCCUCUCUCCCUCCCUCCCUCCGCUCCAGCAGUGGCAGCCCGACCUGCCUCCUAGGACGGUGGUGUGCGGGGCUCGGGCAUCCCUGGCCUCUAGUGGCGUGGCAGGGCGGCCUCCAGCAGCGAUGGCGGAACUCGGCCUCCGGUGGCGCACAGGCAGCGCAGCCUACCUGGUCAAAGGCGGCGCAACAGGGCGACCUCCCCAGCCUCCGGCGGCGCGCAGGGCAUCCAUGACCUCCCCGGCCUCCCUUGCCAGAGGUGGUGCGCGGGGCUGCGCCGACCUCCCCAACCAGAGGUGGCAAGGCCCCAGCUUACGGCGGCGCGUGGCUCCCCAGCUAGGGUGUGGUGGGGCGGCGGCAAGUCAGGCGUGGCCGCGUGGGGGUGGGGGGAGGGGGUUGGGCUGGGCGGAUUCAGAUAGUAUCCAUUUAACCAUCCGAAAUGUGGAUAUCCGUUUAACAAUCCGUUUAGCAAAACCGAAUUUGGAUACUUCCACUUAAGUAUCCAACUAGGAUUCGAAUGCGGAUGGUCCUACCAUAUUGUUAUUUCAGCGGAUACGAAUAUGGGAUAAUUCGAAUAACGACUUACCCAUCCCUGAUUAUAUCCGUGUAAAUAAAUAAUUGCGGCAGCAGGUUCCCGUCGCCACGCCCCCGUCAAACCAAACAAUUGCUUGCGCGACACCGUGUUACUAGAUCUUGUACAGUACUCCCUCCGUUGCAGUACUCCCUAAUGAAAGUUGAGAAUCGAUCGACAACCACGGCUAGUUGCUAUGCACUCGAUCAGAUGGUCCAGGCGCCCGCUGGUAAUCAGGUCGUGGUUCACGCGCAUCAGGCCAGCUAUGACGUUGCCAGCAGUGCUCAGUACACAAAUCUAGCUAUCAGUCGGAUCCAAUUGGGCAGGCAUUUGCACUGUGGUUGUGUUUGAACCUGUAGAUGUCGUUGUCAUUAUCAGGCACCAUACAUCCUCUCUCAGAGGGUGUUUCACCCCCUAAACUUUAGCCCCUCUCACAUCGAAUGUUUUAGAUACUAAUUAGGAAUAUUAAACAUAGAAAAUUUACUAAACCCAUUACAUGGAUGGAGGGUAAACGGCGAGACAAAUCUAUUAAAUCUAAUUAGUCCAUGAUUUGACAAUGUGCUGCUAUAGUAACUAUUUGCUAAUGAUGGAUUAAUUAGACUUAAUAGAUUUUUCUUGCUGUUUAGCCUCCGUCUGUGCAAUUAGUUUUAUAAUUAAUUCAUAUUUAGUCCUCCUAAUUAGUCUCCGAAUAUUUGAUGUGACACGGACUAAACUUUAGAUAGCACACCAGGGACCGACACCAUGCAUGCUGAUUUCAUAUCAUAAUUAAGGAAAGUGAUAUCAUAAUUAAGGAAAGUGGUAGCAUCCAAGAAAUCGAUCAUGUUUCUUCCCCCUUUGGCUUUCCUACUAGGAUUUGGAUAGCGGGCCUUCCUACUAGGAUUUGGAAUCCGCUAUCGCAUGACUAUCUUAAUUAUGUCCCAUAGUCCAAAACUCACAAAACAUCAAAAAUCCAUCGAGAAUAAAUUAAGUAAAAAACAUGCGCACACAGAUAAUAAUAAUAAUAAUCAUGUUUCAAUAAAAUUGCUAAGAUUAGAGAUAGUACAUAAACAUAUUAGAUUGUUCGUGACACAUAUCAUGGUGGAUAGUGUCUGUGUCCUUAUUACAAGCAGCGAUAGAUGCUUGUCACCACACACACGCACGCACAGAUGCACGACAUACAUAUAGUUGAGACCAACGGAUGGACGUCCCAUAGGGUGAAUAAUUUAUUGGAGAUAAAUAUUAACAUAACUUGGCCAUAGCUUGAAGCAUAGCAACAUAUGCUUAUGAAUGGCAUUCAUGCGGGUAGCAAUGCUAUCAUAUGCUUUUAGGCUUGUCCUUAGCUUCUUCCAUCUUAUAGCAAACACUGCCAUUUCUUCCAUCUUAGCAGCAACUGUCAAAUUAAUUGAGAUAUGGAAAUCCCAUUAGCGCAUGAGUUAAUUUUGCAGUGGAAAUAGAGUAGAAGAUGUCUUCAUAAUGUAAGUAAUAUGACUCUGACAUAGGGAGUGAAGUCAACAAAUUACAUUAACGGAAAUGCAUGGAAGGCCACGCAUAUGUAUUAGUCCGAUAUGCUACAAAGCUUGUAUGUACAUAUAAUAAAUUAAAUGCAUUGAAUAGAGUGAUUUUAGUGAAUUUACCUAAAUCGGAUUAAAAAACAUGGGAAACAACAAGUGUUCUUGUAGGGCUUUGUUUAGUUCCCAAAUUGGGAGUAGCAAAGUUUGCAUUUUACCAUAAAUGCGCAACUAUAGCAUGUAGCAUUUUGUUUGUAUUUGUGAAUUAUUAUCCAAACAUUGACUAAUUAGGCUCAAAAGAUUCAUCUCGCAAAGUACAACAAAACUGUGCAAUUAGUUUUUGAUUUCGUCUACAUUUAGUACUCCGUGCAUGUACCGCAAGUUUGAUGUGAUGGGGAAUCUUGCUUUUCAAUAGUGACAAAGUUGGGAUUUCGGGGGGAAGGCCUGUGUCGGAGCCACAUGCAAGAAUGGCUGACAUUGAGGCUCAGACAAAGCCCAAUGGCAACUGCUGACAUGCGAUUAAAUUUAGAUAUCCACAUCCAGCCAUUCACAUUUAUGAGAUAUGGACACGGUGCAAAUGGGUGGGGUCCUGAUAUGGAGGUGCGAAUGGCUGUCUACUUGUAUAGUGUAGCUCCAAUGUACGUAUAUGUAUCUUAUGCAUGUAUACAGUUGCACAAACUCUGAACCAACUCUUCAUAACAGGUCUUUGUUACCAAGUAACUUUACUUUUGCACGUUUCAGCCGAGAGGUAGAAGAGAAUAUUUUUGCAUUUUCCAUGUGCGUCAGUGGUAGAGAACUAGGAAUUAGUUCCGGAUGGUAGGGCACAAAUCUUCCAAACAACUAUCCGAAAUUAAGCAAUCGAGAUAAAGGGUGCCAUCUAUUCUCUCCGAAAAACACAGGUACCAAAAAGAAGAAGAGAAGAGGGAGGGCCUCCCGUUAAGGCCCGCUCGGGGUCUCCAUCCCACCACGCGCCCUCCCAACCCAAAGCCCAUCGUUUUCCCUCCGUCCCUCCCCUCUCCAUUGCCGCCGCCGCUCCCCUCAUCCGAGCUCGAUACGGGUGGUCGGCGGCCCCUCCUCUCCGCUCCCGCCCCCGGCCUCCCUUUGACCGCCGGGCGCCGGCAUCACUGCCGCGGCCAACCCCAGGGCGCAGCGCGUGCCUCUAUUUCUCUCCCCCGUUCAAGGGCCCUUUGAUGGCGACGAGCACCCACCCACCAGGUAUGCCCUCCCCUUCUCUUCCUAACCCUAAUAUAUUCGGAUCUCACCCAGUCACAAUAUAUUACCUAAUAGCUUCGAUUUUGUUUGCAAAAAUCAUCACGUGCGCACCCAUGUCCGCUAGAUUCUUGCGCCUGAUCCUGUGCUGCUAUGGUUUGGGCGGGGUAGACUAGUUGAUUCGUGCACUUUUGGGUGCUUGUAGUGCUAGGUUUUGGAGGGGGAUAGCCCAGUUGAUUCCUCCGUUUUGGGUGCUCAUGGUGAUAGGAUUUGGAUGGGGAUAGCCCCAAUGAUUCGUGCGCCUUUGGGUGCUGGGGAUAGUUUUGGGUGCCUGGAUAGUCCAGUUUCAAUGUCAGUAUAUGCGUAUUUUGGGGAGAAUUUUGUUUUGGGUGGUUCUGGUGCUAGAGUUUCUGAUGCUUAGUAGCCCAGUUUCAAUCAAAUUCCCCCAUGGGUCGUGCACUACGGGAAACAAGAAAAUUGCCGAGUGUAUUUUUUUUGUCGAGUGUUUUUUUUCGAGCACUCAGCAAACAAGCUCUUCGCCGAGUGCCAAGUCAAAAACACUCGGCAAAAAAAAACACUCGGCAAAUCGGGGCUUUGCCGAGUGUCAAAUAAAAAACACUCGGCAAAGAAGGGGGUUUGCCGAGUGUUAAAAAAAACACUCGGCAAACAGGAGGGUUUGCCUAGUGUUUUUUUGACACUCGGCAAAAAAAUAAUUGUUUUUCCUCUUUUCACCUUGAAAUUUUUUCUACUCCCCACAUACAACACGUGGUACUCCAUGUUAAAAUUUGGUAUAUUUUUGGAUUUAUUUGCUAUAUUUAUUUAAUUAAUUGCAUUACAAGGAAAUUUUUGGUAUAAGUCAAAUUUGAACUGCAAGUGAUUCAAAUUGUGGAACAAAAUGAGUAGAAAAAUGAUAUUCAUGUUAUUUGGCUCAAUUUGAGACCUGACCCAUGAAAUGAAAAGAAAUUUCGAACAUCUUGUUCAGGAAACACGACAAUGAACAUGUGGCGGUAGUAUUUUUAAAUUGUAAAAAAAACAAGCAAAGUCUGAAAAUCAUGAGAUUUGUAGUUAUGUGAUGAUAUAAUACGUGGAAGCUGUGGAAAAAAAUUGGAAAGGUUUUGCACAUUUCAUCAUGUACGAUGAUUACAAACCGAAGCAUAUCAGAAGAAGAAUAGUAACUUUGAGAAGGAUUCGAUAAAAUUUAGAGUCGAAGUGACGGUCGAGUUCGGUUUGACUACAAAACUUUUUGUAUAGUCAGUAGAGAACAUAUCUUAUUUCGUGUGAAAAUUUGGUAUUUUUUGAAACUGUUGGAUAUUUUUAAUUUUUUUUUAAAAAAACUUUGCCGAGUGUCCUAGGGUAGACACUCGGCAAAGAAAAACUUUACCGAGUGCCCGCCUAGGACACUCAGCGAACCUUUUUUUAAACCUACCGGCUCCGGCCGGCCCAGCCCACAAACACCACCCGCCCCCCGCCCCCGCGCCUUCUUCCUCACGCCGCCCCCGCCCCCCACCCGUGCCUCCGGACCGCCCCCUCCUCCCCCUGGCCUCCCCUCACGCCGCCCCCCUCCUCCCCUAGCUCCCUCCACCGGCGGCCCUCCCUCCCCCGGCGCACAUCCUCCACUCCUCCUCCCCUUCCCUUCCCUCCCCUCCCCUCCCCUCUUCCUCCCCUGGCCGGAUCUGGCGCCCCUAGCUCCCCUUUCUUCCGCGGCCAGAUCUGGCGCCCUCCCGGCGGCGGGUCGUGGCGAUCGGGGCGGCGGCGGCGGAUCAGGCCGCGGGGCGGCGGCGGCGGCGGGUCGUGGCUACCGGGGCGGCGCCCUGCCCCUCCCCUCCCUCUCCAUCUCCGGCUGCCGUCCACCCCCUCCCCGGAUCCGCCCCCCUCCCCUCCGCGCGGCCAGCCCCUCCUCCCUCUCCGGCCGCCGCCCCGGCCCCUCCUCUCCCUUUCUCCGGCCACCGCCCCGCCCAUCUUCUCUGGAUCCGGCCGGAUCCGGCCGCCGCACAGCCCCUCCUCCCCGGAUCCGGUGGGCGCGGACUUCGUGGUGGUGGCGCCGGAUCCCUCCCCUCCCUCUCCAGAUAACUCCCUCCACUCCUCCGCUCUUCCCCUCUCUCGCGCGGCGGCCUCUCUCCGGCCGCCGCCCCGCCCCUCUCCCCGGAUCCGGGGGGGGGGGGACUCCGCCCCUCUGCCCCGGAUCCAGCUCCCCGACCCGCGAGUGGGGCGAGCUUGCUCAUGCGGUCGACGUCGAGGCCAGGGUGUGGUGGAGGUGGUGGCCGGCGGGUGUGGUGGUGGUGGCGGCGGCGGGCAUGGCGGCGCGGAGGCAAGGCACGGCGGCCGGUGGGAGGCACGGGUGCAAGGCGUCGACGGCAGGAGGCAAGGCACGGCAGCAUGGGAGGUGGUGCUGUGGUGGUGGUGCUGGCGGUGGUGGCGGCGGCGGAGCAGGAUGUGGUGGUGGCGGAGGAUGUUUUUUUUUCAAAAAUUUGUUGCCGAGUGUUUUCUCGGCACUCGGCAAAGACUUUACCGAGUGCCCGACACAAAACACUCGGCAACUCAGUGUUUGCCGACUGAAAAAUUGCCGUGUGCCGUUUGCCGAGUGUUACACUCGGCAAACGGUUCGCCGAGGGUUUUUUGCCCUUCGCCGAGUGCCCCUAGCACUCGGCAAUUUCACUAUCUCCCGUAGUGGUGGCUGGACUUAUGGGGGGAUCAUUGAUGGGGGACUAGUUGGAUACUUUUUGGCUGUUUUGGGAGUCCUUGGCAGCGGCUUCUCAGGGCGUACGUAGCCCAUUGUAGAUUCCAGCCGAGAAGAUUAAGGAAUUGUGACUGCAACCAUGUUACUUUUCUAGGACUCUGUUUCUGAUAUUGUUCCCGCUGCAUCUUUUCAUCCCCAUGGUGAAUGUUGCUGUUGAUCUGUAGAUUGGAUUUGUUCCUCGGUAGCUUUAUUAGAUUUGUGCUGAAUGAUAAUCUCUGCCUGUGAUAUUUUUCUUCAUUGCGGAUGUGUGCCGAGUAUUAUCCCCUUUGUUCAUUCUGUUGGCUUUUUUUAUUGUCUCUGUACUCGGCUGUUCAGCUUGUGCAGCUAAUGAUCUAAUGUAUUUUGUCGUAACUAUGUAUUUUUCGGAUGUGUGCCGAGUAUUAUCCCCUUUGUUUAUUCUGUUGGCUUGCUUUCAUUGAUCUUAAGAUAACUGGUGCUAUAAAUUCACACUAGCUGAUGCACUUGCAAAUAGCUAUGUAAAUAUGAAAAGAAGUAUUUUUUUAUCCUUUUGUUUGUUUGGCAUCAUAUCUGUUUAAAUGGCAUAGCAAUAAGAAUUUUUUGUUUUUGGGGAAUCAUAUCUGCUUAAAUGGUAUAGAAAAUGCUGAGUGCACUGUCAAAUAGAUUUUCCAGCAGUCUGCUUUCAGUUGUUUUUGCAAAUCCUCACAGGCCAGUGAACUGACUUUGUUUUUACCACCCCAUGCCAUUUAAAUGACUAAAUCAGUCAGCCUAAUACUAUAUAUGGUCAUGCUAUGAUCUUAUUUCUUGAAGCUCUAUAGGUCAACCCAUAAGGGUAACUUAGUUUUUCCUAUUCUGGCUGGGGAAGUGGAUACGAUGGCUAUCCUUGGUAGAGUUAAAUACAUUGGCGGCUCUUAGCGCGCCAAUGUGGCACCACAAUAUCGAACAUAUGUAGAAACCCCCUUGUUUUUUCUCAUAUCCCUCUCUCUCAGCGUCCUCUUCUCUUCUUCUCCUCUGUCUCCUCCCCUCCCAUCGCGUGCUUUAUUGCGCCGCCGCCAUCCGCCUCCAUGUAUGAACACGUCGUUUGUCAUGAAGAAGCAGUUGAUGAGGCAAUCAAGCAUGUGGUGCACAAGGUUCUUCUGCUGGCCAAGUCCGAGUCGAACAGCCGCGCAUUCAUUGGGGAAGCACGCGCCAGGCAUCACCAGGCUCCUCGUGCCCCUACUCUGCUCCAAGGACUCGGUGCUUCGACGCGCUGCUUUCCCUGUCCGGCGAGCGGGGAUCGUUGGGAGAUGAUCGAUGGAGGAUGGAGCUGAUCCUCCUGUACACGGUGCCGGUGGGGAGCAGGGAGCUGCGGAGCAGGUCCACGGGCGGCGCCAUUACAGCAGGUGCAGGCUAAGGGUAAUGAGCAGAUCGAGGCGAUGGAGGAGGACCCGCACGAGGUGCAGCUUCUUCGCCUCCUGCGCAAAGUCAGCGCCCAAGCAGCCGCUGAGGGACAGGCCGAGGCUUAGCUCGAUCUCAUCCGACUAAAUGGUGGCUGCACUCCCACAGUCCCACUGGUGCUCCUCCCUUCUGUCCGAACCUGCCGAGGAAAUCCCUCGAUGCCAUGGGUCCCGGCUGGACGACUACUCCUCCCACAGAUUGACUGAGGAAGAAGAGCUUCUCAGUGUCCAAAAAUUCAGUUACACUGGAAACAGCAACCAAUUACGUUCUUCCGGCUCAGCCAAGCCCCAAUCUCCUUGCUUCUGUGCGCCCCUGCUAAAUAUUCCAGAAACCAAUCUGGUUAGUUGUUUUUUCACAUUUUCAGUGCAUGCCGGUGCUGCUGUGUGCGGCAUGCAUGGAGUUGUCGUGGGAGUGCACGGUGGCUUAGCUGGUGCGCCAGUGCGCGGGCACGAACACAACGGUGAAGAUGGCAGGGCCAUCUCAAAGCUCCUGAGCACCUGCACGCGUCGCUGAGCAGGACAUGCUGCGACGGUGGGCGAGCGCUGCUAACGCCCUGGGGAAGAGCAGUGGGUGCAGAGAGAGGGAGCGAGGGAGAGGGGUUCUUGUAUAUGUUUGCUAGCGUGGCACCGUUUACGGUGCCCGCCUAAGUGGCAUUCACGUGUCAUUCAUCCCAAAUGGUGUUGCAAGGUUGAACCUAUUGUGGGAGGCUUUUGGUUUCCCUUGACAGUAUCACCAGUGAUAUCACUGCGUUCUGGUUAUGUAUGAAACACUUGUCCUUUUAAAACCUUUCUGAAUUUAGAAACGAAUUUGAAACAUUACCCUCAUUUCCAUGUUUUUCUAUCUUUUGUCCCUGUAAAAUCAAACUAAAUUUGAAUUAUUAUGUUCAGAACUACAAGCUGAUUUACUUGUCCCAUUUGCUAAUAACAGGGCCUUGUGAUUUCUAAUGAACAUUGCAGAGCAUGUUAUAAAGCGUAUGCAUGAACACCAAGGGGAUGAAACCAUUGGUAUAUUUCUCACAACCUUUUGAACUUAUCAUUUAGCAUAUUUGUGUUCUAGUGUGACGUUUCAGCCACGAGACAUGAGAAAUGUUAGCUAUGGAUUUUGGUUAUUCAUCAUGGGUUCACAGAUUUGUUUUUCUCUAAAAGAAUUGGGAAGUAGCUUUCUUUCUGGGUAUAUGUGGGGAAAUGCAUAUGCAAUCUUUUAUUUAUUGAGGUGACUGUAAAAUUCUUGUCUGACUGAAUAUGCGAUUUCAACCUACAUGCUAUACUUAGGGAAAUUUGUGAAUCUCCUAAUGUCUGCUGCAUGGCAUGAAUGCAUAUUUUACUGGUCCAUAAUGUGAAGUUCUGUAUAUAAACUUCUCGUGUUGACCCUUUAGAACAUGCUAACUGGAGAGUUUUCUAGAGUAGUUAAACAAGAGAUUUAGUUAAAUCUGCACACAUAGGUGGGGCCUGGCAUACCCUAAGAAUCGGCCUAGCCGGUCAGCCCAUUAGUAAAAAAAAAAGCACCGCAGUCAGCAGUCCCCACGUUGGUCUUCCUCGAGUCGCGACUCGCGAAGCUCCCAUCCUCCGAGUCCAAGAUGGUGGACUGUGUCGAGCGCGGGGCGGGCGAUUAGUUGCCCGGCCGCCGGCGGGGGAUGGCCGGACGGCCAGAUCGCCGACUCCUCUAGUCCUCCCUCCAGCCUCUGCGCUUCUUUCACAGUGGAGCUAGCGGCGAGGCGCCCGACCGACACCCUUCUUCCCAAAUCCCGGCAGCCCUACCUCGAUUUGGCCUCCUCCGAUCAUUUGAUAAUCAAUUUGAUGAAAUUAAUAUGGAGUUGCUUUCUUGUAUGGUUGCCUUCAAUCCUGCUAAUUCAUUUGCUUCAUUUGAUGCACAAAAGAUACAUAGACUUGCUAUAUUUUUAUCCACAAGACAUCACAAGCACGGAUUUGCUAAAACUUGAAUUCCAGCUCGAUAUUAUAUUGAUGAUGUGAGAUAGGAUGAUAGUUUCAAAGGCCUACAAGAUCUUGUUAACUGAGACUCAGUUAAGCUUGUUGAAACAAACAGGCAUAAUAUUUAUGACUUGGUUUACUUGCUUCUCAAAUUGGUAUUGGUUCUUCUUGUGGCGACAGCUAGUGUUGAAAGGGAUUUUUGUGCAAUGACUUUGAUCAAGAGUAAGCUAAGAAAUAAGAUGGGUGAUAGUCUUUUGGAUGAUUGUCUUAUCACAUUCAUUGAGAAAGAUAUUUUCUUUGAAGUGGAUGAAGAAGAUAUAAUUAAGACUUCAUAUCCAUUAGAAAUCGUAGGCUGGAGAAGAAGUAAUAUUUUAAUUUUCUUUGAACGUUAGGUCUGUAAGCUUCUUUUAAACUAUCUACAUUAUAAUUUAUGGACCUUUUAAUUUAACCGUUGAAUUCAUGAUAUUAUGAGAUUUUUUUAUCUAUGUUAUUAUUGUUUACCGAUUUAUUACCAAAUUAUUAGUUUGAUCUUACAAUAUUGUAUUUUGGAUGAUUGGCUCGGCAUACUCUAAGUUUAAAUCCUAGCUCCGCCACUGUUUGCACAUUAAUGUGGCUUAUAUGUGUGGAGUCACUUAACCUAUGCACUUGGACCUCCACUCCCUUAGGUUUUAUGAACCUAAUUUGACAGCCUGCUCGUCUUUUAUUUUCUACCAAUCAGCUAGGAACGAACAUGGUGAUGUUUGCAUCUCUGCCAUCAAUGGCUUACAUGUCAUUAUGUAUCACAUUAGCAAGUCUUGUUUUGUUAUUGGCUGGGAUGACGGGGACUCUAGCUGGAAUUGAAUCAAAGUGGUAGAUCACAGGGUAUUCAUUGCCAUGUAUUUCUGCAGUUGCAUGGACUUGCAUCAAACGGACCUUCCUACUUAUGUGAUUGUCCUAUAUGAUCUCCUUUGAUUUCAUUUGCACACUGUAAUCACAUUAGCUAGAACACUCGCUUUUUGCUUCAAAUUUGAAAUUCAUAUCAUGAUGGACUAGAACGCUGAAUUUCUUGAUUGCUGAGUUACUAAUCACAUUGUGGCGCUGCCAAAGAAGCUGGACUCUUCAUUGUUGUUGCCUUGUGGGCUGCCGUGUGCAAAGAACAAGAGCGCACGGUAUUAUAAUAGCAGAGCAGAACACAGACAAGCGACAAGGAGCGGAGCAGAGCAGAGCACAGCCAGGCACAAGCAGUAGAGUAGAGCAGAGCAACCGGGAGAGGAGAGGGCACAUAUGCAGAGUAGAGCAGAGCCAAGCGCAAGCAUUCAUGCACUCAAGCAUGCAGCAGAGGUGUAGCAAGGCAAGCACAAGCAGCAGAGCAGAGGGAAGGGAAGGCUGGGAGAUGAAUAGGCGAAUAGUUACCUGGACAGAGCAGAGGGAAUGGAGAUGAUGCAGAUGCUUCCGGAGACUCGAGAUUUGGAGAGGAACAAGGCCACGUUGUGAACAAGGUCUCCUUUCUCUUCUCUAUUUCCCGCGCAAGUACUUGUGCAUAGUGGCUGCCUCAUCCUCCAGGACGUCCACUUCAACCUGAGGCGGGUGCCACAGACAUCCUGGCUAUGCGACGGCUACCCCCAGCACACCCCCGGCGCCUAUGAACCAUGAUCCUAAUACUAUAAAUUGUCAACCUUGUAAUCUUAUUUCAAGCAUGCUCUCUAUGUCAACCUGUAAGGUUAACUUCGUUUUUCCUUUUCUGGGUAGGGGAGUGGAUAUUGCUGUUAUUUAUAUUAUGUUGAUAUUGGUUUCCACAUGUCAUUCACCCCAAAUGUGUUGCAAGGUUGAACCUAUCAUCGGAGGAAUUUUUUUCCCUUUACCUUUAUAUCACUACGCUCUGGUUAUGUAUGAAACACUUGUCUUCUUAAAAACCUUAAUUUAGAAACAAAUUUGAAACACUAUCUUCAUUUACAUCCUGUAUGUGUUUUCUACCUUUUGUCCUAUAUGAUCUGCUUUGAUUUGAUUUGUGCAUAGUUUUUUCAAUUCAGACCUGGUGAUUUCUGAGGUUCAUGUUGUGCUGAUAAGCAGCCUACUAUUCAGUAACACUUUCAUGUGGCAUGUUCAUGUUAGCUAGCUAGAAACACUGCUUUUAGCUUCAAAAUUCAAAUUCAUGACAUGAUGGACAUUGACAAUGAAUUUCUUGAUUGCCGAGCUAUGUACACUGUAAUUCAGACCUGGUGCUUUUAGUUUUUUUCUUGAUUGCCGAGCUAGAAACACUGUGCUUUUAGUUUUUUCAAUUCAGACCUGGUGAUUUCGGUUUUUUCAAUUCAGACCUGGUGAUUUCUGAGGUUCACGUGUCACACCGAUUUUAAGAACAAAAUCGAGUGCAUUAAAUAUACAUGUACGCUAGGAUCAGGUUACACACAUGUACGACAUAAGCGAAUAUCAAAGACAAUGCCAUAACGAAAUAAAGAGAGUAUUAAUCAUUAUUACAUGACCGAAAGUCUCAAAUAAACCACAAAAUCUAUUUAUUACAUAGCGGAACUUCUAAGAUAGCAACGUCUCCACAGGCAGCUGACUGAAGAACUGUAUGCCUAGAACUCUUCAAAAUCGUGCAGGUACUCCUCCAGAUUAGCUUGGUAUGAACAACGGUUUUGCAAGGGUGAGUACACUUAUGGUUGGUACUUAAUAAGUCGUGGGAAACAAUGUAGUGUAAGGCAAAUCAAGGUAUGGCUAAGGCUUAAACAGCAUCAGCUUUUAAUUUAGUUGGUCAAAUUUUAUUAGCAAUUAAUUAGACGUAAAUUUAUACCACCCGAAAUUAAACAAGAACAUGAAUAAAAUAAUAACAUAACCAUAAAUGAAAUGACAACAAUUUAAAUCCAUCUUUUCAUAGCAUUAUCAUGUGAGGGUCCAGUCCGUUCUUAACCGUGAGCACCGCUGAUCGAUCAGUUUUACACUCUGCAGAGGUUGUACAUCUUUACCCACAAGUCGCGUAAAAGUUCAAAAGAAUUUUGGACCCAACCAUGCGGUAUUUGCAAGGCACCAUACCACACUUCCAAGGUGUGAUUGCAUAUGAACGCUACGAGGCCUUUACAAAGAUUCAUUAGUAAGUGGUAACCCGCUAAGGUUUCGGUAUUUGGCGUGCACAACCUAUCACAGGCCGCUAAUGCAACGACUCAGUCCCCCCUCUUGCCUCAUCACGAGUAAGAUUACCCCAGACUAAGGUUUCUAAUUAUUCAGCCAAGAUCAGAACCAUUUAGUCUUGUGGUAGCACUGUUUUCCUGGGUGGUUCUCCAUGUUCCGAUUAAACAUAAUGGUCUUGUAUUAAUGGAAGGUAUAACAUAAAUAAUACCAAAUUAAUAAUAAUUCAGAUUAAAUCACCAUAACCAUAUUUGAGCACUAAGCAUGAGCUACCCAACAUAAAUUUAACCCGGUUGGUCAAGGCAAGGUAGAUAAAGUCUAGGAAAUUCUUAAUUGGGACCCAUCAAGUUUAAAUUAUACUUUGCAUGGUAUGUUGCAUAGAACAUGAAAGUAAAUGUGAAUAGGACUGAAAAGGAGUGAUUAGGGACACGACUUGCCUUUUUAACCUUGUUCUUGCUGUUCGUACUCUUCGAAAACUUUGAUCUUCAAAUCCCUUGAACUGCUGACCGUCUACACGCGUCACACGACCACAUACAAGCAAACAAAUAUAAUACAUAAGAAAACAGUACACCAAUCAUAAUUAAAUAGAAGAAACAAAUUUGAAAAGCUAUUCUACGCAUUAAAACGAAAACACGGAUACAAGGAACGUUAAAAACGGAGCUACAGUGCAAAAACUACGCUUAAAACAAGAUGCAGGGGUAUAACUACGAGAAACCAAACUUCCAGGGAUUUAAUUUUAAAUAAUUUUGAACUGCAGAAGGGGCAGCAGGGCAAAACGUAGAAAAUGCAGGGGCUUAAGCGCAAAAGCAUGGCUGCUGACUCAGCUGACUUGAUGUGGAUCGUCGGAUGGCGAUCCGGCGGCCGGCAGCUGCUGCGCUGACGUCAGCGACGGCGAGCGCCGGCGAAAAACGGCAGUUCGCCGGAAUCGCCCGGGAACGCGCGACUGGGUGCAGAUUUGAGCGAGGAUUAGACUAGCAGAUAGAAACGAGCGCAGUGAACUCAUUUGGGAUGCCUACGGCGAGGACUUGGCGACGGCAUCGGCUCCGGCGAGAACUUGCGGCAGGGAAACCAAAUAAAAUAAAAUAACACGGUUCAGAGAAGCGGCGCUGGAGGAACGCGAGCGAUUUUGCGUGCGAGCGGAAGAAAACACUGCGAGGAAGAUGACUGCGGGCCCUGCUUGUCUGCGGCAGGAGGAGAGCUGCGUGCGAGAAGAACCUGGCCACGAUCUGGGCCGUUGCCUUCGAUCUGGGCCGAGGCAAGCUAGCUGGCCCGCUGCUGCGGAAAGGUGCUGGGCCACGGGCGGAGCACAGCGUCGGGCCAGAAAGGAGAUGGCUGCUGCGAGGAAACAAAAGAAAAUGAACUGGGCUGCGACAGAGGAAAACUGGGCGUCGGCCAGAAAGAAGCUGCGUGCAGCUUGCUCUUGUUUCCGAACUAGAAACAGGAACUGACGGAAAGACAGAAAUCAAUUGGAGACUGAAACUGACGCCCCAGACUCUGAACUUCGAAAAAACAGGACAACCAGCCAACUGACAGAAAAAAAAAAGCUUAACAACCCAAAAGCAGUACACAACCACGAAACCAGGCCACAAGACUGAAAAAGCUUGAUAGGAACAUCUGGCGACUGAACCAAAAAACUACAGAACUGCAACUGAAGAACUAGAGAACAGAUAAAUAACUGAUUGAACUCUGAAACUGAAACACCAAAGAGCAGGAAGCUGACUGACGGAAAAUGCAAAACAGCAACCCAAGGUGAAACACAAAUUCUUCUUCAAGCAUUCAAACAAAGAGAUAUGCAACAGCAUGAAUGCUCAAUAAAAUCCUAUAUUUCAUUAAUUAAUUAGAAAAAAUGCUCAAAUGCCUAGAAAAAUGCAAAAGUGACCUUAUAUGCCUUAAACAAGCAAAUUCGUUUCUAGCGAUUUUUGGUAAAAUGCAAAAUUAGAGAUUUUGGGUGUUACAUCAUGUUGUGCUGAUAAGCAGCCUACUAUUCAGUAACACUUUCAUGUGGCAUGUUCAUGUUAGCUAGCUAGAAACACUGUGCUUUUAGCUUCAAAAUUAAAUUCAUGACAUGAUGGACAUUGACAAUGAAUUUCUUGAUUGCCGAGCUAUGUACACUGUAAUCACAUUGUGGGGCUGAUAAAAUAAGCAGCGUUGAGACACAUAACAAUUGAAUCUUAAGCUUCACACAGAAUCUGGACCAGUCAUCCUCAUUCCUGUCAUGCUGGAAAUGUCUUUGAUACAUUUCAAUCACAGGCAAUUGAAUUCGUACUGGGGAGGAUGGCAAUGGUGCAUGAAGAGAGAUCAAUGUGGCAAAUCUCACAUUGUUCAUUACCAGGUAUCUCCGAUUUCUGGUUAUUUUAAAUUUACCUUGACAUGUGACUUAUUGAGGUAUUGUAUUUCAUCUAAUGGUAGUUCUGAAUUUAUGGUAACCUUGGAUGGGGUUUGUCACUUUAUACACGCACGGACUUACAAAGGACAGCAAAUGAGUAUAUUUAGAGGGCUCCUGUCCAACCAUGGACUAUACUUAUGUACCCUUUUUUGACAUGGUAAUUUGAGGUUAAUGGAAAAGUAGCGAUAGUCGCCUCCAGCGAAGCUACCUUCUUCGAAAGCUCCGAGGCUGCUUUCUCGCUCUUAGCAAGCCGAUCCCUCGUAAUCAUCGAAGAGUAAGAGACCUACAGAUUUUAAAAACCAAGUUACCAAAAAUAACGAAGUAAAAGACAACACUCGCAAGACAAACCACCAAACUAUCUCAUAAUUGUACCUUCUUUACGAGGUUCGCCUCCAAGUUAAAGAGCUCUUCCAAGAUCAUUGACUUCACAGCUUGCUGAAAAUCUAUGCGCCAAAGGAUAUAGUCGUAAGCAUAAAAUAAAAAUUGGUAAAAACCAAGGACAGCAAAGCCAUCUACAAGCUGUUCUUACCCUCAUACUUUCGCACCUCAACGGCGAUCGGAACAACCUUCUCUCUAGCCUCGCCCUUAGACGCCACCACAAUCUUCCCGCCACACAAAUCCACAACCCCUCCUUUACCUUUGCCCUCUCCCGAAGUCGUCGUGCCCGCCUUCUCCACCCUUUUUGAACCGCCAACAUCUGCAUAGCGCUCGCAACCUUCACCUUCAGCCCCCCAGACCAAAGACAGGUUGUGAGGAUUAUAAACCCUACCUUCGGCGCAUGUAGCUAGAAUCUCCGUGCGCCCGCUCAAGCCCAGACACUCAUUCAGUCCCUGAAGCCCCGCCGGCAACCUCUCACCUACAUCAUAACAUUCAACUUUUAGCCUCACAUGAUCCUCACAACUAACCUUACCAACGCCCCCCAUAGUUUCUUCCAAGUCCUUCAAAAAUUUCGUUGAGGCCUCACCACAAUCAAAGAACCGUAGCAUCGAUAGAAACACCUCUACAUGCUUACCAGAUCUCACAGCUUCGGCACACCCACCCUUUGGAUCAGAUGAGAACGCAUCCACAAGCUUCGCCUUUUCGGUGGCAAACCCCCUCUCAAGUUUCCCAACAUCAGUCAAGAGAUGUUGCGCGCUCUUAAACUUCGAGCUUAUGGAAGGCACCGUGAUCUUGGUACCAGCUGCCGAAGACGCGUCAACCUUGGCACCCGUAACAGUAACAGGAGCAAAUCGAGGUUUCUUGGCGCCUCUUUUGAUCCGUGCGGCGGGCCCGGUGGAUGAAGGUGCAAGAGCUGGAACCUCCUUAGGAGGGCGCAUAGAGACAGGAACAACAUAUGCCGGAUUGCUCAAGUCGCCAGACGAAGCUGUCGACCACGAUGGCAACAUAGCAGACGAAGCCCCCGCGGUCAUUUCCUUCCUUUUUUGCGCCUCCAAAUUCAAGGUCUUUUGCUUCGCCUUAGCGGUCACUUGCAAUUCAAUAGUGAGCUUCACCAUGGGUACGAAGUCAAAUUUUGCCUUUUUCCUCUGCUCAAGACUAGCACCGCGACGGCGCCUCUUGCCCGUAACUUUGGGGUGAGGCAGAACCACAAUAUCAUACAAGUCAAAAAUCUAAGAUGAUGACAUUCCAUUUGUAUCCAUGAUUUAUAUUGUGUUCCUUGAAUAUCCAUUAAAGUCUACUUGAAUUGAUUUGCAAUUAUGUGAAUUGUAUGUGAAACUCUUUCCUUGUAUGGUUAUUCUAAAGUUGUCCCUAGUCGGAGUUCAUGUGAGGACACAUGAAUAUUAGACUAGCACAUGUAUUAGUUGAUGACUAUGUUUCACAAGUCAUGGACAUGAAGAUGUGGAACUAAUAAUGUGGGCACAUGUGGAGACACGUGCUAGGACUGACCCAACACGAGAAGUAGUUCUCUCUUUAUACAACAUAUACGCUUUGUCCUUAGACCUGAGAUUGUCGCAUGUACUCAAGAUGUGGAUCGACUUACUUAGGGGCUAUCAAAUUCUACGCCGUAACAGGGUAGUUAUAAAGGUAGCUUUCGGGUUUGUCAAGAAGCAUGCUAUGAGACAUGGUCAAUCAAGAUGGGAUUUGCCCCUCUCUGAUUGAGAGUGAUAUCUCUGGGCCCCUCGAGUGAUCGGAUCCGAAAAUGCAUGGCCAUGCUACAUACGAUUAAGAGUUAGCCUACAAAAGGAUUCCGAAUCAUAGGAUCGAGAAAGAGCGGUCGGCUUGAAGCUAGACCAAAUAUCGUGAGGCAAAGGGAAUAGCAUGUAUAUAAUGUUGUGAUGGUUCGUCUGAUAUGAUCUUCGUGUGCGUAUAGGAGUUGGCACGUCUUGCUAGAGGUCGCUACCGACUAUUGGGCCGAGUAGGAGUACUCAGGCCAUGUCUAUACGUAUCCGAACCCAUAGGGUCACACACUUAAGGGGCUGGAAGCCCAAUUCGGAUGUGAUCCGAAUUGGAUUAGGUUUAGAAGUACUAAUGGGCCUUGGACCUAGAGGCCCGUUAGGAACCUCUAUAAAUAGAGGGGUGGGGGCGCCCUAGGGUUUACACCUUUUUGGUGAAACACAUCUGCCGCGCCUCCCACGCCUUCGCCUGUUGCAACUCGCGGACCUAGCAGUCCGGCUUGCGACGCUUCCUCCCUGCACGUGUGGAUACCUUGGAAGUGUUGCUCCUGCAGCACUUGGACGAGCCGCCAACGAGCCACGACGAGCCACGAUGAGCCGACGAUGAGCCGCGGCACGAGGGGGAUCUUGCUGCACGUGGACGAGCUGCUGAGGAGCUGCUGGACGUCGAUGUGUUCGACUACGUACGACUACGCUGAUCGACUUCGCUGCAUCAACGCGAAUCUACAUCUUCCGCAUCAUUGCAUCGAGUGGUAAUCCCGUGAUCCUGAUACGGCAGUUUUCCUAGUUUACGCGGUAGAAAAUUUUGUUUUGUGCUAGUGUAGCCUAACUCAUAUCCCAACAACGUGUGCUAUAGGUCACGCAAGCCUGAAAAUGGCCACACCGGACACCGGGUACGAAAACAUGGGGGAUGGACCGAACAUUUGAAAAUGGCCUCCAUAUGUGUUUUCGGCUAUGAAAAUGUGUGUUAUAGGUCACAGAAGCUUGAAAACGGCCGCACCAGCCACUAGGGACGAAAACGUGGGGGAUGGACCAAAGACAUAAAAAAUAGCCUCCAGACGCGUGUUCGGCCAUGAAAACGUGUGGUAUAGGUCCUGGAAGGCCAAAAACAGCUACACCGGCCACCUGGGACGAAAAAGUUUGUGUAAGACCGAACACUUGAAAAUAGCCUCUGGACGCGUGUUCGGCUAUGAAAAGGUGUGUUAUAGGUCACACGAGCCCCAAAACAACCACAGCGAACACCAGCUACAAAAACAUGGGGGAUGGAUCGAAUAAUUGAAAAUGGCCUCCAGACGUUUGUUCGGCCAUGAAAUCGUGCGUUAUAGGUCGCGGGAGCCCGAAAACGGCCACACCGGCCACCGGGAAUGAAAAUGUGGGGGAUGGACCGAACAAUUAAAAAUGGCCUCCGGAUGUGUGUUCGGCCAUGAAAACGUAUGUUAUAGGUCACGGGAGCAUGAAAACGGCCGCACUGGCCACUGGGGACGAAACGUGGGGGAUGGACCGAAGACGUGAAAAUAGCCUCCAGACGCAUGUUCGGCCAUGAAAAUGUGUGCUAUAGGUCAUGCAAGGCCAAAAACAGCUGCACCAGCAACCGGGGACGAAACCAUGGCUGUCAAACCGAACGCUUGAAAAUCGCCUUCGGACGCGUGUUCGGAUAUGAAAACAUGUGUUGUAGGUCACGCGUGCCCGAAAACGUCCACAACGGACACCGGGUACAAAAACGUGGGGGAUGGAUCGAAUAACUGAAAAUGACCUCCGAACGCGUGUUCGGCCAUGAAAACGUGUGUUAUAGGUUGCGGGAGCCCAAAAAUGGCCACACCGGCCACCGAGGAUCAAAACGUGGGGGAUUGACCGAACAAUUAAAAAUGGCCUCCGAUUGUAUGUUCGGCCAUGAAAACGUGUGUUAUAGGUCAUGGGGGCCCAAAAAUGGCCGCACCAGCCACCAAGGACGAAAAUAUGGGAGAUGGACCAAAGACAUGAAAAUGGCCUCCAGAUGCAUGUUUGGACAAAAGUGUGUGCUAUAUGUCGUGCAAGGCCAAAAACAGCUACACCAGCCACCGGGACAAAAACGUGGGUGUUUGACUAAACAAGUGAAAAUGGCCUCCGGAAGCAUGUACGGCUAUGAAAAUGUGUGCUAUAGGUAAUGGAAGGCUAACAAAAGCUACACCGGCCACCGGGGACAAAAUCAUGGGUGUCAGACUGAACACUUCAAAAUGGCCUCCGGACGCGUGUCCGGCUAUCAAAACGUGUGUUAUAGGUCAUGCGAGCCCGAAAACAACCACACUGAACACCGGGUACAGAAACAUGGGGGAUGGACUGAAUAACUGAAAAUGGCCUCUAGACGCGUGUUCGGUCAUGAAAACAUGUGUUGUAGGAUGCGGGAGCCCGAAAACGGCCACACCGGCCACCAGGGCAUGGACCAAACAAUUGAAAAUGGCCUCCGGAUGUGUGUUCGGCCAUGAAAACGUGUGUUAUAGGUCACGGGAGCCCAAAAAUAGCCGCACCGACCACUGGGGAUGAAAUCGUGGGGGAUGGACCGAAGAUGUGAAAAUGGCCUCCAGAUGCGUGUUCGGCCAUGAAAACGUGCGCUAUAAGUCAUGUAAGGCUAAAAAUUGCUACACCGGGACUAAAGCAUCCCCCAUGAGUUACAAUAAAAGGAUUGUAUCCUCUACUCAGUCGGAUGUACUGUGUAGGUGAGAUGGUAAGGAAGCUAUGCGCGAGGUUUGAGGUUGUGGGUUGAAAUCCUACGCACCGCGCGCACACGCGCAUAUUUUGUGUGAAAAAUCAUGUGACUUGUGAUCGGCCAAGGAGAAGUGGGUGCAGCUGUGGCUUAAGUGGCUGAGGCACGCUGCCAUAGACAUCUCCGAUUUGCUCGAAGACUACCAAGACACUAGCAAUAACAAGAACUACUGCUCUUCCUAGCAGACUCUUUACAACCACUUUAAAGCUGUGCAUUUCUCAAUGUAAUUUCGUAGAAGGCAAUCGAUCCAACCAAGCGACUAAAUCAUUUGUUCUUGCCAAUGAUGUACAUCAGGUUUUCUAUAUGAAGGACAUGUCUAGCAAACCUAAGAUUUUAGAAGAAAAAGAAAAAUUAUGGGAGUCAAUAAUAAAUCAGGCCAAUCAGGAGAUUAUAGUAAGCUCGAUGGUAUGCCUCCAUUCGAUGUCGAAGUUGGCCCAAGCAUCAUGUUAGCCAAAGAUCAAAUGUUCGUGCAUUGCUACGGUAAAGAUCAAUUGUGUCUUUUAAACCCAUGGAAUUUUUUAUCUAUGUUUUUAUUACACUUAAUGGAUGUCUACACAUUUGCUAGAAAAUCAAAAUAAUUUUGACUUAAUUAUUUCUUUCAACUCAAAUACUCAUUAAAUUUCUACCUUUUUAUUUAAGCAAGAGAGUUGCUCAAAAAAUGGAUACGUAACCAUGUUGUAUCAUACAAAGCAACCACAUUUCACAUAUAGUCUGGCUUAGCAAACACCAUUGUUGUCUUAACAUAGUGUUCAUGAGUUAGUAGACAUGGAUCUAUUUCUAAUUGCAAGUAGUGCAGCGUACAACCAGCCUGCACCGCCGCAGCUCAAUAUGCGAUAAUUUUUUAUCUUCCCAUGUAAUUUUUCUACUCUAGUACAUAUUGAACUCCACAUAAAUGUCAUGUUCUUUCACGCCACAGACGGUUUCUAAAGUUUGGAACUAAAUAGAUAGCCAAAAAUUUUAAAAAAAUAUUUAUAUGGAUACAUGUAUGUUCUUUGCAAACUAACAAUAUUGUUUACAAUAUCAAAAGGAAUAUGGCUAUGAUCAUUGCCGCAUAUGGCAGGUGAUGGUAGAUGCCGUAUGGGGUUUCUUUAACUUAAUUGUAUAAUAAGCUGAAAUACAUUUUCUAUUUGCAAAUGAAUCAUAGCUGAAAGUGGUGGGAUUGUAGAACCGCCGGCCAUCGUGUCCUUGUAGGACCGCUGCACGAGCCUGUGAGCCACCAGCCACCAUGCGCCCAAGGGCCAUCACCACGCCAUAAGAGGAUGCUGUCUACCCGGUUUCGCGCGCCUGUGCUAGCUGCCUGAACCUGGGCCGCCGCCGGUCGCCUGCCCAGCCGCGCGUUGCGCCAGGGUUUUGCUGGUGACGACCAUGGCCUUCGCGAUCAAAUUAAAAAGUUAUCAACUGCAAAGUAUUAGGUCUCGUUGAGCUCUACAAUUUUGAUAUAAAGUUUCUAUUCAUCCGAGAUCAAAUAAAAAAUUUGAUACUCAAAGCAUAAAUCCAUUAAUCUAGUCUUGCUAAUCCUUACCACCAAAUAAAAAACUAGCAUGUGUUGUGUGUUUGUGACCCUAAACGAUCACAAAUGAAUAACUUAUGGGCCUUGCUAGCGCCCGGAUGUCCAGGCCGGGGCACUAGCAUCAGACCCACGAGUAGCCGUCCGAUCAGGUUCGACACCACUUCAGGAUCUGGCUUAAAAAGAAGUCCCACCGAAACAUUGUUCCAUGUUGCAUGAAGCAACCCACUACCGUCGCCAGGUCUAGAGCAAGCACCACCUUCAAAUGUGCUGCUCACCCUAGCUAAAUAGGGGCAUUAAAAUAUUUCUCGCAUAUCCUUCUCAAAUUAAACAAAAUCGCAACAUCUGAAAAUUUUUACAGAAAACCAUGAAACAUAUCGAUUAGAUAGAUGUAACAAGAUGGAAUAUGGUAUAUGCAACAUAUAGGUUCCGAAAAGCAGAUGAAAUAUUAUGUAAUGAUUCUUGAAACAGUCAAGAAAAAUAGAUGUAACAUCUAAAAUUAAGAAAAGAAGCUUUAUGCAAAUUGCAAAAAGCUGAAACAAGUGGUUGAAACAUUUCAAAUCACCAAAUGCCACAUUUGAAAUGACCAGAUGAAACAUCACGAAAUCAAUUGCAACAGUUGAAGAUGAAAACAUUCAAAUGCCUUGCCUUUCUCCAAAUUUGACCCUCCAAGCAUGAGUCCAGCCAUUUGCACAUUAGACCCUUGGGAGGAGCUCACCGGAGAACAACAAGACCGUGUUAUCCAACAAUUUUCAGAUCAAAUUGCAACAUAAAGAACAAAGCAUUGCAACAUCUGGCAUCACGAGCUACAACAGCAACCAGUUAGGAUCAGGAGAAAGAGGGCAAACACAAGCCUAACAAUGAGUUAUAUCCGGUUUAAACAAGGAUAAAAAUGAGUGUAUUUUACACUCAUCAUGUUGUCUUUUCGCAGCUGUACCGCCUUUAGCGUGUUGUAUUGUUCCUAACACCAAGUCUCCGAGGCCCGAAAAAAUAAGGAAAGUGGUAGCAGCUCAGAAAUCGACUAAGUUUCUUUCCCCCUUUGGCUUUCCUACUAGGAUUCGGAAUCCUCUUUCGUAUGACAAUCUUAAUGAUCUCCCAUAGUCCAAAACUCACAAAAACAUCAAAAAUCCACCGAGAAUAAAUUAAGUAAAAAAACAUGCACACACAGAUAAUAAUAGUAAUCAUGUUUCAUUAUGAUUGCUAAGGUCAGACACAAUACAUAAACAUAUUAGACUGAGUGACCCACCUCACCUCAGAGUAUGCACCAUGUCUGAGUGACCCACCUCACCUUGCCAGGACACUGGUCCUGCCCUCGUGGUUCACGCGCCCUCGUGGUUCAGCAGUGGUCAGUACACAAAUCUAGCUGCCAGUCGGAUCCAAGGGCAGGCAUUUGCAUUGUGGUUGUGUUUGAACAUGGAGAUGUCAUUAUUAUUGUCAGGCACCAUACAUCCUCUCUCAGUUUCACUCCGCCUCACACACGGAUAGCACACCAGGGACCCGACACCAUGCAUGCCGAUUUCAUAUUAUUAAUAUUUAAUUUUUUUAAUGGUUGUUGAAACUAUAUUGUUGAUAUUUUUAUACAUAAUUUACGACCUAAUUUGGAUAUAUUUUUGAAAUAUUCCGAAAUCUUAAAUUCACACGUCUAGAGAUACAGUUAGUCCAAUCUGAUGUUUCCGAUUAUAAAAAUGAACAUAAAGAGAUAGGAAGCGAGAGACGUGAGGGGGAAAGUUAAAUUAGGGCCUAAGGGGUGAAGUUAGGGUUCCAGGUGAGCUGUCAUCACUACGUGUUUUUAAUCGAAAUUGGAAUGUCAGCAAUCGUCAGAUCUUGAGCCAACAGUUGAGACUGCCUCGGAAUGGUAAUUAGGUCUGCGCGAGCUUGCAUUGUGGCCUUCCUUGAAACCUUGGACAUAGGUGUUAUAUUAUUAUGUUCUUGCCAGCACACAGCAGUGAAGGACGACACAGUUGAGAUGUGCAUCACAUUUUCUAUAUGAAGGAUAUGUUUAGCAAACCUAAGAUUUUAGAAUAAAAAGAAAAAUCAUGGGAGCCAAAGCGCCACAUAGUUCUUCCAGGUAAAAAAAAAUCAUCCACUGGACCAGCACAUAGUAACGAUCCAAAAAGUCCAUAUUAAGAUUUUUUGAUAGCAGAAAAAACAUAAAAUGUCUAAUAUUUGUAGUAUUAAAAGGAAAAAUAAUAUAUUCACGUGACCUUUUUCCCGUAGCAAGGCACCGGUACGUGGUCAGACUUAAUGCACGAUGCCUAAGCAUCCAUUGGGCCUACCCUCGUGUGGAUCACGCGCAACAGGACACGGCUCACAAGCUAUGAUGUGCAGCAGUCGCUCAGAUGGCUGAAAGGUACCCUUAAUUUGAAUGGUACCAUAUAUAUAUAUAUAUAUAUAUAUAUAGUAAACAAGACAAACCACCGUUGAUACUACUUUGCACUACUUGAUACAUAUAUCUCCACCAAAAGCGAGGCACGUGGGGAGGAGAGAUAUGUGGUUGAUGGUGCGGGCACGUGGCGAGUGCACCGUACGAAAAUUUUGCUCGUGUCGGACGACUGAUGUGAAGCAUUACCCAAUCUUAAUUAUCUCCCAUAAUCCAAAACUCACAAAAACAUCAAAAAUCCGCCGAGAAUAAAUUAAGUAAACCAUGCACACACAGAUAAUAAAAUUGCUAAUAAGGCCAGAGACAAUACAUAAACAUAUUAGACUGUUCAUGACACAUAUCACGGUGGAUAGUGUCUGUGUCCUUAUUACAAGCAAUGAGAGAUGCUUGUCACCACACACACGCGCACAGAUGCACAACAUACAUAUAGUUGAGACCAACAGAUGGAUCAACUAGAGGUCACCCCAUAUGGUGAACAAUUUAUUGGAGAUAAACAUUAACAUAACUUGGCCAUAGCUUGAAGCAUAGCAACAUAUGCCUAUGAACGGCGUUCAUGCUAUCAUUUUAGGCUUGUCCGCUUCUUCCAUCUUAGCAAGCACUUCCAUUUCUACCAUCUUAGAAGCAACUGUCAAAUUGAGAUAUGGAAAUCCCAUUAGCGCAUGAGUUAAUUUUGCAGUGAAAAUAGAGUACAAGAUAUCUUCAUGAUGUAAGUAACAUGCCUGAAGUUGUGAGAUGGGAAGUGAAGUCAACAAAUUACAUUAACGGAAAUGCAUGGAAGGCCACACAUACGUAUUAGUCCAUGAUAUGCUACAAAGCUUGUAUGUACAUAUAGCAAAUUAAAUGCAUUAAUUGAAUAGAGUGAGUUUAGUGAAUUUACCAGAAUCGUCCAGAAAACAUGGGAAACAGCAAGUGUUCUUGCAGACUGCGUCGGUGCCACCCACAGCAAUACAACCAAAACAACAUGCUUUUGCCCGAGCGGCUGCGCAGCAGCCGCACUCUGCCGCGGUGGCCGAGUUAGCAUUGAGGCUCAAGAUGACCAGGCACAUGAUCACCAUCAAAGCGGUGGUAGUCCUCUUUCCCUCCAUUGCCUCCUCUUGCUGCUACCUUCCUUGGUUACCUAGCUAAGUUUAUUGGUUUUGUGUUGAGAGGUGAUUCUUGCAUUGAAUGGACGUUGCCGCGGCUGCAAUUUAUAGGCAGCUGCGCUAUGUGAUGAUAUGGACAAGGUGCAAAUGGGUGGUCCUGAUAUGGAUAAGGUGCAUGCGAAUGGCUGUCUACUUGUAUAGUGGCGCUCCAAUGUACAUACGUAUGUAUCUUAUGCAUGUAUACAGUUGAUGGAUGUACAUGUUUGUUGCACAAAUUAUUCUGAACCAACUCUUCAUAACAGGUCUUUGUUACCAAGUAAUUUUACUUUUGCACGUUUCAGCCGAGAGGCAGAAGAGAAUAUUUUACAGAGAGGGCAGAGAAGGAGGUUGGCGGAGGCGCCGUGGUAGGGUUCCCCGUGUCGCCAAGAUUUUUGCAUUUUAGAUGUGUGUAUUGAUCACUUCGUCGUGCUCGCGGGGCCCAACUCCAGGUUGUACCCCAGCAGACCACGUUCUGUUUCUCUGCCUCCAAUGAGCAUGCAUGCCUCCACAAGGACCACAAGACUUAGUAAAAAAGCUAAACUUUGCAACACGAUGUAUACAGAACGUUUUGAAAUGUACUCUCGUUAGGCAUUCACCUCCUUAACAAUCACUGCGACUGUAAAAGAGGUACAUCGACGCUAGCUAAAUAAACCACUAUAAGAUUUAGCAAGAGAUCAUUUUAUACAAUCCUGUAACGAAACAAUUUGACAAUUAUAGUGUCCAUAUAUUUUGACAAAAAAACGUUUAAAUUAUAUAAGGAGGUGGGCCCGAAAACGGUUGGAUUACAUCGAGAACGUUUUGAAACAGUUGGCGGAGCAGGAUUCUGGCGUGGAGCAUCUACAUUGUCGCGCGCGCGGACUGCCGGAGUAGGCACGCUCGACUUGUCCCAUCGCCAGCUAAAUGAUUUAGUACCGGAUGGUCUCUAGUACCGGUUGGAGCUACCGUCCACCAGGAGCUUUUCUAGUUUGGAACUGGUACUAAUGCUAAUAUUAGUAUCAGGUCAAAAACAAUCGGUACUAAGGCUAGGGAUGACACGUCAUUUUUCUAGUAGUGUGUGCAAUUGGUUUUGUAAUUAGUCUAUAUUUAAUACUUCUAAUUAGUAUCUACACAUUUUAUGUGACAGGGACUGAACUUUAGUCCGUGGAACCAAACACCCCAUAAGUAUGUUUGGUGCUGUAAGGAUUUCGGUUUUAUUUAAUUUCCUAGGCAUUUAAAUUUCUUUCUAAAAUAAGUUAAUGAAUCAUAGGAUCUCAUUGUUGUAUUCAAGCUGGUGCAUUGAUUUUGCCUAUAAAACCCGCCGCGGUCUUCGCAGCCCCCAUCAAACCCUAGCGCCCUUGCCACAAGCUCAGCACCGCUGCCGCCCGAGCUCGAGCACUAGCACCCACCCAUCGCCGUUGCCUUCCCGUCGAUGGGAUCACCGCCCGGAGCUUCGCAUCGUGGUAAGGAAGCCGCCCGUGAAGAUCCCAUGUGCUCCUAUGCCCUCUACCGCGUCCCCGAGUUCCCGGAGUUGCUAGUCUCCCACCGAGCCGACUCUCCGAGCUUCACGUCACUGGUGCCGCUCCGAAGACCUAGUUCGGUUCGCCAUGCACCUCGCUUCAUCCUGAGCUAAACCCCAUAAUGAAUGGUGGUCGGAUGCUCGCCGCCACGGCGCGUCGUCUUUUCUGUCGCCCGUGCAUUGCCUAUCCCCUUCCAGCCGAUUGCAGCUGUCCGAUCGCAAACCGGUGGCCCUGAUCGGAUACCAAGGUCAAUACCGGUCGAACCGAGCCGUGCGCUGCUUUUGCAAGAAGGCCCCUGUUUUUCUCUCUUUUUGCACCUGAGGUCCUACGCAGUUCAAAAGUAAUAAGAUCUAGGUCCUUUUUCUUUUGUUUUAGCCCGUGUUCUUUUAUAAAAUCCCGCCCACUAUUCUGUUUGGUCUUUUGACGCGUUAGACCUUCUUUUUAUAUGUUUAAUUAGGUUUUAGGUCUCGAUUUCUUUAAGUUUAGCCCUUGAAAGUUUAGUUCUCUCGCAGUUAAGCCCCUGAACCUUGUUUAGCUCAUAUCUUAAGCGUUUUAAAUCCGUUUUAACAGAUUCUUGCGCCUAUAAGUUCAUGUUGACGCAUAGAUUAGUUGACUUAUACGAACCUUGCUGAUUCAGCUCCUUGAUUGUGCUUCAGAUCUCGCUAGGGAAGAAUAAUGGAUGGGCUUUGGUUGAGCUUGUAGAUCGACUUGCAGUUGCAGUGAAUGAGCAGAGGAUUGGCAGUGAAUAAGAUCAGGCCGCUGCCCUGCUUGGUAGGGAAAAUAUCUGCUUGCUACCAAGGCCUGUGACGCAUGGACCCCAUUGAGAGUGCAUUAUUGACAAGGACUUAAAGCCAAGGGCUCCACACCUGUCAUUGAUCAGCUGUCUGCUGGGCGCUGCAAGGAGGUAGUGCAUGUUUGACAUAAAGAAGCAGGUGGCCCAGGAUUUACGAAAAAUAAGGAUCUAUUUGAUACCCUUGCUUAUAUUUAGGGGCUAAAAGUUGCUUAUUUGAAGUUGCUUAUUUUUAAUCCUAGCUGUUUGAUUGCAUGGGCUAAAGAGCAUUGAAUGAGGUGGAUAUUGUCAUGUUUGCCUCUAAUGAUUGCUUCCCAUCACAUUUCUCCCCCCUCAUUCAACGAGGGAAGGAGGUGUAAAGUGCACCUUUUAGCCCCGAUAAGUAACCCUUGUGUUGUUUACGGGCUGAACAUAAGUAGCUAAAGUUUAGCUCCAAUAAACAAGAGUGUUUGGUAUUUUUGGGGUUAAAAGGGGCUAAACUUUAGCUGCUUAUGCAUAAGCAAGGCCAUCCAAAUAGGCCCUAAGUAUGUUUGGCGUUGUAAGUAGGUUUUAUUUAAUUUCCUAGGCAUUUAAAUUUCUUUCUAAAAUAAGUUAAUGAAUCAUAGGAGUUCAUUGUUGCAUUCACGCUGGUGCAUUGAUUUUGCCUACAAAACCUGCUGCCGUUUCCGCAGCUCCCAUCAAACCCUAGCACCCCCGCCACGAGCUCCAGCGCCGCUGCCGCCCGAGCUUGAGCACUAGCGCACACCCAUCGCCGUCGCCUUCCUAUCAAUGGGAUCACCGCCCGGAGCCCGUGUCAUGGUAAAGAAGCCGCCCGUGAAGAUCCCGUCCACUCUCGUGCCCUCUACCGCGUCCUCGAGUUCACCGGAGUUGCCAGUCUGCCACCCAGCCGCCUCUCCGAGCUUCAUGUUGUCGUUGCCACUCUAGCUGCCUCUCUGAAGACCUAGAUCGGUUUGCCGUGCACCCCGCUUCAUCCUGAGUUAAACCCCAUCAUGCCACGUCAUAGUAAGGAAGCUGCUCAUGAAGAUCCCGUGCGCUCCCGUGCCCUCUACCGCGUCCCCAAGUUCACUGGAGUUGCUAGUCCACCACCGAGCCGCCUCUCCGAGCUUCACUUCACAGUCGCUGCUCCAGCCACCACUCUGAAGACCUAGAUCAGUUCGCUGUGCACCCCACCUCAUCCUGAGCUAAACCCCAUGACGAACUGUGGUCGGAUGCUCAUUUUCGAGUGAAUUCCGGCGAGAUGGUCGCCCGCCGCCGCCAUCUCCAUCGCCCAUGCACCGCCUGUCCCCUUCCAGCCGAUGUCCGAUUGCAAACCGAUAGCCGAAAUCGGAUGUGGUCACCAGGAUUAAUACCAGUCAAACUAAGCCACGCGUGCCGCUUUUGCAAGAAGGCCCCUAUUUUUCCCUCUUUUUGCACUUGAGGUCCUAUGCAGUUCAAAAGUAAUUAGAUCAAGGUCCUUUUUCUUAUGUUUUAGCCCUAUUCUUUCAUAAAAUCCCGGCUGCCAUCCUGUUUGAAAUAGAUACGGUUAUAGAUAUGCAAACAUCUGCAUAUUUCCAACCGUAUCUCUUUCGAACGGGAGACGCCUAACUAGGUUACGUGACAUACGAACAUCAUACGGAUAGAGAGGGGUAGGAUGUCUCACCUUGCUAUCCUACAAAGUGACGACUCGAGGACAGUAAUGUAGCCUCUCCUUCAAAAAAAGAACAUACUACUAUCAAGUUAAAUUUUUGACAGCACCUCCCCUGCACGUGGAGGUUUCCAUAACCUGCAUCAAAUAAAACGGCACGAUGGCUGACAACCACAUCUACAGCACCAGAAUGGCACGAUGGCCGACUUCCACAUAAAGUUCUUAUACCUUAGAUUGCCAAGUCAAACAUCCUUUUCUAAUUUCUAAAACAAAAGCCCUCCCACCUCUCUAUCUUAUACUUUCCUAUUUACUAAUUGCUUUUGUAAUUUCUAAUUUCUAUUUCAUCCUACCACCUCUGUACCCUUUUCUCAUUUCUAAUUCCAAUUUUCUAACUUGAAGAGCAAAGAUUGAUUACUAGGAGGGGUGAGGGACGCCGGCCUAGAGAGGCGAGGGGACGUCCGGCGGCGGCGGGUGCGUCGGGGGUAGGAUGCCAGGGGCGGCUGCAGGGGCGCCGGGUUGGGGGCGGCCGGGAUCGAGGGCACCAGUAGCGGGGGCACCGGGCCGGGGGCGGCCGGCGGGGCGGGACGCCAGGGCCGGGGCGACGGGCGCCGGUGGCGAGGCCGCCCGGCCGGUGGUGGCCGGCGUGGCGCCUGGGCCGGGGGGGGGGGGCGGGCGGGGUGCGGCGCGGCGCGCCGGGGCAGGGCGCCGAGGCUGGGUGGUGGGGUACGGGGCGGCGGGCGGGGGGUGGGGGGAGGGUCGGCGGCGGGGCGCGGGGGCGGCCAGCGGCGACGGCGGAGGGCGUCGGUGGUGUUUCGGAAGUGAUACGGAGGGGGUAGAGAGAUUCGUUUUCGCGGCUGAGUGUUCGAGUCAGAAGGCCGUGCGGCUUAAGUCAGGUGGUUUGCCGAGUGCGCGCGAUCUGGCACUCGGCAAAGUCAGAAGUUUUGCCGAGUGUCAGAUCGCGGGCACUCGGCAACUGCAGCUUUUGUCGAGUGCCCUGGAUUCGGCACUCGGCAAAGUGAAGUUUUAAUUUUUUUUAAAAAAAUUUAAUCGGAACACGGGCGUGCCAGCGGGCCCGUGACAUACUUUGCCGAGUGUGUAGCAAAAACACUCGGCAAAAUAUUAUCUUUACCGAGUGUUUUCGCUAGGCACUCGGCAAAGUACACUUAUAUUUCAUGUACACUUUUUCAAUAACGUGUUUUACUAACCUUUUUCUGAUAUACUUGGGAAAAACCUUAUCAAAUUCACUCAACAAUGGAUAUAUGGUUUUUCUACUGACAUUAUUCCAUUAUUUCAUUCAGUUAUAGCUCAAAUUGAAUUUAUAUCUAUUAAAAAUCAAUAAUUGCAUUUAAUAAAUAAAAAAUACCAAACGGAUCUGAAAAAUUUCCAAAAUUUGACAUGAACCAAUCUAUGUUGUAUGUUGCCUGUACAAAAAGCUUUGAAGUCAAACCCCAAUUCAAGUGUCACUUGGACUCCAAAUCUUAUCGGAUCCUUUCUAACUUCUAUGAAUCCUUUCGGGAGAUGAGUCGGUUUGUAAGCAUCAUAUGUCAUAAAUUGGGCGAAACCUUCUCAAUUUUUUACCACAGCCUCCACAUAUAAUAUCAUGACACCUUGACAAAUCUUGUGAUUUUCAGACUUCGUUUGCUUUUUUUAGAAUUUAACAACCAUUCAACCACAUGUUCGUGAUCGUGUUUUCUAAAAAAAUGUUCAAAAUUUCUUUUCAUUUCCUGGUUGAGACCUCAAUCCGGAUUGAAUAAUAUGAAUAUGAUUUUUUCACUGAUUUUAAUCCAUUAUUUAAAUCACUUGCAGUUAAAUUUGACUUAAAUAAACAAAUUCCUAUUAAUGCUAUCAAUUCAUUAAAAAUAGCAAACAGAGAAAAAAUAGACCAACUUUUAAGAUGGAUUACCAAAUGUCAUAUGUGGGGAGUAGAAAAAGUGUGGAGAGCAGAGGUGGAAAAAAAAGUUUUGCCUUUGCCAAGUGCCUACACAAACACUCAACAAACUUUGCGGAGUGCCUAUUGAAAACACUCAGCGAACUUCUGAGUUUGCCGAGUGUCUGGAGGGAGCACUCGGCAACCUACUUAUUUGCCGAGUGUCCGCGUCGGACACUCAGCAAAGUACUAACGGCUGGCACACUCCCCUAACGGACGGCGCACGUGCAAGCCAUGUGCUGGAGAUUUAUCGAGUGUCAAAUCGUUGCCGAGUGUCGUGUGGAUGUUUGCCGAGUGUCUUAUUUGUGACACUCGGCAAAGCUAUUGUUUGCCGAGUGUAUUAUUUAUGCCGAGUGUCUUCCAGUAUACACUCGGCAAAUGAUGUCUUUGCCGAGUGCUCGACAUAAAGCACUCGGCAAAAAUUUUACACUCGGCAACAUUCCUGUUUCCGGUAGUGAGUGACCCGGGACUAAAGACCCCCGUUGUCUCUGAUUGCUUUAUUCCGGAUGGAUUUUCAGGAGAUUUGCUCCCUACCAAUAGGGACUAAAGGCAAGUUUUCCACUUAUAGCAAACCAGUUAGCCCAUUGUUGAUGGAACGCAUCACUAGAAACAGCUCGGGAUCCACUUGUCCAAUAAUCGAGAGGGCCUAUAUAUGGACCACGUGUGCGGAUCCCUAAUUAGGAAAAAAGAAUAAUGGAGUAGGACAUCUCCAUGCUCACCUAGUAGCCGCUGCUAGCUUGUGCGUGUGGAACACGAGUGCCGGCCCAGUUGGCGCUAAGACAUCGUACGUGCAUUAAGGCUACGAUCUCUUUCUUCUAACUCAUGCUUGUGCUAUUAUACAUUAUUGCAUGAUCAUCAAGAUAAGAUCGUAUAGUGACUGAGUGAGACAUGUAUGUACUAACAUGCAUUUAAGCCUCGAACUGUGUGUUGUUACGUGAGCUGCCUCCUCACCUCGCCUCUGAAUUAUUGAACCGUUUCCAACAGUGUUGGUCUCAAAUAAAUUUGACACCAAACAGAUUUAUGAAGAAGAGAGAAUAAUACUUGGAAUUGGAAAAAGUUUAUCUCUCUUUACAAUGGAGUAGGGCUCCCUUUUAUAGUGACCCAUAAGCCACUUUACAUUUGGAAAAUGUCCUUCCUCAACCACUACAUUAAUUCCUAGGAUAUGCUGUACAUAAAGGUCAUUUGAGGUAACGUGUACAAAUGAACUCUUCCACAUGGUCACGUUUCUCAUGCCUCCUGUUUUCCAACCUCGAGACAUCAUCUUCACGCCAAGUUGAUCAUCUAGCCUCGAGGCUCCAUCCACGAUCCAGAAUGAACGUCCAGGCUUGAGGCUCCUUCUUCGUUAAGCUUUGUUGAGAACUCAUAACCUCACAUAGUUCUCCUCCGAGUAUUGUUCCCGACUCAGAACACUCGAGGUUUAGCUCAGUUGGAGUUUAGCUAUUACUGUUGCUAGUCACCAGCCUCGAGCCCCUCCAGAAGCAAGGUGAUGCGAGGGUACGAGUUUUACUAUUAAAGGUGUUUCCAUAGAAUGUGCGAGGUUAAAGCACUUGCAGCAAAAGCGUGGAGCUGCUUUCAACCAGAGUGCAAUAAUGCAGCCGUGCCCAUCUUGGUCUUGGUCUCCGCCUGAACUAUAGCAGAUGCUGGCAGCGGUAGCAGGGUGGUCCAUUAUAUCUAUGGAUGGCAAUGGUCGGAUUCGGAUGGAAUCGAAUUCGAAUAGCACUUUUUACCACAUACUAAUUCAAAUCCGAAUUCGGAUUCGGAUGUUCUCGAAUGCGAAUGCAAAAUGGAUGGUUCGAAUUCGAAUACUUAGCGGAUUUUUGCAUAAUAUUAAUCGAAUAGAAUUCAUUAAAUUUAGCCAAGAAAUUAAAUUUUCUGAAAUUAAAUACUUUCCCUUCGCCCCAGCGGCGGCCUAACUCCCAGGACGGUGGCGUGCGGGGCCCGAGCAUCCCUGGCCUCUAGUGGCGUGGCGGGGCGGCAUCCAGCAGCAGCGGCGGGGCUCGGCCUCCGGUGGCGCGCGGCCAGCCCGACCUACCCGGUCAGAGGUGGCGCAGCGGUGCGCGGGCCUCCCCGACCAGAGCCGGUGGGGAGCGGUGCGCGGGGAGGACCUCCCCAGCCGGAGGUAGCAGGGCGCGACCUCCCCGGCCGGAGGUGGCUCCCUGUGGGGGCGCGGCCGUGACAGCUAGCGAGGCAAUAAUUGCUUCCGUACGCAGCAAUAAUUGCUUGUGCGACACCGUGUUAUUACUCUGGUACAGUACUCCCUCCGUUGCAGUACACUGGUCCAGGCGUCAGGACACUGCUCCUGCCCUCGUGGUUCACGUGCAUCAGGCCAGCAGACAAGCUAUGAUGUUGCCAACAGUGUUUGUUUGAACAUGGAGAUGUCAUUGUGAUUGUCAGGGACCCGACACCAUGCAUGCCGAUUUCAUAUUCUUAAUAUUUAUUUUUUUAAUGGUUGUUGAAACUAUAUAGUUACUCCAAUAUCACGUUUCCGAUUAUAAAAAUUAACAUAAAGAGAUCGGAAGGGAGAGCCCGCAUAAUGAAGCCGACGCGUAUAAUAAGCACUAGAGCCGGCAUUUAUACAAACGGGUACGCAUAGUAAAAACUAGAAUUUAUAAAUAAAUGAAGAUAUUCAAAUAUCUGGCUUACUUUUUUCAUUAAUUUUGCAUGAAUAAGGGAUGAUUCAUUAAUCAUUAUUGAACAAAUUGGCACACAUGCUUCGUGCCCGCGUUGUGAGCAUUAUGCGAUGCCACUGAGCUGCACCACCACGGUAGAGGGCCUGUUUGCGAUGCCACCGAGCUGCACCACCACGGCAGAGGGUCUGUUUGGGAAGGGGAAGUUAAAGUUUAACACCCCCCAUUUAACACCUUUUUAACAAAAUGGCUGCUAAACACUUGUGUUAAAAGAGUAGUGUUAAAAUUUAACACCUCUCUUUUCAUAAACACAUGGAGGGGGUGUUAAAAUUUGCUAAAUGUGUUAAAAGUGGUCCCCUCCCCACUUAUUCCUUGGUUGCCCCCCUCUCUCUCCUCCUCUCUCUCCUACCCGCCGCAUUUAAGAGCAUUAUUGAGGGGUAAUGCAGUCCUUUUCCAACAAAAGUGUUAAACUUUAACAACCCUUCCCAAACAUGCCACAAGCAACACCACCGGCUGACUGUGCUAGCGGGGAGCACCCUCACCGCCUGCCCGUGGGGACUUCUUCUGCCGGCCAUCGUGUCUUUGUAGGACCGCCGCGUGAGCCUAUGAGCCACCGGUGGCCGUGCGCCCAAGGGCCAUCACCAUGCCACCUGAGGAUGCUGUCUACCCGGUGCCGCGUGCCUCUGCUAGCUGCUUGCACCUGGGCCGCCGCUGGUCGCCUGCACAGCCACGCGUUACAGCCGCCCCCCUGCGCUGGGCCACCCCAUUUCGUGUUGGAAGAACUGCCACAGUCUCGCGCACUGGGGUUUUGCUAGUGACGACCAUAGCCUCCAAGAUCAAAUGAAAAAGUUGGUACUCAAAACAUACAUCCAUUAAUCUAGUCGUGCUAAUCCUUACCACCAAAUAAAAACUAGCAUGUGUUGUGUUUUUGUGACCCUAAACGAUCACAAAUGAAUAACUUAUGGGCGUUGCUAGCCUAUAAGUUAUGGGCGUUUGUGACCCUAGUCGCGCCGGGGUCUUGCUGGUGACAACCAUGGUCUUCGCGAUAAAGUAUUAAGUCUCAUCGAGUUCUACAAUUUUGAUAUAAAAUUUCUAUUCAUCCGAGAUCAAAUGAAAAACAAAUGAAAAAAUCCGAAGUAUUAGGCUUCAUCGAGCUCUACAAUUUUGAUAUAAAAUUUCUAUUCAUCCGAGAUCAAAUGAAAAAAUCCGAGAUCAAAUGAAAAGUUGGAACUCAAAACAUACAUCCAUUAAUCUUGAUAUAAAAUUUCUAUUCAUCCGACAUCAAAUGAAAAAGUUGGUACUCAAAAUAUACAUCCUUUAAUCUAGUCGUGCUAAUCCUUACCACCAAAUAAAAAAACUAGCAUGUGUUGUGUGUUUCUGACCGUAAACGAUCACAAAUGAAUAACUUAUGGGUGUUGCUAGCGUCCCGGACGCUAGCAUCGGACGCAUGAGCAGCCGUCCGAUCGGGUCCGACACCACUUCACGAUCUGUCUUAAAAAAAAGUCCCACCGAAACAUUGUUCCAUGUUGCAUGAAAUACCCCACUAUCCAUCGCCAGGUCUACAGCAAGCACCACCUUCCAAUCUGCUGCUCACCCAAGCUAAAUAGGGGCAUUAAAAUUGCAGAAAUAUGUCACAUAUCCUUGUCAAAUUAAACUAAAUCGCAACAUCCGAAAAUUUCUUACACAAAACCAUGAAACAUAUCGAUUAGAUAGGUGUAACAAGAUGGAAUAUGGUAUCCAACAUAUAGAUUCCGAAAAACAGAUGAAACAUUAUGUAACGAUUGUUGAAACAGUCGAGAAAUAUAGAUGUAACGAUUAAAAUUUAGAAAAGAAGCUUUAUGCAAAUUGCAAAAAGCUGAAAUAAGUGGUUGAAACAUUUCGAAUCACCAAAUGCCACAUUUGAAAUGGCUACAUGAAACAUCACGAAAUCAAUUGCAACAGUUGAAGAUGAAAACAUUCAAAUGCCUUGCCUUUCUCCAGAUUUGACCCUCCAAGCAUGAGUCCAGCCAUUUGCACAUUAGACCCUUGGGAGGAGCUCACCGGAGAACAACAAGACCGUGUUCUCCAACAAUUUUCUGAUCAAAUUGCAACAGACAAAACAAAGCAUUGCAACAUCUGGCAUCACGAGCUACAACAUCAACAAGUUAGGAUCAGGAGAAAGAGGGAAAACACAAGCCUAACAACCCCAAGACAAAACUGAUGUACUCAUCAUACAUCACGGCUUGCCGUGCACAGAGAUGAAGGCCGCCAAGCUCAAUCGAGACAGAGACGACGUGAUAGUGCUCCAGAUCGACGGUCCCCAUCAAUUGUUGCGUACACUGCCAAAAGCAAUGGAAGAAGAAGGGUCGUCCCUGCUCGACCUCCGUAGAUGAGCGCAGAUUGGGGGAAACCGUAUAGAGUGCCGCUGACAGCACAGGCGAGGGGGCUCAGGCUUGAUUCAGGGUGAGGGUAGCGGGUAGCAUGAGGAGACAGUCAGGUUUCAUAGGAGAGAGGCGGAGUAGAGAGCUCUGGUGACUCGGUGAGGAGGGUGCGGCACGGAGAAAGGUGUGUAGCUGAAGGAGCUACAUGGUUGGGGCGAGGCGAGCGUAGAGACUAGAGAGGGAAAAAAAGCAUGGGGAGGAGACGAUAUGUGGUUGAUGGUGCGGGCACGUGGUGAGCGCACCGUAUGAAAAUUUUGCUCGCGUCGGAUGACUGAUGUGAAGCAUUACCCAAUCUUAAUUAUCUCCCAUAAUCCAAAACUCACAAAAACAUCAAAAAUCCGCCGAGAAUAAAUUAAGUAAACCAUGCACACACAGAUAAUAAAAUUGCUAAUAAGGCCAGAGAUAAUACAUGAACAUAUUAGACUGUUCAUGACACAUAUCACGGUGGAUAGUGUCUGUGUCCUUAUUACAAGCAAUGAGAGAUGCUUGUCACCACACACACGCGCACAGAUGCAUGACAUACAUAUAGUUGAGACCAACAGAUGGAUCAACUAGAGGUCACCCCAUAUGGUGAACAAUUUAUUGGAGAUAAACAUUAACAUAACUUGGCCAUAGCUUGAAGCAUAGCAACAUAUGCCUAUGAAUGGCGUUCAUGCUAUCGUUUUAGGCUUGUCCAGCUUCUUUCAUCUUAGCAAGCACUUCCAUUUCUACCAUCUUAGCAGCAACUGUCAAAUUGAGAUAUGGAAAUCCCAUUAGCGCAUGAUUAAUUUUGCAGUGGAAAUAGAGUGCAAGAUAUCUUCAUGAUGUAAAUAACAUGCCUGAAG